rnacentral:lncRNA from 1 species
CUCACAAUUAAUCCGACUACACACGAGCUUCUCUCCCUGGCCAAGACACAAUCAUAGUAUGAUGAAGAACAUGGCACUAGCCGGCAAUGGUAUGAAGAAGUUAAUCCUCGCUGUUCUCUUACUCUGUCUAGUUAUAGGGCAGAUACAAGUGGAAGCUAAGAGCUGCUGCCCAUCCACCACUGCAAGAAAUAUCUACAAUACCUGCCGUUUCGGGGGUGCAUCCCGUUCAAUGUGUGCAAAACUGUCAGGCUGCAAAAUUAUCAGUGGGAACAAAUGCAAGCCCCCUAACGACCACCUCACCCUUGACCCGGACACUGGUAAAUAAUAAAUUUAUCUCACUUGAUUUCUUCGUGAUUUGAGUCGUUAAUGUAUUUUCCAUCUGAUGAAACGUAUUGGUUUUGCAUUGAAGAGGAAGUUAAUGUGCUUAACUUCUGCAAGUUGGGGUGUGCGUCGUCUGUGUGCAACAACAUCAACGCUGGUAAGCACCUUUUGCUCAGACGGAGAAAACAAUAAUCAUUAAUUAGCGGCAGCUAGAAUCCUAUAAUCUAAUAUAUUUAUAUAUAUAUAUAAUUUUAUCAGCUCUGGGAAAUGAAGAGGCGAACGAUGCCGUUGAGAGUUGCGACCAAGCCUGCUCUAGCUUCUGCAGCGUGCAUGUUGGCAGCGCCACCGUGGUUGCUUAAGCAAAUGCAUGCAACUAGAUCGUCCUUGUGCUGAAUAAUUGGAUAUCGUAUCCACUUAAAGCUGCCUUGUGUAGUACGUCUUUGUUUGUGUCUCUCUUUAUAUUCCACUAAGGUCGGUGAUCUUGAUGCCACACACACUCAGAUGUGUGUUCAUCUCCAGAUACUACUCCAUGCUACCUGCCCUUUUUGUUUUGUUCAAUAACUGGGUAUCAUAUCCCGGCCAGUGUGCCAUCUAUUUUGUGUUUGUUUCCUUCUAGUUCCAAAGGGGUCAUCAUGAUGUUACCUUCUUUCGAUAUGGUGCUUUGCAUGACAACUGUUGUAUGGUACCAUCUUGUUGGCCAAUAAAUACAUCUUAUCCUAUGACCCUUUGCUAUGACCCUUUGCAAAUAAGUACAAGAUUGUUAUAAGCGUCAAUACUCAGUAUAAUUGAUCGCUGCUGUGAGUUCCCUUUCAGCUUAUCGUAGGCACACAUUAUUGCUAGCACGGUAAAGACAACCAACACGAAUGAUGAAGUAAACGUAGCGGUACUUUUGUAUACCAACACCCUUACUUAAAUGUACUGGUGUCAUUCCCUACUGGCACAUAUAUUCUUAUAUGCUAGCCAGAUUGGAAAAUUAACCAAUUAAAAUAAUUAUUUCAAGAUAGAAAUAACUUAUCGGCUUCUCGAAGCAUGUGUAAUUUUAAUUCAAGGACUCAAUGGAAGUUGAAUCACUUCAUCUAGAUUGCCUUCUGGAUUUUGGUUAACUAAAUUUAACAUUUGUGUCGGGGGGAAAUAUUAACGAUUUUCUUACGCUCUCUAAUUAACGGAUACAAGGGCUAGGGCCCACCCCUAAUACCCAUAAUCUCCGCUAACAACACAUCCCAGAGGCACUCCGCUCCGCCUCGCCCGACUUCAGGGUCGCAGGGUCGGACGUGCCCGACCCCCCAAGGCCUCGCCUCGUCUCAGCCGAUGGAGUUCCGCCUCGCCCGACCCUGAGCCCAACGGAUCGGACGCGCCCGACCCCUCGAAGCAGGACUCCGCCUCGCCCGACCCUGAGCGCAAGCGGUCGGACGUGUCCGGUCCCACCUGACAGAGCUCCGCCUACCCGAAGGUACGAGCAGGUCAUCAGACGGAAGCGCGGGCUCUGUGAGUCCCCCUGGGCUCACCCAACCGAUGGGACCGCGCAAGCUUCCAGAUACAGUUCUGACACAUGGAGAGGCGCCCGCGUUCCUCGACAUGACCUGUCAAAAUGUUGGUCUGCGCACUGCUGCCACGACUGCACAGGGCUACACCUGCACCGUCCUACCCCACUGUGACAUCUGUCAUAGGGCACUCAUCGCUCAUACCAUCUAAUGGAGGAGGGAAAACCGCCUAGUUUUCCACGUGGGCUAGCAAGAAGAGCACGUCAGCCACGCCGCCCCGUCAGGGUGCAUGGCUACAGUGGUUGACCAUCACCCGCGACGUGCACAGUCACAGUGGCCAGUCGUCACCACCAACUUGCACAGCUACAGUGGUCGGCCGCCAUGCACGACUCGCGUGUCCGGCUACAGUGACCGACCGCCGAGUCACCGAUGGGACCCAACGGCAACCCCUAUCCCUUAGUAGCAGUACCGACAAGACGCAGAGACAAGAAGGGAAGACGACGUCUCUAGUAGCCCCACUUGCUUCCCUUUUUACCUUUCUACCUGUUUACCUUCCUUACUCCCGGCUCAUUUGUAACCUCUGUAUCCUCCUUGCACUAUAAAAGGAGACCAGGGGGUCUGAGGGCAAGGGACCCUCGGAGACCGAACCCCGAAUUCACCCAAGUACAAACCAACCGAACCACCAGACGAGAAAGACUCACAGAGAUCUGGGAACCAGCUUCCCUCUCUCACCUAUUUGUAGCCUCUACUCCAGACUUGGUACGAGUAACACGAGCAGCCACCCGCACUGGACUCCUCCGCCAGAAACUGGUCCAACCAGUCGGGUCCCUCCCCCUGCUCUUCGUCCUCAUCAUCCUCAUCAUCGUCGUCCUCAUCCGUUGCCGUGUCUGGCCCCUCCGCAGCCUUCAGAACUCCGCUGCAGCUUUCUUUUUCUUCCUCACCGUCUCCUUGUCCUUCCUCUUCUUCUGUGCUUCGUCGAGGAGGCGGUUCCGCUGCCUCUGCACCACGUCCUCUGGCACCGGUGGACGGGAGGCUGUGACAUGGUUUAAGUUACCCUGCAGAUUCGAAGACUCCGCGUCAGAAUAGCAAACCAGGAAAUGCAGGAAAGAAGAACGAGAGUGCAAAUUUCUAACCAGCAGGACAUAGGCCUCGUCCGGGCGCAUCGGAGGGUGCCCCGGCACCGGGAACACGACAUCCCUGUCACCCAAUGCAUCCCGGACACGCUGCUCGAUCUCGGCGUCGGCAAUUGCACCCGUCGCAAGGACGGUGCUGUGGUACGCCCCAACAACUCCGGCCCCGGUCAGGCCCUCCUCCUUCAGAAGGUUGAUGGCUUCGAGGAGACCCCGGAUAUUCUUCUUCUCCUUCUCAACAGGGCCAUAUGUCCACGUUCCCGGUGCCUCCACGAUGACGCGGCCAGUGAACUCCGUCAAGAGGACAUCGGGGCGGUUCUUCACAUAGAGCCACUGCUGAUGCCACCCUUUGUGGGAUGACGGGGUCUUCAUCGAUGUAUACUCCUUGGGCCGAUGGCCACAGAGGUGGAUGCCGGCACACCCCAUCAGCAUCGGAAUCGUCCGCGUCUGGUUUCCUCUCUUCUCGGUCCUCUGAUGAAGAGUGACAGCGAAGAAGUACUUCCACAGGGCGAAGUUGGGCUCGAUCCCCAGGUAUCCCUCCCAAAGCACGACGAACGCCGCGAUGUGCUGGAUUCCGUUGGGGUUGAGGUGCUCCAGCUCAAUGCUAUAGUAGUGCAGCAGCCCCCGGAAGAAGCGACUUGGGGGAACCGCGAACCCCCUCUCGUGGAAGUGCGCGAAGGAGACGAUGUACCCGUCCUCCGGCUGUAGCACGGCCUUGUUCCCGGGAUACCGCCACUCGUUCUCGGCGAUCCUAUCGCGAAGAAGGCCCUUCUUCACGAGACCGAUCACGCGCGCGGUGUUGAAGAUUGACCAAGACCUUGAAUCCAUCGCCGAGGAAGGGGAAGGCUCGACGGCGGUGGUGGAAAGGUGAAUGCUCUGGCUCGAAAGAGGAUGAAAAGUGAACAAGGAGGCGAGAAAGGCUGAAGACGAGUGCGGAGCGGAGCAAGCAAGGUAAGCUCUCUCGUUUUACAGGGGGCGUGCGAGAAACGAAAGGCGAACCGAACGCAUUUAUUGCGACGUCAGGUAUGCCCCAUCGCCUCCGCCUUUCUUCGGAAACCGUACGCAUGAUUUCUUUUUAACCGCAGGGAACGCUACGCCCCCUCGCCCCACGAGCCCGGUGUUUUUUGCCGCUUCGUCUCCUGGAGGUCAUGCGCACAACUUCCUCCACAAGCGGCCCAGGGCCCGCUUCAGGUAAAAAAGGGAUACAGAGCUGAAAACACUCUAACGGCCCAUUACGGUCCAGGGGUUCGAAGGCUGGCCCUCUAGAGGGUUCGACAUCCACCCCAGGACAUUUCUUGAGCAAGGGGUGAGAAGGGACGGGUCCGCUAGCGACCACUACCCUGGUGAACAAAAGCCAAGGGCGUCCCGACCUCACAUUUGAGUCUCGAUUGGCGUUUAAGUUCAUGGUUUUUCCCCGAAGAAAGGCAAAGUGCCCCCGGAUCCGGUUGAACAGACCUGGGAACUAUAUGAACUGGCCGUCCGAAAUCUGGAGUACGCCACCAGCUUGGCCCAAGCCGGACCCGCCCGAACAGGGACCGGGACUCCACUCGAACUGACCCGUUAGCAGCUCACCGAGCACCAUGGUUCGUCCGAUGAGGAUAACAUGGCACGGCUCACCCCCUCCGUCCCAACGAACGGACGCUGAGGGGUAACGACUAAAAGACGAUCCGACCUCUCGAUCGGUCCCCUGCAAUGCGCGGGGGCUCGAGGGCUGGAAUCACAACGAAACGACCAUGCGCAUGGUUACGACUCGGAAUUUUGAGGCAGGAAUGGUCAUUGAAACAAUAGGGAAUCUUCCCAAACCGUACCAUCCUCAGAACACUCUGGCUACCCAAAACUCCCCGGCCAGGCCAAACAAGCAAAACUUUUCUCCUGAUCAAAUCAAGGUACAUGUUAAACAAGACCCCUGACAAACACUCUGCCGAGAGCCAAUCACAGCCUCUGGAGGAGCACCUUGCUCCACCAAAGGCUCGGGGCCUACUGUCAGGGGGAAAUAUUAACAAUUUUCUUACGCUCCCUAAUUAAUGGACACAAGGGCCAAGGCCCACCCCUGACACCCGUAAUCUCCACCAACAACACAUCCCAGAGGCACUCCGCUCCGCCUCGCCCGACUACAGGGUCACAGGGUCGGACACGCCCGACCCCCCGAGGUCUCGCCUCAUCUCAGCUGAUGGAGUUCCGCCUCACCCGACCCCAGGCGUAAGGGGUUGGACGCGCCCAACCCCUCAAAGCAGGACUCCGCCUCGCCCGACCCCGAGCGCAAGGGGUUGGACACAUCGGAUCCCACUAGACAGAGCUCCGCCUCGCCCGAAGGUAUGAGUAGGUCAUCAGACGGAAGCGCGGGCUUUAUGAGUCCCCCCAGGCUCACCUAACCGAUGGGACGCGCACAAUUCUAGAUACAGUUCUGACACGUGGAGAGGUGCCCGCGUUCCUCGACAUGACCUGUCGGAAUGUUGGUCUGCACACUACUGCCACGACUGCACAGGGCUACAACUGCACCGUCCUACCCCACUGUGACAUCUAUCAUAGGGCACUUAUCGCCCAUGCCGUCUAACGGAGGAGGGCAAACCGCUUGGUUUUCCGCGCAGCCUAGCAACUACAGCACGUCAGCCACGCUGCCCCGUCAGGAUGCAUGGCUACAGUGGUUGACCGUCGUCCGCGACGUGCACAGCUACAAUGGCCAGUCGUCACCACCAACUUGCACAGCUACAGUGGUCGGCCGCCAUGCACGACCCGCGUGUCCGGCUACAGUGGCCGACUGCCGAGUCACCAAUGGGAUCCAACGGCAACCCCCAUCCCUCAGUAGCAGUACCGACAAGACGCAAAGACAAUAAGGGAAGACGGUGUCUCCAGUAGCCCUACUUGCUUCGCUUUUUACCUUUCUACCUUUUUACCUUCCUUACUCCUGGCUCAUUUGUAACCCCUGUGUCCUCCUUGCACUAUAAAAGGAGACCAGGGGGCCCGAGGGCAGGGGACCCCCGGAGACCGAACCCCGAAUUCACCCAAGUACGAACCAACCGGACCACCAGACGAGAAACACUCACAAAGAUCUGGGAACCAGCUUCCCUCUCUUGCCUGUUUGUAGCCCCUACUAUAGACUUGGUACGAGUAACACGAGCAGCCACCCGCACUGGACGUAGGGCUAUUCCUGCCCGAACCAGUAUAAACCUCGCGCCCUCUCGUACAACCAUCCAAGCCUUACGCGUAGAGAAACAAAUUUACUAAGCCGGUAGUCUUGACCCGUGAUUCGUGAGACCGACAAUUUGCACAUACAAAUGUUAAAGUACAAAUGUUAAAUCUAGUUACCAAGCAGAAUACGAAAUAGCGGGCUAUAGUGAGGCUAUAGCGGCGCUAACUGCUGCAACAACAGUGUUGUACUAAUUAGCAGGCUAUAGCGGAGCUAUAGCGGUUGAGCACAGCUCUACGCUAAAUAUCAUAGCCCUCAAUUUUGUACAUUGUAUAUACUAUAUAAAUCUAGUUAACAUUUAGUCUAAAUGUUAAAUCGAGUUACCUAAAAUCCUGAAAGCAAAAUGUAUAAAUAUAUAUCUUUUAGGGUAGUAUAAGCUUCGAUUCCUUUUGCUGCUCUGUUAAAUCUCAUCUUUCGUUGUAGCCCAACACUCUAGUAUUGAUUUUGCACCAAGCUUCUUUGAGCCGCUCUGCCCUCUGAUUUUGCUGCGUAGGGGAAUCUUUAUCAGGUUGGGCUACUUCCAGUCGUGCGAUGUAUACCUUUGUAUCUUCUAGAAGGUAGACAGAAAACCCGCGUUCUCUUAAGGCAACAACCAGAAGAUUCUGCAGCGCACGGGGCAUAUCAUUGUUGUAGAAACGACCUUUAGUAUCGAUCUCCAACCCCUUAUAGUACUGGUUUUGCAACCAGUACCGUUAUGUCGGACCUUUAGUACCAGAUCAAAUAACCGGUUCUAAAGGGACUCCUUUAGUACCGGUUGGUAACCAGUAUCAACUUGUUUUGCGGCCAAAAAAAUAAAGAAAAAAAUAGCCAGAAGGCUAGCACACACACACAUCCCACGAAAUAUGCGCGUGCGCGGUCCAUGGGAUUCGAACCCAUGAAAUCAAGCUGCGCGCAACCCUUCGUUACCAUCUCACCUUCAGUACCGGGUCAUAACACCACCCGGUACUAGUAUCGGAUGCUGUAAUGACUCGAUACUAAAAGGCCUCUAGGGACCCUCAAAUUUGGACCCGAUACUAAUGCUAACAUUAGUACCGGGUCAAAGUGCAGCCAGUACUAAAGCAUGGGACGAAAGGUCAUAUUUCUAGUAGUGUAUAGUUGUUGUGUAGGACUGACUUGGCUGUCCUCUCUCUUCUCCAUCCCAUUGGUCUUACGCCGCCGCUCGCACGCGAGCCGGCACCCAACCAGAGGAGUGAGAGCUAGGGGCGGGUUGGGAGGUGGGGGUAGCGACUGGUGGCUAGGGUGAUGGUUGAUGUUGGCGGGGUUAGGGUUUCAUGGUUUUCAAGCUACCUACGGCCGGCGAACCUAGAGGAGGAGGUCGACAUCAGCUGCAACCCGCGGUGGUGGUGGUUUGGCCGGCGCCCCAGGCGAGGCAGCGUGGGAGUGCUGCUGGCGGGUUGGUGUUGGCGCUCAUUAUUGACACAUUUUUAGUACUAUUUUGUUCAUGGAAUAACACUCAAACGUGCUGGUGCUGCUGCCGCCAUCGCCGCCCUAGCCAUAAUAUAAAGGCAAAAUUUGCUAGAGGACAUGCAAAAUGAUGCUAGUUUGCUGGAGGGCACCGUUGACCAUGUAAUAUGCUACAAGACACUCUAGUUGUUCUAGAGUGUAUCAAUUUGCUGAAAGACAUUGCUACGACUAAAAUAAUGUUUCUGGACUGAGUUGGAGAGAGAGAUGGAGUGAAAUGUCUGUUUUGCCCAUGACCCCACUGAUCAGAUCCUUCUUCUUCCACCCUCCUUUCUUCUUUCUUCAACCAUUACCCAGCUCUAGUGUGUUGCAGAUCUACGAGGGUGGCGGCCCGGGGCGAGGGGCAUCGCUUGCCCUCAGACGAGCGCCGCGAGCGACGGCGCGGGGGCAGCAACGGCGCGUCGGAACCUGACCGUUCGUUAGCUCCUCUCGCUGCUGGGGAAGGAGGGGGAGGGGCCAUGGACGGGGUUCCCUCGAAAACCUUAGCCUCGAGCUCAGGCGGCUACGCGCAGGCAGCACUAGGCUCUUCGCGGGGAGGGGGCGCGGCCAAUCAUUGGCACCCCACUGGUCCAAUGCUGAUGAAGAUGGUGCCAGCGUCGUGAAGAUGGUGCCAGCGUCGUGUGAGGACCUCUCAUCUCCUCGAGUUCCAUGGCCAGCACAGGUGAGCGUCCGCUACCACAAAACAGAGGUGUCGUGAGAGUCAAAAAAACUCAUGAAAAUAGCUAAAACCAUCAUGAAAAUAAUCCAUGACACGACACUCUAACGAAAAUCCUCUCACAAAUAUGGUGCCAUCAAAAUACCAUUUUCAUGAGAGUGAACUGUCAUGAUUUUAUUUCGUGAGAGUAUUUCCUAUCAAUGACCUCCACGAAAUACUUUGUGCCACCAGGUCUUCAAGAUCAUUUUCAUGAGAGCCGAACGUCACGAAAGGUCCGCCACAAAUGUUUUUCCUGGGAGCCUCUAACUCUCAUCAAAAGCAUGUGGGCCGCCGCGAAAAACAGCCUGACCAAAUGACAAUUUUCAUUUUCAUGUGCUCUUACCGCCAUGAAAAUGGUCAUUUUCAUGAGAGUUGAUGAAACAAAAAAAUAGUGCCAUUUUCAUGAGAGUUCAAGCAACCAGGAAAAGGCACUAAUAAACAUCCAGAUCCCAUCCAGCACACAUCCAUGCACAUAUAUAACCCACAUAUUGCUCCAGCAACAUCCAUGCAUAUACAAGAUCCAAAUGUCUUGGUAUGAACCUACAUGCAUGUGAUGAACCAGUAACCUGCAAAAAGAGCUCAUAGGAUCUUGUCCUCAUAUUGUAGCUGUGAAAUUCUUGCAAGUAGUGUUGCAAUCAGUUCACUUUGAACCAAAAGAGCUCAAAGGAUCAUGUCCUCAAAGUUCCUCUUAAAGCUUAUGGGUUUGCUGGUGGAACUGGAAGGGCUUGAUGCAGCAUGCCAUUCUGCAAUAGAGAAAAAUUUAGAAAGCUGUACUAGUUAAAAUUGGAUGCAGCAGAGACACAUGAAACUAGUAUUUAUACAAUUCUAUAUAUAUAAUAAUUUGUCCCCUAAAUUUUUAGGAUCCUCUCGACGGUGGUGAGUCUUCCAGUAAGGCAAUUGAAUGUCCAUCGUGAUAAAAUUCUCCUUUGGAUUUAUCAUCUUCUCAACCAGAAAUCCUAGGAGUUCAUCCUUAAGCCUUACCAGUUGUAAUUUGGAAAUAUGUGAAAGUUAAACGAACAAUUAAAAUCUAAGGAUCCUUAUCAUCAUUUCCAUACGUUUGCGAAUUAAAAUAAUGAAGGAUACAAUGUUAGGUGAAAAUUCAAGAAACAAAAUUUUGUAUAGAGAUAAUGGUCCGACAUUAUUACAAGUUAAAGUUGUUUUAAAUAUCCUUGUAAUCUUCCUUUGGUUUCCUCGACGAUUCCAAGACAGUAACCUUGCUUCUAUCAAUGAUAAUUAUAAGGAGAACCCAAUGAAAACUGUGUAUUCAUAUUAGAACUAACUAAGGUUAAUUCGGAUAGGAAAGGAAAUCAAAAAUAGAUGGUACCCACACUUACUUAAAGUUGUAGGGUAGUAGUAUGUAAUGCUUGUAAUUCUGUUGCUCCAAGAAUUUGUAUAUGUGGUUCAAUGUAGACUUUGGUUGAUCCUGUAUCUGCUGUUGGUUGAAUAAGUGUUUCUAACCAUUUCUAGCCGUUAGAACUGGGACUAAAGGGAGCUCUUAGUGCUGGUUGAUAUUACUAGUCGGGACUAAAGAGCCCCCGUUAGAGUUGGUUUUCGGACGUGGAACUAACCACUCCUUUAGUCUCAAGUCCAAAAAUGAUUGAGACAUUUGUUGCUGGAUGGAACACUAGUAGAGAAUUGGCUUUCGAUGCGCCCCCUUUUGUCCCGGUUUAAAGUUGGACUGGGACAAAAGAGGGUGCGCCACGGUAGGUAAAAAUGGAGGGGGGAGUUAGUCCCGGUUGGUAAUUGCAACCGGGACUAGAGGCCCCCCUUUAGUCCCGGUUGCAAUGGCUAGCUGGGGGGCGUCGGUGGCGGCACCUUUUUGUCCCGGUUGGAGUCUCCAACCGGGAUAAAAGGUCCACCCUUUUAUCCCGGUUGGAGGCUCCAACCGGGACAAAAAGUUUAGUCCCGGUUGGAGCUUCCAACCGGGAUAAAAGGGUGUCCCUUUUGUCCUAGUUGGAGCCUCCAACCGGGACUAAACUUUCAACCGGGACAAAAGGUGUGGUUGGAGUUUUUAACUGGGAUAAAAACUCAUCCCCCAUUAUAUACCAAGACAGAGGACUUUCUUCCUCCUCCAGCCCGAGCCAGUCCAGCACAUUCACAGAGAGUUGACCUUCACCUACUCUCCGGUGGUGCCGAAGCAAGGAGGUGCUGCCCGAAGUUUUUUCCCUCAUUUUCGUGGGAAUUUCACUCAGCUAACACAAGUGUUGUGAAGGUUUGCUACUUCAUCCUCGUUUAUGCUUUGAUUUAUGCUUUGGAGAUGGAAAGAUUAUUUGUUAGAAUGUGAUGAAGUAGAAAAUGGAGAGAAUAUUUUGAGCUAGAAUGUGAGGGAGAUUGAUGUGUCAUAUAUAGUAUGCAUUCUUGCAGUGGUUUAAGAAUGAUGCUACCUUGUCCAGACAAUUUAUCUUAUCAAAUUCAAUAUAGUUUUUCAAAUCCAUACUUGUUGAACUUGCAUACCGUGUUCAUCUCUACGAGGAUAUUCUCUGCCGAGCAGCAACGUAUGUCAAGAAGGAGGUUCGAUUCUACGAGGAAGAGUGGAUACGGACAUCGUGACCGUGUCCCCUUUUCCGUAGCAUCUAACCUCUUUCAUGAUGAAGUGCGGUGCCGCCCAGUUGAGAACAUGCUCGCGAGAUGAACACAGUAUGCAAGUUCAACAACUUCUGCAGUAGUAAGGAAAGAAUUUUUGUACAUAGAUGACUUCUGCUACUUGUUGAACUUAUCAAAUUCAAGAAGGUUUUUCAAAUCCAUACUUGUUGAACUUGCAUACCGUGGUCAUCUCGCAGAGGAUGUUCUCCGCCGAGCAGCAACGUAUGUCAAGAAGGAGGUUCGAUUCUACGAGGAAGAGUGGAUACAGACAUCGUGACCGUGUCCCCUUUUCCGUAGAAUCGAACCUCUUUCAUGACGAAGUGCGGUGCCGCCCAGUUGAGGACAUGCUCGCGAGAUGAUCACGGUCUUUAAGUUUAACAACUUAUGCAGUGUUAAGGUAAUAAUUUUUGUACAUAGAUGGCUUCUGCUACUGGAGAAAGUGGCGAUGGUGGGGGUGAUCGUGGUUCCUCUUUCGGCAAGGGGAAAAUCAUAGUUGGCCCUCAGCAUAAGCCAAAGAAAAAGAGCGCACUGGAAAAAGCAAUGCUUCGUUAUUUGCAGCAACGUCAUGAAGAAGUUGUUGCCGCGGGUCAGGAACCUCCUUUUGGUCGUCGUUAUGCUCCACCCUUAGUCCCGGGUGUUUCACAUCCACUUAGUACUACCGUUUCAGGCGGCACAAAUAAACCUAAGGAUGAGGCUAGGUCAGCGGAACUUUCGUCUUCACUGUCCAAGGAUGCUUAAAGUCCUCCUAGAUAAUAACCAGUGGAUGGCUUGUUGUAUUGUAUCAUGUUGUUUGGAUCUUUAAUUUAAAUAUGUGUAUUUGGAUCUUCAUGUUGUUGUAUUGUACCAUGUUGUUUGGAUCUUUAAUCAAUUUUCACACGUAAUCCAUUGUCAAGUGUAAUCCAUUUUCAUGCAUAAUAAGAUGCAGAUGGACCGGCAAUGGAUGUAUAAUGCAGACAGGCAGAGCAAGGUGUUUAUUGAUGGCUUGCAUUAUUGUCUCGAAGUGGCCAAAGCGAACAAGCCAGAGAAUGGGUUCGUAUGUUGUCCAUGCUUCCAAUGCAAUAACAAGAAGGAGUAUUCAUAGGAUUCCUGGGGGACUAUUCACAGCCACUUGUUUAAAUACGGUUUCAUACUUAACUAUUUGGUUUGGACCAAGCACGGUGAACGAGGGGUCGUAAUGGAAGAUGGCGAGAAGGAGGAGGAAGAUGACACCAUUCCAGACUGGGUUGUAGGCCAAGCUUUUGCAGGUACUACAAUGGGCGAGGCUCAUGAAGAUGAGUUUGCAGAAAAUGGCCCUAUUGAUGACUUUGGUCAGGUGAUACGAGAUGCAUACAGAGAUUGCGAAAUUGAGAAGGAAGCAGCAAAGUUGCAGCGCAUGAUAGAUGAUCACCAAAAAUUAUUGUACCCAGGUUGCCAGCUGGGCCAUAAAAAACUAGGUACGACACUAGAAUUUGUGCAAUGGAAGGCAAAAAAUGGUGUGUCCGAUAAGGCAUUUCAGGGGAUGUUGACCAUUGUCAAGAAGAUUCUUCCCGAGAAUAAUGAAUUACCGUCCACAACAUAUGAAGCUAAACAGAUUAUUUGCCCUCUCGGAUUGGAUGUUCAGAAGAUACACGCAUGCCCUAAUGACUGUAUCCUCUAUCGUGGUGAUGACUACGAGAAAUUGGAUGCUUGUCCCGUGUGCGAAGCCCUGCGGUAUAAGAUUAGGUGAGAUGAUCCUUGUGAUGUCGAGGGGCAGUCUCCCAAUAAGAGAGUUCCCGUGAAGGUGAUGUGGUAUUUCCCUAUAAUACCACGCUUGAAGCGCUUGUUCAGGAAAAAGGCGAAUGCUAAGUUGAUGUGAUGGCACAAAGAAGACCGUAAGGAAGAUGAGAUGCUGAGACACCCCGCAGAUGGGGCACAGUGGAGAUCAAUUGAUAGAGCAUUCUCGGACUUUGAAAGUGAAGCAAGGACAUAAGGUUUGGUUUAAGUACUGAUGGAUUCAAUCCAUUCGGUGAGUUGAGUAGUGGCCAUAGUACUUGGCCUAUGACCCUAUUUAUGUUGAACCUUCCUCCUUGGCUAUGCAUGAAGUGGAAGUUCAUUAUGAUGCCGGCGCUUAUCCAAAGUUCAAAACAACCCGACAACGACAUUGACGUGUACCUAAGACUGUUGGUUGAUGACCUUUUACAGCUCUGGAAGGAAGAAGGUGUACGUGUGUGGGAUGAGGAUAGACAAGAGAUCUUUAAUCUACGAGUAUUGUUGUUUGUAACCAUCAAUGAUUGGCCUGCACUGAGUAACCUUUCGGGACAGACAAAUAAGGGAUAUCGGGCAUGCACCCACUGUUUAGACGACACAGACAGCAUGUAUUUGAAGCAUUGUAAGAAGGUCGUCUACAUGGGUCAUCGUCGAUUUCUCCCUGCUCACCACCAGCUGAGAAAGAGCAGGAUGCAUUUCAAAGGGGCGCCAGACCAUCGUAAAAAACCUGCACACCAUAAUGGAAAGUGUGUCUUCAAGAUGAUGAAGGAUGUAAAUGUAGUCUUUGGAAAGGGUCUUGGUAGCCAACCUAUUCCAAACGACAAUAACGGACAUGCACCCAUGUGGAAGAAAAAGUCAAUAUUUUGGGAGCUACCUUAUUGGGAAAUCCUAGAGGUUCGCAAUGCAAUAGACGUGAUGCACCUGACGAAGAAUAUUUGCAUGAACGUGCUAGGCUUCAUGGGUUUUUAUGGGACCUCAAAAGACACAUUGGAAGCACGACAGGACCUGAAAGCCAUGGGGCAACGAGAUGACCUACAUCCGAAAAAGAGAGAUAAUGGAUAGCACUACUUACGUCCUGCCAGUUACACUCUGAGCAAGGAAGAGAAGGAUAGCAUGUUUGAAUGCUUGAAUAGUAUGAAGGUCCCGUCUAGGUACUCCUCGAAUAUAAAGGGAAUAAUAAAUAUGAAAAAAAAGAAGUUUAUAAAUCUCAAGGCCCAUGACUGUCACAUGUUGAUGACCCAGUUGCUUCCGGUUGCACUGAGGGGUGUUCUACUAGAAAAUAUCCAGUUGCCGCUCGUAAAGCUAUGUGCGUUUCUAAAUGCGAUUUCACAGAAGGCAAUCGAUCCAUCCAAGCUAUCAAAGCUACAGAACGAUGUGGUGCAAUGUCUUGUCAGUUUUGAGUUGUUAUUUCCACCAUCCUUCUUCAAUAUUAUGACGCACUUACUGGUUGACCUAGUAAAAGAGAUUGGUAUUCUCGGACUUGUAUACCUGCACAAUAUGUGGCCUUUCAAGUGUUCAUGGCAGUCCUAAAAAACUAUGCUCUUAAUCGUGCCCAUCCAGAAGGAAGCAUCGCCAAGGGAUAUGGAACAGAGGAGGUGAUCGAGUUUUGUGUUGAUUUUAUUGAUUCAAUUGACUCGAUUGGGGUUCCAACUUCACGCCAUGAGGGGAGGCUCCGAGGAAUGGGCACCCUUGGAAGGAAAUCAAGUUUGAGCAAUGAUACUGAUUUGUUCGACAAGGCACACUACACGGUUCUACAACAGUCAUCCUUUGUGUCUCCAUAUAUUGAGCAGCACAGGCAGAUGGUAGUUUCCAAAAACCCGACCAAAUCCGAUGCUUGGCUUACCCGUCUUCACAUGGAAACUUUUCCCUCCUGGUUGCGCCAACAACUUAUGGGUAACUCUGAGAUUCACCCACAGCUUGCCUGGUUAGCCAGGGGACCUGCUAGCACAAUUGUGAAAUUUCAAGGCUAUGAGAUAAAUGGUUAUACAUUUUACACGAGAGCCCAGGACCAGAAAAGCACGAAACCAGAAUAGUGGUGUCCGCAUACAUGCCAUGGACAGAAAUAAUAGCAAGGAGUCGUAUUAUGGUUUCAUAUAGGAGAUAUGGGAACUUGAAUACGGACCGUUGUACAUCCCUCUAUUUCUUUGUAAUUGGGUGAAGCAAACUGCCGUAACCAAAGAUCAGUACGGAAUGACAAUAGUAGAUCUGAGCAAGACUGGAUACAGUGAUGACCCAUUCGUACUUGCCAACAAUGUGCAACAGGUGUUCUAUGUGAAGGACAUGUGUAGCAAACCCAAGAGAAAUCCAGAAGAGACAUGGGAGCCAAAGUGCCACAUAGUUUUUCCAGGUAGAAGAAAAAUCGUGGGAGUCGAGGAUAAAACAAACCAAUCAGAUGAUUAUGAUUAGUUUGAUGGCAUGCCUCCAUUCGCCGUUGAAGUUGAUCCAAGCAUCCUGCUAUCCAAAGAAGAGGCUCCGUACUUACGCCGCGAUCAUGAUCAAGGAACUUUCGUGAAGAAGAAAUUCUACAACGUUGUAUUGUAAUGCGCUAAAUUUACAUGACCUUUGUGUAGUAAUUGAUACAAUUUUUAAUUUACCCUAUGUAUGAUUUGAUGUGUUCUUAAAUUUGUUAGGUGAAGAUUUAUUAGAUAAACAUGAACAAUGUUAACCACAUACAUACAUGGAUUUUUCUGCGCAUUGAAAUUAUUUAAUGGAAUAAUUUCUUGAUCACAGCGAUGUAGUAAAAUAAAUAUUUUAGAGCCUAAAUGAACUGGUAUAGAAUUAAUGACUAACUCACACUUAUUGUCAAUUUACUCGCUAAUUAAAUAUAUUUUUGCAUGUACAAAAUAUGUGAAGGUUUUUGUUUUUCAUCCUGAAUUGCAGUGAAAAGAUAAAUAAAAUCCAUUUCCAAAAAACAGGCGGGAGAAGAAAACUGGGAAAAGGACCUUUUGUCCCGGGUGCCAACAGAAACCGGGACAAAAAGCCCCCCCCCUUUUAUCCCGGUUGGUGGUGGCACCCGAGAUAAAAGGGUAGGCUCCAAGCCCCACUUGGCGGACGCACCCUUUUGUCCCGGGUCCCGUCACCAACCGGGAUAAAAGGGGGGGCCUUUUAUCCCGGUUGGUGAGGGGACCCAGGACAAAAGGCCCUUUAGUCCCGGGUGUCAUUACGAACCGGGAUAAAAGGGGGGUUAAAAGGCACUAUAGCCCCUUCUACCCCCCACGCCAGUUACAGUUAGCAAAAUUUUCACCAAGAUCCCGCGCGCACUCUGCUCCGUCGCUGCCCGUCCGCCUUCCUCGCCAGCCGUCAUCGUCGUCGUCCCCCAUUGCCCCGGCCGUCGUCGUCCCGCCGGCUGACCGUGCCCAGAUAGCCUCCUCCUCCAUCGCCCCGGCCCGCCUCGAUCCUCCUGCGUCGUGCCCGGCCCCUACCUCAUCGACGCCGGCCACCUCCAUCGCGGGGCCUCAUCGCCGCCUCCAUCCUCGUCGCCACCUCGACGCCCUGGGUCGCCGCCUCGUCGCCCCUCGUCGCUGCCUCGUCGCCGUCCUGCCUCCGCCGUCUCGCCGUCCCGCGCGCCUUCGCUCCGUCGUCGCCUCCGCCGUCCCACCGCCCCAGCCACCGCCAUCCCGCCACCCCGGCCACCUCGUCGCCCCGACCACCGUCGACCGCGCGUGAGGUCCGCCGCACCGGCACUGGCGCCGGGAGUACCGCCUUGCUGACGCAAGCCCACCGGCUUGCGUCAACAAGGGCCUUUUUUAAGUUAGAAAAUAAAUAGAAAGGAGUAGUAAUUAGGUAGAAAUUCAAUAGAUUUUUGUAUAUGUGUUACAAAAUCAAAUUAGUGUAAAUUAGUUGUAAUUAGGUUCGUCGCUCUGCCUAGGUUAGAAAUGAAUCGUGUUUCGUCGUGGUUCCGUCCCCGCCUCCGCCGUCCCGCCACCCUGACCGUCGCCGUCCCAACCUAGGCACCGUCUGUGGUUCCGUCCCCGCCUCCGCCGUUCCGCCUCCAUCGCAAAUUCAUGUUAUUGCUAGAAAUUCCAAUAAAUAUGAACAAAUUAGUAGAAAUUUGGUAGAAAUUAAUCAUUGCUGCGGCCACCUCGCUCCACAAAUUCAUGUUAUUGCUAGAAAUUCAUAAAAAUUCAUGUUAUCACUAGAAAUUCGUACAAAAUUCAUGUUAUUGCUAGAAAUUCGUAAAAAUUCAUGUUAUUGCUAGAAAUUCGUACAAAAUUCAUGUUAUUGCUAGAAAUUCGUACAAAUUCAUGUUAUUGCUAGAAAUUCGUCACAAAGUACUACUAAUUUGCAAAAAUUUGUAUAAAUAUUCCGGACUUUGUGGGAUUCAUGUUAUUUUCUGAUUUCAUGUAUAUACCCUUAUGUACAUAUAACUAAGGAGAUUUCUAUGACUUUCAUGUAUGUUUCAAUCAAUAGUUGAAAUGGCAGACGAUGAGACCGCAAGGUAUCUCAUGGAGCAGAUAAUCGCUGGUGAUGGUAGUGGCGACAACCUUCCACUAUCGUACACCGAUGAAGAGGGCACCCAGGCGGACAUGUUCCUCAACAUGUCCGCCGAUGGGAAUGAAGAGCAAAAGCCCCAGCAACACCUUGCCGGGGCGGAAGGUUCCGGCGAGGUAUAUAUAACGAUUCUUGUAUUGUUUCACACCACCGUUACUACUACGUACUAAUUAACGAAUCAUGAACCGUUAGCCCUCUGGAUCGACGCAAGGGCAGAAGACACGAGGUCGUACAAAGGUGAUGGAAGGGAGGCUUGUCAUCACGGAAGUGAUAGAAGAGGGCAGGCCGGUUGCUCCCGAGAAAGUAGCAAAGAAGUACGUGAGUCAGAUCGGGGCAAUCGUCCGGGACAACGUGCCUAUCAGCAUCAGAGAAUGGAAGGGCAGAAGCACUAAUCCGUACGCCCUCCUGGAGACAGAAAGAAUAUGCUGUGGGAAGAUGUCAAGAGACAUUUCACAUUCACCGAAGGAUAUAUUGAGAAGGAUGUGAAAGCGUGGACGCUUAAGAAGAUGGCUACACAAUUUCCAGACAUUUAAGAAGAUGCUAGAUACCCACUACAUUAAGAAGGGCCGAACUCCAGACUUCAACGCGUGGUCAAAGUUGAGGGACCACUAGGAUGCAUUUGUUGAAUAUAAGAGGAGUGAAUACGAUGUGAAAAAGAUCACGACCAACACAACAAAUGCUAGUCAGAAGGGCUACCAUCAUCAUCUGGGGCGAGAUGGUUAUGGCUCAGCAAUUCCCAAGUCGAGGAAGAUGGAACAAGAUCUGAUUGAACGGGGAAUCGUACCGGCAACUAUUGAAUGGCCCGAACGAUCAAAAAAUUGGUACUACGCUCAUGGAGGCUCCCUGUGCCAAGAGGAUGGGACGUUGAUUUUCAAUAACACAAUACGUUAGAAGGCCAAACAUCUUGUGAAGAACAUUGAAGAUUCUAAGGCUGGGAGGUUGAAGGUGGACCGAGAAAAUGAUGAGCUCACAUUGGCCCUUGGUAAUCCAGAGCACCCAGGAUGUUGCCGAGGGUUCGGGGUCGUUCCGUGGAAGUUUGUUUUCCGAGGCGACAGCGCCUCGUACAGAAGCCGGAAGCGAAGAAAGGAACAGAUCGAGGAGAGCUGGUGGCAGAUGCUAGAAUCCAAAGUGCAGGCACAAGAACAAAGAAUGAUGGAGGAAAUCAAUCGUCGAGUGGCCCACGCAGUUGUGGAGUUGGCCCAAUCUGGAGCAUUGCCGAAUCCUAACAACGCCAGCCCUUCUCAAUGCCUCUUGAGCAGUUAUGCUUCUACAGGGGUCCCCGAUGCGCACACGCCCAGGUUACCCGUGGAGGAGCAACGGUUCCCCGUGGAUGCCAUCACGCAACACACCACAUGUGAGCUGCAUGCACCGGUCGGCAACCUCACUAUUAAGGUAUACUUAUACAUAAUAUUUAUGCAAUCUUGUCAAUUGAUCCACGCCUCGAUAUCGGAGUUUAACUUGUUUACUUCUACUAUAUGUACAGGUAGCGUACGGGAGUGCGUUAGCAACCCUGGCGGGGCAGAGCAGUCAUGGCAUGAAGAUUCCACCUGGCUACGCUAGCGUCCGCGUAGAGCAAAUAGUUGAUAGCCAAUAUGAAGGUCUAGAGCUCGACCUCCCGGGAGGUGACAGGGAAAGAACACUGGCAGAUGCGCUUCAUGGGAUCAUUCUAUGGCGAAAACGCUACAUCAUUAUUCCCGGCACGGAGCCAUCUCCUCAGAGCUCAAGACCACUCCCCGUAGAUCCCCAGCAGCGACCUUCUCCUCAUAGCUCGAGACCGUCAUCUCCUGCACAACCUGCUCCAGGACCGUCCCUUCCAUCUAUAUCAAGGUCUCCAUCUCCACCACAUCCUGGUGGUGGGAGCGACGACGACAAUAACAACACCCCUUCCUGAUCACCAUCGCCGGCACCAAGAGCGGCCCCCAUGAAGGAACCUGCACCACCACUAAAAAAGUCACGAGCACCGCCUCCCAAGCAAAGACAGAGAAAGAAGAAAACAAAGGAGCCUGAAGUGACUCGUAAGGAACGCUGGGAGACAAUGUCUCAUGCGGAACAGUGGGCAGAAAUCCAACAAGAGGCCAGUGAGUGGUUCAAGAAACAAGCCGAAGAAAAAAAAGCAACGGAGAUGCAGCCACCGCCAGUAAAUCGAAGAGAUUUAAACUUUUUUAUCAGGAUGGAAGAAGGAGCCAAGAAAAGGAUACCACUCUUAUCAAACUAUGAACGGGCUUUAGUAAAGGCUGAUGAAAAGGAUAAAAGGAAAGGAAAGUCAUCUUCCAGCGGUGCUGUCCCCGACCUCAGCCAUUUAUCAAAAAAAGAUGCUCAACGGGUAAAAGCAAUGCCCUUGGAUCAACAAGCAGAAGUAUUGAAGUUCAUGCAAGAAACAGGUCUGGGACUUGAUGAAUGCCUAGGGCAAGUUGAGACGCCAACUGCACCGCCCCCUGAGCCGAGAUGGCCUUAUGAGCUAGGCAAACCUCUAGUAAAGCCUUCAUUGGUACGAAAGCUAUCAACAAAGAUGUACGCAUUCCAUCAAUGGUACAUGAUGGCAUCCGCUGACUCAAGGGAGAUGCUCGGCCUGAAGGUAAAACCGAUGGAUUUUCACGACAGAGGCGAGAAAGUGCUGUGGCUAGACUUCAAGGAUAUAUACGAAGUGUACCAUCAUGAUGCCAUAGACGUCUCUCUGAUCCGCGCUUGGGUUCUGUAAGUGUCCGUUUAUCUCUACAUGUAAAUUUUGGCGUGCGUCACCGUACUAACUUCGUCUUCCAUUUCAUGUAGGAUGCUAAUUCAGACAUGCCGCCGAGAGGCGUACCUACAUAUAGGCUUCAUGGAUCCAUCUGUAGUUAACCAACAGCAGAUACAAUUAGCAUCGGAGAAAACCUUGGUGGAAGUAUACAAUUUCCUAGACAAACAAACAUUCAAGGAUUUCAUACUAUUUCCAUACAACUUCAAGUAAGUGUGUGUAUACCGUCUACUUUCGAUGUCUUUUUCCUUAUCUCUACAUGUUAGUUAGCUCUAAUAUGCAUGAACAUUUUACGCACGCAGCUUCCACUGGAUCCUUAUUAUAAUUGAGCCUCAAAGAAGCCACGUCACUGUCUUCAAUUCGUUGAGGAAAGAUCCAGUGGAGCACCAAGAAAUGCAACACAUGCUAGGCUUGUAAUAAUUCUGGACCUUUAUCUCUAUGCAAAAGUUUGUUUCCUAAAUUCUAUCCCUGUUACACUAUAUCAUUCAUUAUUCUAAUCCACAGCGUAUGGAAACAAUUCAUAAGGACACAAAAAGGUCCAUUCAAAGAAAAACUUACAUGGAACACAGACUUCCCGGUACAUAUGAAGUCUGCACAUUUAUUACAUUGUAUAACACGAAUAUUUCAUAACUUAUUUUUUUCCGUAUUGAAGUGCUUAAGACAGGAACUCGGAAAUAAUCUAUGUGGCUACUACAUCUGUGAGCACAUGCACAGUUUUAUGGGACCCAAGGGACUAAAGAUGACGCCGCACAACUUUAAAGUACGUAAAAUAAAACUAUUACUAGUUAAUUAUUUUCUAGCUCCUUAUAUGUAUUUGUUCACGUAACAUUCACAAAUUUCCAAAUUAUAGAUGUUAAAUAUUCAACAAGGACUCUUGAAGGAAGAAAGAGUAGCGGCAAUAUGUGAAGGUCUCAUUGGAUUCCUAAUGGACAAGGUGGUAGAUCCAAAAGGAGAAUUUUAUUUUGAUGGACGACAAUUAGACACUCUGAUCAGCAACACCUCGAUGGGAAGAUUGUAGAUAGAUACUUUGAUUUAUUUGUAUAUAUAAUACGCGCUAAUUAUGAUCGAUUUGUACUAGUUGAAUUCUGUAUAUGAAUUGUGUAUAAGAAUUGUGUAUAUAUAUAGUAACUGUAUAAUUACAAAUCCCAUUCGUUUAAAUACUAGUUAAUUUCAUUCUAAAAAAAUCUCAACUACUUAAGGUUAACAAAAGGGCUGCGGUACUACGUACGUGAUGCAUGCAUGAAAAAUUCAGGCGCCAGGCAGGUGCCAUGCAGGGCAUCAUUUAGUCCCGUUUGGAAUCCAGCCGGGACUAAAGGGUAACCCUUUACUCCCGGUUGGGAAACCCAACCGGGACUAAAGGGGGACCGUUACUCCCGGUUAAAAGACCCGGGACUAAAACCCCCCCUUUUGUCCCGGUUGGCUUAUCCCGGAUAAAUUUUCGGGAGAUAUGCACCCUACCAACCGGGACUAAAGGCCAAUUCUCCACUAGUGGAAGGUCCUUUCUCUACCAUGAAUAUUGCCAGAAAGAAUUGAAAGAGACCGCUUGCUAAAAACAUGUCAUAGAUGCGGACCAAGCUACCAAGGAGGUAGACCAAACAUGAUACACACCAUGCGUACCUUGCUGUGCAGACUAUGCAUGGACAAGAUACCCGACCACAUGUUGGCUUUGGUCACAUCAAAAGAAUCAUGUAGGCCAUUAAUAAACUACUUGAAGCGUCAUUCCGUAUCUUAUAUCCAUCAUCUGCAUUACAUUACAUUAAAUAUUAUUAACUAUUUGAAUAAAAUGAACCAAUUUAAAAAUAAUGAAUUGUACAUUACUACAAAAAGCCCUAGCACUGCCAGUUCCAAAAACAUCAUUGUUGACGGCCGUUAAGUACCAAAUAUGACGGUCAAUAUCCUAAAGAAUAAAGGACAAUUGGCAUUUCUUACACACAUAUUUGGUUUCGAAUAAUGUAGUUCUACAUGUCCUUGGAGAUUAUUUGGGUGUGGGUGAAAUAAUACAAAAAGAAGGAGAAAACACACUCCCAUGGCAAAGAAACAUAACUCCGACCAAUGAGAGAUAGCCACAGGGGCAGCACAUGGAUCCAUGGGCCCACAAACUGCAUCAAACCAUCUUACAAGGCGGGUAGCACCCACAACUGUCAUUAGGACCCACCUGGAAGUCUAGCAAAGAAGAAGGUUGUGAGUGGGGCCACGAGGGGUUCGGUUGAAUCAUCUCUAGCUCCCUUCAUCCCCAGCUGGCGCGUGGCGGUGGUUCAUGGUGUCCCGACAUCGGUUAGAGGACAUUCCCCCAAAUAUUCCUCCUGUAAACCAGCUCUAUGAACCUAUAAAUAGAGGGGUGUGCUCUCCAUUCCAACACACACCACAAGUUGAAGCACUCUCUCCCUCUUUAGUUUCCAAGUUUACGGAGAUAGGCUGGAGUAGCUCUGCUAAAGGUUCCAAGUCCACUUGGAGUUAAGCGUAUGUCUCUUGUAUCAUUAUUUCCUAGAGAGACUUUAUGCUAUUCAAGUUAUUUAUCUUCUUCAUAUAGUGUUAUGCUUAGUUCUUAUAUGCAUGAGUUAGUCUAAUACCCUUGCUCUAUUGAUAUGCUCAGCUUAUGUGCUCGUAUGCUAGUCAUGUACCCUUGCUGUCAUAGUAUAGGGUUAUAUGCUGUCAUGUGUGCCUAUAGACCUUGCUACAGUAUAUACUUGUUGUGUAUACAUACCAUUUGUAUAUACAUUAUUACAAGUUAAGGUAGUUUUAAAUAUCCUUGUGUUGACAACCAAAGCUUGAUCUUUUGUUUCCAUUGCCAGCGGAUUCAUCGGCUCAGAGUAGGAUCAAGACAUCAAGUUGAUGGAGUUCUUUAUAUUUCAAGAGGAGUCAUGGAGUUCUUUAUAUUUCAAGAGGAGUUGAUGGUGCUUUCAAUAUUGCAACCAGACAUCAUUGGCUCUGAAGACACCGAAUCAUCGGAGUUCUAUGAUCAGUUUCGGAACAUGAAGCCUUCAUACUCCGAAACUGGGGGGCCUGUGUUGACACCGAAUUAUCGGACUUCUAUAAUUAGUUUCGGAACAUGAAGCCUUCAUACUUCGAAACUGGGGGGUAUGUGUUUACACCAAAAUUUAGAAAUGUGCUCUGAAAGGAAGGACCUGGGAGAUCUAUUGGCUGAAAUACAAAUCCAUCGAAACUAGCCUUAUGCUAAGAGAUCAGAAUAUUGUACAAAGUCUAGAAAGUUCUAUUUACAUCUAAGUAACUCGAUAACUAGCCUUACGCUAAGAGAUCAGAAUAUUGGACAAAGCCUACAAAGUUCUAAUAUAGGUAACGUAAUGACCAGGUGAGGAUAGUUACAAGCUCGCUUGAGAUCGAAGCCGAUGUAGCCCUGCGCGCAAGAAGAAACUCACCUAUUUCUACUCUACUCUUACUCCUAGGGUUUGAUGGCGUGGCGUCAAAAGAUUGUAUUGAUUGAUUGAUUAUUUGAUACAAAGCUCAUGGGCCUAUAUUUAUACCCUUGAGAAAGCUAAAAUCCUAAUCAGUUAUGACAUGAAUCGUGACAGAAAAUCUAACUAAAGAUAGAUCUCCAUGCUUUCCCUUAUUUGGUGGAGUCGAUUUCACUUCAUAUCGGAUCCCUCCCGAUCUUCUAUCGGCUUCUAGCAUCCGGUCAUCUGCGACUGGCCUUGGUCAACAUCAGGUGUCAACAGACUUAUUUCUUCUACAAGUUCAUCGGCUGUCAGAGCCUUGUCUUAGUCAGUUGACUCUAGUAAAAAAUCGAUGUCAAUACAUGCCCCCCAAUUUUUGAAUAAAAUAUUAUAUUUCAAAAUUCUCUUCUCUUGUCAACAGCUUUUGAAAGAAAAAGAGUCACUGCUGCAAUCAUAAUCUUUUUCCCCGGGUUUUGUGAUAGCACCCUCCUCAUUUUAAGGGAUUCACCAUGUGGAAAUUAUAAUAUAACUGCUUCACCCAUUUCGUUUUCUUCACCAAACCAACUAUUGUCAGCCGCUACAACCAAAAAUCAAUUAUUCCCUUCACAUGCCUAGCGACUGCAUCCAUCACUCAUCGUCACCAUUAGUCUCCAUGUGUCAAGGCUUCUUCAACCAGCAAUGGCGACAUUAUCUUCCAUUCCACAGGUACCAUGUAUCCUAGCCAUUCCUUUCCCCUUUCAACCUGAAAUCCAAUCUAGUCACUAUAUAUCAAACCUGUGUUCUUAAUCAAUACUUGCCCCCUUGUACUUAGAAACACCCUUUUGAUCCCCAUAUCCGAUACGCAAGCAGAAUACUUUCUAGGCCCCAUGGGUAGUGAAGACCCAAUAGAAUCUAUUAAUGCUGAAAUACUUGGACAAAGUCUAGAAAGUUCUAUUUACAUCUAAGUAACUCGAUAACUAGCCUUACGCUAAGAGAUUUAAAUAUUGGAUAAAGCCUAGAAAGUUCUUAUAUAGGUAACUGAAAAGUGUGUUGACGCAAAAAUUGGAUGGUUGACUCCUGCGUACUAACACACGGAACCAGGGAGAAUCUGCUUAGCUACUGUUCGGGUUAUAGCCCUCUCGAUCCGUAGCGUGCCAGUUAAUCUGACCUGCUGAUUGACAAGUAAAAAUGUCAAAUUAAGAGCAAAUCAGCUGGUGUUCCGAAUCGCUCCACGGGACGUAUCAGUAGACAGCCGAUACGGGCAAACGACAAUCAGCUAGAUCAGCCGAUUUGCUCUUGUAUUUGACGUUUUACUUGUCCUUCUCAAUCAGCAGGUCAGAUUGACUCGCACGACGCAGAUCGAGAGGGCUAUAACCUAAACAAGAGCUAAGCAGAUUCUCCCGGGUUUCAUGUCUUAGUACACAGAAGUCAACCGUCUGAUUUUAUCAUCAACACGCUUUUUGGCACGCUCAGUGGGACCCGAUUCAUAUCUUAAUGGUAAUUGGUGAUCAAGUUUCAAACAACGUAUCCACUGGUAGAAAACUGAGCAUUAGUCCCGGUUGGUAAGGGUCAUAUCUCUCGGAUAUCCAUCCGGGAUAAACCAACCGGGACAAAAGGGGGGGGUCUUUAGUCCCGGGUAUUUUAACCGGGAGUAAAGGACCCCCUUUAGUCCCGGUUGGUGUCACCAACCGGGACUAAAGGGCCUGCCACGCCAGGCGCGGGACAGGCCCUUUAGUCCCGGUUGGUGACACCAACCGGGACUAAAGGGGGUCCCUUUAGUCCCGGUUGGAUUUCCCAACCGGGACUAAAGGGGUCCCCUUUAGUCCCGGCUCAAUUCCAACCGGGACUAAAUUGCGCUUGCAUGGCACUGGUGACGCCUGAAUUUUUCAUGCAUGCAUCACGUAUACGUAUAGUAGUACCGCGGCCCUUUUAAUUUGUUAACCUUGUAGUUGAGAUUUUUUUAGAAUGAAUUAAAUCAACUAGUAUUUAAACGAAUGGGAUUUGUAAUUACACAACUACUAUAUAUAUACACAAUCCUUAUACACAAUUCAUAUACACAAUUCAACUAGCUUAAUUAGUACAAAUCGAUCAUAUAUACAAAUAAAUCAAAGUAUCUUCCUACGAUCUUCCCGUCGUGGUGUUGCUGAGAGGAGUGUCUAAUUGUCGUCCAUCGUAAUAAAAUUCUCCUCUUGGAUUUACCACCUCGUCCAUUAUGAAUCCAAUGAGACCUUCACAUAUUGCCGCUACUCUUUCUUCCUUCAAGAGUCCUUGUUGAAUAUUUAACAUCUAUAAUUUGGAAAUUUGUGAAUGUUACAUGAACAAAUACAUAUAAGGAGCUAGAAAAUAAUUAACUAGUAAUAUAUUUAUUUUACGUACUUUAAAGUUGUGCGGCGUCAUCUUCGGUCCCUUGGGUCCCAAAAAACUGUGCAUGUGCUCACAGAUGUAGUAGCCACAUAGGUUAUUCCCGGGUUCCUGUCUUAAGCACUUCAGUGCGGAAAAAAAAUAAGUUAUGAAAUAUUCGUGUUAUACAAUGUAAUAAAUGUGCAGACUUCAUACGUACCGGGAAGUCUGUGUUCCAUGUAAGAUCUUCUUUGAAUGGACCUUUGUGUGUCCUUAUGAAUUGUUUCCAUACGCUGCGGAUUAGAAUAAUGAAUGACAUAGUGUAACAGGGAUAAAAUUUAGGAAAUAAAUUUUUGCAUAGAGAUAAAGGUCCAGAAUUAUUACAAGCCUAGCAUGUCUUGCAAUUCUUGGUAGUCCACCGGAUCUUUCCGUAACGAAUCAAAGACAGUGACGUGGCUUCUUUCAGGCUCAAUUAUAAUAAGGAUCCAGUGGAAGCUGCGUGCGUAAAAUGUUCAUGCAUAUUAGAGCUAACUAACAUGUAGAGAUAAGGAAAAAGACAUCGAAAGUAGACGGUAUACACACACUUACUUGAAGUUGUAUGGAAGUAGUAUGAAAUCCUUGAAUGUUUGUUUGUGUAGGAAAUUGUAUAUUUCGGCAAAGGUUUUUUCCGGCGCUAAUUGUAUCUGUUGUUGGUUAACUACAGAUGGAUCCAUGAAGCCUACAUGUAGGUACGCCUCUCGGCGGCAUGUCUGAAUUAGCAUCCUACAUGAAAUGGAAGAUGAAGUUAGUACGGUGACGCACGCCAAAAUUUACAUGUAGAGAUAAUAAACGGACACUUACAGAAUCCAAGCGCUGAUCAGAGAGACGUCCAGGGCAUCAUGAUGGUACACUUCGUAUAUAUCCUUGAAGUCUAGCCACAGCACUUUCUCCCCUUCACCGUGAAAAUCUAUCGGUUUUACCUUCAUGCCGAUCAUCUCCCUCGAUUUGGCGGAUGCCGUCAUGUACCAUUGAUGGAAUUCGUACAUCUUUGUUGACAGCUUCCGUACCAUUGCCGGCUUCACUAGAGGCUUGCCUAGCUCAUAAGGCCAUCUCGGCUCAGGGGGCGGUGCAGUUGGCGUCUCGACUUGCCCUAUGCAUUCUUCAAGUCCCAGACCUGUUUCUUCCAUGAACUUCAAUAUAUUUUCUUGUUGAUCCAAGGGCAUUGCUUUUACCCGUUGAGCAUCUUUCUUUGAUAAAUGGCUGAGGUCGGGGACUGAACCGCUGGAGGAUGAUUUUCCUUUUCUUUUAUCCUUUUCAUCAGCCUUUACUAGAGCCCGUUCAUAGUUUGACAAGAGUGGUAUCCUUUUCUUGGCUCCUUCCUCCAUCCUGAUAAAAAAGUUUAAAUCCCGCCGACUUACUGGCGGUGGCUCCAUCUCCCUUGCCCUUUUUAAUUCGGCUUGUUUCUUGAACCACUCACUGGCCUCUCGUUGGAUUUCUGCCCACUGUUCCGCAUGAGACAUUGCCUCAAAGCGUUCCUUGCGAGCCACUUCAGGGUCGACCUUUGUUUUCUUCUUUCGAGGCUGUCUUUGCUUGGGAGGCGGUGCUCGUGACUUCUUGAGUGGUGCUGCAGGUUCCUUCGAGGGGGCCGCUCUUGGUGCCAGCGACGGUGAUCGGGGAGGGGUGUUGUUAUUGUCGUCGUCGCUCCCAGCACCAGGAUGUGGUGGAGAUGGAGACCUUGAUAUAGAUGGAAGCGACGGUCCUGGAGCAGGAGAUGCCGGUCUCGAGGUAUGAGGAGAAGGUCGCUGCUCGGGAUCUACGGGGAGCGGUCUUGAGGUCUGAGGAGAUGGCUCCGUGCGGGAAAUAAUGAUGUAGCGUUUCUUCCAUAGAAUGAUCCCAUGAAGCGCAUCUGCCAAUGUCUUUUCCCCGUCGCCUCCCGGGAAGUCGAGCUCUAGACCUUCAUACUGGGCAUCUACUAUUUGCUCGACGCAGACGCUGGCGUAGCCUGUUGGAAUGUCCAUGCCAUGACUGCUCUGCCCUGCCAGCGUUGGUAACGCACUCCCAUACGCUACCUGUACAUAUAGCAGAAGUAAACAAGUUGAACUCCGAUCUCGAGGCCUGGAUCAAUUGACAAGAUUGCAUAAAUAUUAUGUAUAAGUAUACCUUAAUAGUGAGGUUGCCGACCGGUGCAUGCAGCUCACAUGAGGUCCGUUGCGUGAUGGCAUCCACGGGGAACCGUUGCUCCUCCACGGGUAACCUGGGCGUCUGCGCAUCGGGGACCCCUGUAGAAGCACAACUGCUCCCGAGGCGUUGAGAAGGGCUGGCGGUGUGAGGAUUCGGCAGUGCUCCAGAUUGCGCCAACUCCGCAACUGCGUCGGCCACCCGCCGAUUGAUUUCAUCCAUCAUUCGUUGUUCUAGCAUCUGCCGCCAGCUCUCCUCCAUCUGUUCCUUUCUUCGCUUCCGGCUUCUGUAAGAGGCGCUGUCGCCUCGGAAAGCGAACUUCCACGGAACCACCCCGAACCCCCGGCAACGUCCUGGGUGCUCUGGAUUACCGAGGGCCAAUGUGAGCUCAUCAUUUUCUCGGUCCACCCUCAACCUCCCAGCCUUGGAAUCUUCAAUGUUCUUCAUGAGAUGUUCGGCCUUCUCACGUAUUCUGUCAUUGAAAAUCAGCGUCCCAUCCUCUUGGCUUAGGGAGCCUCCAUGAGCGUAGUACCAGUUCUUUGAUCGUUCGGGCCAUUCAAUAGUUGCAGGUAUGAUUCCCCGUUCGAUCAGAUCUUGUUCCAUCUUUCUCCACUUGGGAAUUGCUGAGCCAUACCCACCUCGCCCCAAAUGAUGGUGGUAGCCCUUCUGACUAGCAUUUGCAACGUUGGUCGUGAUCUUUUUCACACCUUCUUCACUCCUCUUGUAUUCAACAAAUGCAUCCCAGUGGUCCCUCAACUUGGGCCACGCGUUGAAGUCUGGAGUUUUGCCCUUCUUGAUGUAGUGGGUGUCCAGCAUCUUCUUGAAUGUCUGGAAUUGAGUAGCCAUCUUCUUAAGUGUCCACGCUUUGACAUCCUUCUCGCUAUAAUCUUCGGGGAAUGUGAAAUGCCUCUUCACGUCUUCCCACAGCAUAUUCUUUUCUGUCUCUGGAAGGGCGUACGGAUUAUCGCUUCUGCCCUUCCAUUCUCUGAUGCUGAUAGGCACGUUGUCCCGGACAAUUGCCCCGAUUUGACUAACGUACUUCUUUGCGACUUUCUCGGGAGCAACCGGCCUGCCCUCAUCUGUAACUUCGGUGAUGACAAGCCUCCCUUCCAUCACCUUUGUACGACCUCGGGUCUUCUGCCCUUGUGUCGAUCCGGAGGGCUAACAGUUUAAGAUUCGUUAAUUAGUACGUACUAGUAGCGGUGGCGUGAAACAAUACAAGAAUGGUUGUAUAUACCUCGCCGGAACCUUCCGCCACGGCAAGUUGUUGCUGCGGCUGUUGCUCUUCAUUCACAUCGGCAGACAUGUUGAGGAACAUGUCCGCCUGGGUGCCCUCUUCAUCCGUGUAUGAUAGUGGAACGUUGUCGCCACUAUCAUCACCAGCGAUUAUCUGCUCCAUGAUAUACCUUGCGGUCUCAUCGUCUGCCAUUUCAACUAUUGCUGCAAACAUACAUGGAAUCAUACAUGACAGUCAUAGAAAUCGUCUUAAUACAAAUUUGUAUAUAAUCACAGUUCGGAAUCAUACAUGUAUAUAAUGAAAUCAUAAAAUAACAUGAAUCGUACAAAGUCCGGAAUCUUUAUACAAAUUUCUAUGAAUUUAUACAAAUUUCUAUGAAUUUAUACAAAUUUCUAUGAAUUUCUAUGAAUUUCUAUGAAUUUCUAUGAAUUUCUAUGAAUUUCUAUGAAUUUAUACAAAUUUCUACGAAUUUCUAUGAAUUUCUAUGAAUUUCUAUGAAUUUAUACAAAUUUCUACGAAUUUCUAUGAAUUUCUACAAAUUUCUACGAUUUUCUAUGAAUUUCUACAAAUUUCUACGAAUUCCUACGAAUUUUGACGAAUUUCUACGAAUUUUGACGAAUUUCUACGAAUUUCUACGACGGCGAUAAGGGCGGCGAAGGCGGGACGGCGGCGGUCAGGGCGGCGGAGGCGGGACGGCGGCGGUCAGGGCGGCGGAGGCGGUUCACCGGAACCACGGGCGGUGCCUAAGCUACUACGUUGUGAUGGGCGGCAGGACGGCGGCGAUCACGGCGGCUACUCGGCGGCGAUCACGACGGCUACAAGGCGACUGUCACGGUAGCUACUCGGCGGGACGGCGGCGAUCACGACGGCGGGACGGUAGUUAACAACCUAACUACAAAUCUAACUUAACAAACUAACUAGAAAUCUAAAAAUCUAACUUAACAAAAUUAGAAAUCUAAAAAUCUAACUUAACAAAAUUACAAUUCCAUCUAAAAAAACAAAAUUAAAAAUUAAAAGAAAACGGCCAGCUCUCCCGGCGCACCGGCCGGCGCGGCAGACCUCUCGCGCGCGGGGCGGCGGCCGGGGCGGCGGGACGGCGGCGGCCGGGGCGGCCUGACGGCGGCGGCUGGGGCGGCGACGAGGACGAAGACGACGACGGCGGGAUGACGGCGGCCGAGGCGAAGACGACGACGGCGGCCGGCGAGGGGCGACGAGGAUGGAGCUGGCGACGAGGGGCGAUGCAGCCGGCGAGGGAGGCGGACGGGCGGCGACGGGCGGAGAGGGAGGCGGACGGGCGGCGACGGGCGAGGGAGGCGGACGGGCGACGACGACGGCGCAAUGCGGGACUUCGACGGCGCAAUGGGGGACGACGACGGCGGCGGCCGGCGAGGGAGGCGGACGGGCGGCGACGGGCGGAGAGCGCGGGACUUGCGAAAAUUUCGCUAAGUGUGGAACUGGCGGGGGGUAGAAGGGAGUACAGUGCUUUUAACCCCCCCCCCCUUUUAUCCCGGUUCGUAAUGGCACCCGGGACAAAAAGGGCCUUUUGUCCCGGGUCCUGUCACCAACCGGGACAAAAGGCCCCCCCUUUUAUCCCGGUUGGUGACGGGACCCGGGAUAAAAGGGUGCGCUCCCAGCCCCACCUGGCGGGGGCACCCUUUUAUCUCGGGUCCCGUUACCAACCGGGACAAAAGGCCCCCCCUUUUAUCCCGGUUGGUAACGGGACCCGGGACAAAAGGGUGCCCCCGCCAGGUGGGGCUGGGAGCGCACCCUUUUAUCCCGGGUCCCGUCACCAACCGGGAUAAAAGGGGGGGGCCUUUUAUCCCUGUUGCAAAUGGCAACCGGGAUAAAAGGGUACGUUCGGGCGGGAGACGAAACGUACCCUUUUAUCCCGGUUGCCGUUUGCAACCAGGAUAAAAGGGGGGCCUUUUAUCCCGGUUGCUGUUAGCACCCGGGACAAAAGGUCCUUUUUCCUAUUUUUCUUCUCCCGCCUGUUUUUUGGAAAUGGAUUUUAUUUAACCUUUUCACUGCAUUCCAGGAUGAAAAACAAAACCUUCUCAGAUUUUGUACAUGCAAAAAUAUAUUUAAUUAACGAGUAAAUUGACAAUAAGUAUGAAGUAAUCAUUAUUUCUAUACCAACUCAUAUAGCCUGUAAAAUAUUUAUUUUACUGCAUUGCUGUGAUCAAUAAAUUAUUCAAUUAAAUUUUUUGAAUGCGCAGAAAAAUCCAUGUUAGUAUGUGGUUAACAAUGUUCAUGUAUAUCUAAAAAAUCUUCACCUAACAAAUUUAAUUACAAAUUUUAUCAAUUAAUACACAAAGGUCAUGCACAUUUAACGCAUUACAAUACAACGUUGUAAAAUUUCUUCUUCACGAAAGUUCCUUGAUCAUGAUCGCGGCGUAAGUACGGAGCCUCUUCUUUGGACAGCAGGAUGCUUGGAUCAACUUCAACGUCGAAUGGAGGCAUGCCAUCAAACUGAUCAUAAUCAUCUGAUUGGUCUGUUUUAUCCUCGACUCCCACGAUUUUUCUUUUACCUAGAAGAACUAUGUGGCACUUUGGCUCCCAUGUCUCUUCUGGAUUCCUCUUGGGUUUGCUGCACAUGUCCUUCACAUAGAACACCUGAUGCACAUCAUUGGCAAGUACGAAUGGGUCAUCACUGUAUCCAGUCUUGCUCAGAUCUACUAUUGUCAUUCCGUACUGAUCUUUGGUGACGGCAGUUAGCUUCACCCAAUUGCAAAGAAAUAGAGGGAUGUACAGCGGUCCGUAUUCGAGUUCCCAUAUCUCCUGUAUGAAACCAUAAUACGACUCCUUGCUAUUAUUUCUGUCCAUGGCAUCUAUGCGGACACCACUAUUCUGGUUCGUGCUUUUCUGGUCCUGGGCUCUCGUGUAAAAUGUGUAACCAUUUAUCUCAUAGCCUUGGAAUUUGACGAUUGUGGUAGCAGGUCCCCUGGCUAACCAAGCAAGCUGUGGGUGAAUCUCAGAGUUACCCAUAAGUUGUUGGCGCAACCAGGAGGGAAAAGUUUCCAUGUGAUGACGGGUAAGCCAAGCAUCGGAUUUGGUCGGGUUUUUGGAAGCUACCAUCUGCCUGUGCUGCUCGAUAUACGGAGACACAAAGGAUGACUGUUGUAGAACAGUGUAGUGUGCCUUGUCGAACAAAUUAGUAUCAUUGCUCAAACUUGAUUUCCUUCCAAGGGUGCCCAUUCCUCGGAGCCUCCCCUCGUGGCGUGAAGUUGGAACCCCAAUCGAGUCAAUUGAAUCAAUAAAAUCAACACAAAACUCGAUCACCUCCUCUGUUCCAUAUCCCCUGGCGAUGCUUCCUUCUGGACGAGCACGAUUACGAACAUAGUUUUUUAGGACUGCCAUGAACCUCUCGAAAGGCCACAUAUUGUGCAGGUAUACAGGUCCGAGAAUACCAAUCUCUUUUACUAGGUGAACCAGUAAGUGCGUCAUAUUAUUGAAGAAGGAUGGUGGAAAUAACAACUCAAAACUGACAAGACAUUGCACCACAUCGUUCUGUAGCUUUGAUAGCUUGGAUGGAUCGAUUGCCUUCUGCGAAAUCGCAUUGAGAAACGCGCAUAGCUUUACGAGCGGCAACCGGACAUUUUCGGGUAGAACACCCCUCAGUGCAACCGGAAGCAACUGGGUCAUCAACAUGUGGCAGUCAUGAGCCUUGAGAUUUGUAAACUUCUUUUGUUUCAUAUUUAUUAUUCCCUUUAUAUUCGAGGAGUACCCAGACGGGACCUUCAUACUAUUCAAGCAUUCAAACAUACUAUCCUUCUCCUCCUUGCUGAGAGUGUAACUGGCAGGACGUAAGUAGUGCUGUCCAUUAUCUCUCUUUUCCGGAUGUAGGUCAUCUCGUUGCCCCAUGGCUUUCAGGUCCUGUCUUGCUUCCAAUGUAUCUUUUGAGGUUCCAUAAACACCCAUGAAGCCUAGCACGUUCACGCAAAGAUUCUUCGUCAGGUGCAUCACGUCUAUUGCGUUGCGAACCUCUAGGAUUUCCCAAUAAGGUAGCUCCCAAAAUAUUGACUUUUUCUUCCACAUGGGUGCAUGUCCGUUAUCAUCGUUCGGAAUAGGUUGGCUACCAAGUCCCUUUCCAAAGACUACAUGUACAUCCUUCAUCAUCUCGAACACACGCUUUCCAUUACGGUGUGCAGGUUUUUUACGAUGGUCUGGCGUCCCUUUGAAAUGCAUCCCGCUCUUUCUCAGCUGGUGGUGAGCAGGGAGAAAUCGACGAUGACCCAUAUAGACGACCUUCUUACAGUGCUUCAAGUACAUGCUAUCUGUGUCAUCUAAACAGUGGGUGCAUGCCCGAUAUCCCUUAUUUGUCUAUCCUGAAAGGUUACUCAAUGCAGGCCAAUCGUUGAUGGUUACGAACAACAGUGCUCGUAGAUUAAAGAUCUCUUGUCUAUCCUCAUCCCACACACGUACACCUUCUUCCUUCCAGAGCUGUAAAAGGUCAUCAACCAACGGCCUUAGGUACACGUCAAUGUCGUUGCCGGGUUGUUUUAGGCCUUGGAUAAGCGCCGGCAUCAUAAUGAACUUCCGCUUCAUGCACAGCCAAGGAGGAAGGUUGAACAUACAAAGGGUCACAGGCCAAGUACUAUGACCACUACUCAACUCACCGAAUGGAUUGAAUCCAUCAGUGCUUAAACCAAACCUUAUGUUCCUUGCUUCACUUUCAAAGUCUGGGAAUGUUCUAUCAAUUGAUCUCCACUGUGCCCCAUCUGCGGGGUGUCUCAGCAUCUCAUCUUCCUUACGGUCUUCUUUGUGCCAUCGCAUCAACUUAGCAUUCGCCUUGUUCCUGAACAAGCGCUUCAAGCGUGGUAUUAUAGGGAAAUACCACAUCACCUUCACGGGAACUCUCUUCUUGGGAGACUGCCCCUCGACAUCACCAGGAUCAUCUCGCCUGAUCUUAUACCGCAGGGCUUCGCAGACGGGACAAGCAUCCAAUUCCUCGUAUUCAUCACCACGAUAGAGGAUACAGUCAUUAGGGCAUGCGUGUAUCUUCUGAACAUCCAAUCCGAGAGGGCAAAUAAUCUGUUUAGCUUCAUAUGUUGUGGACGGUAAUUCAUUAUUCUCGGGGAGAAUCUUCUUGACAAUUCUCAACAUCCCCUGAAAUGCCUUAUCGGACACACCAUUUUUUGCCUUCCAUUGCACAAAUUCUAGUGUCGUACCUAGUUUUUUAUGGCCCUGCUGGCAACCUGGGUACAACAAUUUUUGGUGAUCAUCUAUCAUGCGCUGCAACUUUGCUGCUUCCUUCUCAGUUUCGCAAUCUCUGUAUGCAUCUCGUAUCACCUGACCAAGGUCAUCAGUAGGGUCAUUUUCUGCAAACUCAUCUUCAUCAGCCUCGCCCAUUGUAGUACCUGCAAAAGCUUGGCCUGCAACCCAGUCCGGAAUGGUGUCAUCUUCCUCCUCCUCCUCGCCAUCUUCCAUUACAACCCCUAGUUCACCGUGCUUGGUCCAAACCAAAUAGUUAGGCAUGAAACCGUAUUUAAACAAGUGGCUGUGAAUAGUCCCCCAGGAAUUCUUUGAAUACUCCUUCCUGUUAUUGCAUUGGAAGCAUGGACAACAUACGAACCCAUUCUCUGGCUUGUUCGCUUUUGCCACUUCGAGAAAAUAAUGCAAGCCAUCAAUAAACACCUUGCUCCGCCUGUCUGCAUUAUACAUCCAAUGCCGGUCCAUCUGCAUCGUAUUACGCACGAAAAUGGAUUACACUUGACAAUGGAUUACGCGUGAAAAUCGAUUAAAGAUCCAAACAACAUGGUACAAUACAACAACAUGAAGAUCCAAAUACACAUAUUUAAAUUAAAGUCCCAAACACUGCAUAAGUUGUUCAACUUGAAGACCGUGAUCAUCUCGUGAGGAUGUCCUCAACUGGGCGGCACCGCACUUCGUCAUUAAAGAGGUUAGAUGCUACGGAAAAGGGGACACGGUCACAAUGUCCGUAUCCACUCUUUCUCGUAGAAUCGAACCUCCUUCUUGACAUACGUUGCUGCUCGGCGGAGAACAUCCUCGGCGAGAUGAACACGGUAUGCAAGUUCAACAAGUAGCAGAAGUCAUCUAUGUACAAAAAUUCUUUCCUUACCACUACAGAAGUUGUUGAACUUGAAGACCGUGUUCAUUUCGCGAGGAUGUCCUCAGCUAGGCGGCACCGCACUUCGUCAUGAAAGAGGUUAGAUGCUACGGAAAAGGGGACACGGUCACGAUGUCCGUAUCCACUCUUUCUCGUAGAAUCGAACCUCCUUCUUGACAUACGUUGCUGCUCGGCGGAGAACAUUCUCGCCGAAAUGAACACGGUAUGCAAGUUCAACAAGUAUAUGGAUUUAAAAAACCAUAUUGAAUUUGAUAAGAUAAACCGUCUAGACAAGGUAGCAUCAUUUUUAAACCACUGAAAUAAUGCAUACUAUAUAUGACACAUCAAUCUCCCUCACAUUCUAGCUCAAAAUACCUCUCCAUUUUUCUACUUCAUCAUCACAUUGUAGCAAAUAAUCUUUCCAUCUCCAAAGCAUAAAUCAAAGCAUAACACGAGGAUGAAGUAGCAAACCUUCGCAGCACUUGUUGGCUGAGUCAAAUUCCCACGAAAAUGAGGGAAAAAAGUUCGGGCAGCACCUCCCUUGCUUGGGCACCACCGGAGAGUAGGUGAAGCUCAGCUCUCUAUCAAUGUGCUGGACUGCUCGGGCUGGAGGAAGAAGAAAGUCUCUGUCUCGGGGUAUAGUGGGGGAUGAGUUUUAAUCCCGGUUAAAAACUCCAACCGAGACAAAAGGAAACACCUUUUGUCCCGGUUGGAAAGUUAGUCCCGGUUGGAGGAUCCAACCGGGAUAAAAGGGACACCCUUUUAUCCCGGUUGGAGGCACCAACCGGGACUAACCCUUUUAUCCCGGUUGGUGCCUCCAACCGGGAUAAAAGGGUGUCCCUUUUAUCCCGGUUGGAUCCUCCAACCGGGAUAAAAGGGUCCCGCCACCGACGGCCCCCGCUAGCCGUUGCAACCGGGACUAAAGGGGGGCCUUUAGUCCCGGUUGCAAUUACCAACCGGGACUAAUGCUCCCCUCCAAAUUCCCGCACCCCGGCGCACCCCCUUUUGUCCCGGGCCACUUUUAAACCGGGAUAAAAGGGGGUUGAUCGAAAGUCAGUUCUCUACUAGUGAUCGGUGACUCCGCUCGAGGAGAAUUGUUUAUAUCAAGCAUAGAAAUGACAACGUUGGAAGUGGAGGAUAUAUUUUGCUCUGUUGAUUUAAUUGCCGCGAGAGUGGCGGACAAGUUCUAAUGAUUGAAGAUCAGAAGCGUCUCGUGGAGAAUUUUUCAGAAGCUAUAUUUGGAAUUAUUAUAUUAUCUCAGGAGCAGAUUAAAUAUAACGCCACCACUGAAAGCCGAUGAGAUGUAUCUAUCGGCUACAUGCUAUUCAGAUGAAUUUGAUGACAGAUUAAUUACGGAGGAGACCGACCGAUACAACAUUAUGGUUUCUUACUGCUGAUCUGUUAUGAAAGAGGAUGUGAGAAGCUGAUAAUCAAGCAACAAUAAAAUGAUAUACACGCAGGGCAUUAAAUAUUGAGUUAAUGAUUGGGAGUACUACCAUUAUCUUAUGAAAAGUCCAUCGGCUAACCAAACAGCGUCAGCCGAUGGAAGCAAAUAGUGUCAGCCGAUAGAAUGAUGUUAUAUAAGUAUAUAUAUCGGCCUCCGAGCCAAUGGGAAGUAGGAACUAUCAGCCGAUGCACACAUCCAUGGACAUAGCCGAUAAGACAUUGUAUCGGCUGCUUGGCAAAUAAAAAUAGCAUCGGCUGACCGCUUGUUAAAAUAUUAUCGGCCGAUUGCUUGGCAAAAUAGUAUUGGCUGACUGCUUGGCAAAUAAAAAAAUAAUAGGUUGACCAAAAAAGGAUAGCAUUGCCUGAUUGCUUGGCAAAUAAAAAAAAUUACGUCGGCUGAUUGGUUCCAGCAAAAUAGUAUCGGCUGCUUGUUGAUCAGAAAAAGCCGAUACUGUUACAGCUCCCGCAACUGUGCUUUGCUGUCAUCGGCUGGGUUGUUCGUGCUCCAUCUGCAAAUAUUUGUCCCGGCUAGAAAGUAUCGUACGUGCAUUGGGAUUCGGCAGUACAAAUCACGUACACGCGUAUGGUCUGCUCAGAAGCUGUCUGUUCGACGAAGUUCCAGGCCAAUGGUGGAGACUUGAUGACCAUGGUGACCUGCAUUAAUCAACAUGAAGUAUGUAUCGGCUGUUCGGUGAUUGGUAGCAAAUCAGCUUUCUCAUAGCCGGUGACAUAUGGGGCAAGAAAUAUCAGGCUUAAAAAAGGACAGUACGAUCAAUGUCGAAAGUUGUAGCCGACGGUUCUAUUAUUGUGCAGUCGAUGGAACAUAGAAGAUGCAUCUGAAUGAGCAAAAGGAAGGGAGCCGAUAGAAGGGAAUUUAAGUUGCAUGAGAUCCAAUUAAAUUAAGAUGACGAGAGGUGUUGACAUCGAAUCAUCGGACUUCUACGAAGUCUUCAUACUCCGAAACUAGGGAGUCUGUGUUAACACCAAAAUUUAGAAAUAUGCUGAUGCAAAAAAAUAAUGAAAUCUCCUAAAUAAGGCUCAAGAAAGAAAAAGCAAGAAAAGAAAAUCAAUCGCACGCGGCAAGAAUUGAAUAAAAUAUUCUAGAGGUAGAGUUGGUUAGGAUAAGCUUAAUUAGGGAUAGAGUUGGAUUAGUUAGAGAUAGUAUUUUGAUUAGAAAAGAUUGUGUACAUGACUUGUACGUGGUGCGUCAGAGGCCAUCCGCCCUAUAAAUAUAAGGGGUCGUGGCCAUUGUAAUUAUCAUCACACGAUCAAUAUACAACAUAUUUAUCUUUUACCUUUUCGGCUUCACGCCAUUGUAUUAGGAGUAGGAGUAAUGUAGCUUCCUGACGAGUUCCUUCUAGCAAGCUGUGCUGCAUUGACCUUGAUCUCUGGCGAGCUGCAAAGUUCCGUCACCAGGUGUUCUAGGCUUUAACCACCGGGCGCAUCGCUUGUGGUUUCGUCUAGUUUCAUCUACAAGGUAUCGAAUAUCAUGGAUCUUUAACUUACGCAUCGCUUCUGUCUUGAUCUACGGUAUUCACCAGUUAUCCUGCCUUGGUUAAGUCUGCAUCGGCUGAUAUUUAUCUGUUCUAUCAUCUUGCCGUUCAGUUUGCUUUAAUUAGCUUUAGAUCGGUUCAUUAUAGAUGAUAGAUCGCUUAAUAGCCUGUUGCAUCUUAAUCUUGGUUACCCCUUCAAGUGCUGUUGGGAUUAAGUUUCGUUAUGAUUGGAUUCAUCGGCUGGUGGGGUUGGUGGGGUUCAGAUUAACAUCGUGCUAAAUAUUUCUAGACUGCAACUACUGGACGCAUCGCUGUGGUUUCAUCUAGAGAUAUUGGUAGAGAGUUUAGUUUAGAUCUCAUCGGUUCGUGGCUCUAGCUAUGGUGGAGCGGCAGCUGAAUAGCAUCCUGUUUUCUAUCGGUCGCCUGGCCGAUAGUUAUUGCAAAAUAUAUUAAAUCGCCUGGAUGGCCGAUGGAUCACUCACGCUCGUCAAGGAUCAUAUCGGCCUGAUCGGCCAGUUGCCUCGGACUUCAAAGGAUUAUUUUCACCUUGUCAGUUGAAUGGUCAAACUGGCUGGCACGCCCGCGCACACCAUGCGCGCCGAUUUGGAUUUUGCACUGGAGUUAAGUAGAUCUUCCAGGUCCUCAUGUGGUGACGAAGGAUCCACCACCAUCAGGAUUUUGCGUCAACACAUUUUGGCACGCCCAGUGGGACACGGUUAUAAGGUUCAUAUUUUUAUUCAUAUAAAAAAGCAUCUUCGGCAUCAUCGGCCAAAUGAGUGUUCAUCGGCUUGUUAGAAUUAAUUCAAUAUAAUAUUUCAGCAAAAGCAGCCGAUGUAGCGAUUGGAGAUAAGGCCAAGUCAAGUCUGCGUGUAUACGCAUGUUCCGGUGGGAUCAUCUUCAUAAAUGCCAAUGACGAUUAGAGAUGAAGCUUCCUGCAAAAUGAUUGGCUACUCUAUCCGGGAAGAAUUGCUUUUUUAUGAGGCAUAUAUAGAGACCCAUGUUGCAAUUAGGGGGCGUAUUCGUGCAUUGGCUGAAAUAAAAAAAUGCAUCGGCAUAUUGAAAAUUGCAUCGGCCGAUUGACAGUCGUAUCAGCUGAUUGGAAAAAUAAAAAGGGAUCAGGGAUCCGCCGAUUGAAAAUUGCAUCAGCUGAUGGAAAAUGAGAGCAACAGUUACAAUAUUUUUUUUAAAAGAAAGCAAGUAUCGGCAAGCAGUAGCCGAUGGAUUUGUAUUUCAGCCAAUGGGGUUUUUGUUUCAGCUGAUAGUACUACUGGCUGAUGGCAAGUCCAAUGGAGUUAAAAUUGCAUUGACUGAUUGAAAUAAAAAUUAAGUAUCGGCUAAUUUAUGGCCAAGUAGCAUCUGCUGAUUUGUUGCAAAGUAGUUUCGGCUGAUUUAUGGCAAAAUAGAAUCGGCCGAUUUAUGGCAAAGAAGCCAAUAGACAAAAGCAUCGGCUGGUAGAGAAGCCGAUUGAGCAAGCAUCUGUUGAUGAGCUAUGUAUGGGAAAAAGUAUUGGCUGCUUAAACAAUUGACAAAAGCCAAUUGGUCAGACUGAGAAGCCAACUGGGAAAGCAUCGAUCGAUGGAUUGCGUAUGGGAGAGAGUAUCGGUUGAAGUCUUUAGUAUUGACUGCUAGAUAUUUGAGCAAGCGUCGGCCGAUUGACUGCUUGGUAAAAAAAACAUCGGGCUGAUUGCUUGGUUAAUAAAAAAAUUGCAUCGUUCAAGCAAAGAUUGCAUGGGCUGAUUGGUUCAAGCAGAAUAGUAUCGGUUGCUUAUAGAAUAUAUCGGAUAUUAAUUUCGAAGCAUGAAAAUAUUCAUACUCCGAAACUGGGGGGCCUGUGUUGACAACAAAAGCUUGCUGGUUACUGCAUCAAGUUUUGGUGUCAACAUACUUGAUCUUUUGUUUCCAUUGCCAGCGGAUUCAUCGGCUCAGAGUGGGAUCAAGACAUCAAGCUGAUGGAGUUCUUUAUAUUUCAAGAGGAGUCAUGGAGUUCUUUAUAUUUCAAGAGUAGUCGAUGGUGCUUUGAAUAUUGCAACCAGACGUCAUUGGCUCUAAAGAUACCGAAUCAUCGGACUUCUAUGAUCAGUUUCGGAACAUGAAGCCUUCAUACUACGAAACUGGGGGCCUGUGUUGACACCGAAUCAUCGGACUUCUAUAAUUAGUUUUGGAACAUGAAGCCUUCAUACUUCGAAACUGGGGGGCCUAUGUUAACACCAAAAUUUAGAAAUGUGCUCUGAAAGGAAGGUAUCGGCCGAUGAUGCAAAAAAAUAAUGAAAUCUCCUAAAUAAGGCUGAAGAAAGAAAAGCAAGAAAAGGAAAUCAACGCACACGGCAAGAAUUGAAUAAAAUAUUCUGGAGAUAGAGUUGGUUAGGAUAAGCUUGAUUAGAGAUAGAGUUGGAUUAUUUAGAGAUAGUAUUUUGAUUAGAAAAAAUUGUGUACAUGACUUGCCUUGUACGUGGUGCGUCAGAGGCCAUCCGCCCUAUAAAUAUAAGGGGUCGUGGCCAUUGUAAUUAUCAUCACACGAUCAAUAUACAACAUAUUUAUCUUUUACCUUUUCGGCUUCACGCCAUUGCAUUAGGAGUAGGAGUAAUGUAGCUUCUCGACGAGUUCCUUCUAGCAAGCUGGGCUGCAUCGACUUCGAUCUUCGGUGAGCUGCAAGUUCCGUCACCAGGUGUUCUAGGCUUUAACCACUGGGCGCAUCGCUGUGGUUUCGUCUAGUUUCUUCUACCAGUUACCGAGUAUCUUGGAUCUUUGACUUAUGGCACAUCGCUUCUGUCUCGAUCUACGGUAUUCACCAGUUAUCCCGCCUUGAUUAAGCUUGCAUCGGCUGAUAUGUAUCUGUUCUUUCAUCUUGCCGUUCAAUUUGCUUUAGUUAGCUUUAGAUCGGUUCAUCAUAGACAAUAGAUCAUUUAAUAGCAUGUUGCAUCUUGAUCUUAGCUAUCCUUCGAGUGUUGUUGGGAGUAAGUUCCGUUGUGAUUGGAUCCAUCAGCUAGCAGGGUUUAGAUUAACAUCCUGCUAAAUAUUUCUAGACUGCAACUACCGGGCACAUUGUUGUGGUUUCACCUAGAGAUAUUGGUGGUGACGUUAGUUUAGAUCUCAUCGGCUUGUGGCUCUAGCUAUGGCGGGGCAACAACUCAACAACAUCCUGUUUUCAAUCGACCGUCUAACUGAUAGCUAUUGUAAAUUAUAUUAAAUCGGCUGGAUGACGAUGAAUCACUCACAUUCAUCAAGGUACUGGAAUCGGCUUCACAGCCGAUAUAUUUGUCAUGAUUUAUUUUGUUGCACCAUUAUCGCUACUGUGCUAGGAUUAUAUCGGCCUAAUCGGCCAGUUUCCUCGGACUUCACAACGACUAUCAUCUCCUUGUCAGUUGAAUGGUCAAACUGACUGGCAUGCCCGCGCACACCACACGUGCCGAUUUGGAUUCUGCACUGGAAUUAAGCAGAUCUCCCAGGUUCUCAUGUGCUGAUGCAGGGUCCACCACCGCCAGGAUUUUGUGUCAACACCUUGUAAUCUUCCUUUGAUUUCCUCAAUGAUUCGAAGACAAUAACCUUGCUUGUAUAAAUGAUAAUUAUAAGGAGAACCUAGUGGAAACUGUGUAUUCAUAUUAGAACUACCUAUGGUUAAUUAGGUUAGGAAAGGAAAUCGAAAAUAGACCGUACCCACACUUACUUAAAGUUGUUGGGCAGUAGUAUGUAAUGCUUGUAAUUCUGUUACUCCAAGAAUUUGUAUAUGUGGUCCAAUGUAGACUUUGGUUGAUCCCAUAUCUGUUGUUGGUUAAAUAAGUGUUUCUGGCCAUUUCUAGCCGUUAGAACCGGAACUAAAGGGGGCUCUUUAGUACGGGUUGAUAUUACUAACCGGGACUGAAGAGCCCCCAUUACAGUUGGUUUUUGGACGCGGAACUAACAACUCCUUUAGUCCCGAGUCCAAAAACGACUGAGAUAGAAGAUCCUUUCUCUACCGUGAAUAUUGCCAGAAAGAAUUGAAAGAGACCGCUUGCUAAAAAUAUGUCAUAGAUGUAGACCAAGCUACCAAGGAGGUAGACCAAACAUGAUACACACCAUGCGUACCUUGCUGUGCAGACUAUGCAUAGACAAGACACCCGACCACAUGUUGGCCUCGGUCACAUCAAAAGAAUCAUGUAGGCCACCAAUAAACUACUUGAAGCGUCAUUCCGUAUCGUAUAUGCAUUGCCGGUUCAUCUGCAUUACAUUACAUAAAGUAGUAUUAACUAUUUGAAUAAAAUGAACCAAUUUAAAAGUAAUGUGUUGUACUCUACUAUAGAAAGCCCUAUCACUGUCGGAUCCAGAAACAUCAUUGUUGAUGGUCGUUAAGUACCAAGACGGUCAAUAUUCUCAAGAAUAAUGGAGAAUUGGCAUUUCUUACACACAUAUUUGGUUUUGAACAAUGUAGUCCCACAUGUCCUUGGAGAUUAUUUGGGUGUGGGUGAAAUAAUACAAAAAGAAGGAGAAAACACACUCCCAUGGUGAAGAAACAAAACUCCGACCAAUGAGAGAUAGCCACAGGGGCAGCACACGGAUCCAUGGGCCCACAAACCGCAUCAAACUGUCUUACCAAGGCGGGUAGCACCCACAACCAUGAUUAGGACCCACCUGGAUGUCUACCAAGAAGAAGGUUGUGAGUGGGGCCAGGAGGGGUUCGGCUGAAUCAUCUCUAGCUCCCCUCAUCCCCAGCUGGUGCAUGGCGGUGGUUAAUGGUGUCCCUACAUCGGUUAGAGGAGAUUCCCCCAAAUAUUCCUCCUGUAAACCACCUGUAUGGACCUAUACAUAGAGGGGUGUGCUCUCCAAUCCAACACACACCACAAGUUUAAUCACUCUCUCCCUCUUUAAUUUCCAUGUUUAUGGAGUUAGCCUAGAGUAGCUCUGCUCAAGGUUCCAAGUCCACUUGGAGUUAAGCAUAUGUCUCUUGUAUCGUUAUUUCCCAGAUUGACUUUAUGCUUAGUUCUUAUAUGCAUGAGUUAGUCUAAUAGCCUUGCUCUAUUGAUAUGCUCGGCUUAUAUGCUCGUAUGCUAGUCAUAUACCCUUGCUGCCGUAGUAUAGGCUUAUAUGCUCUCAUGUGUGCCUUUAGACCUUGCUACAAUAUAUACUUGUUGUGUAUACAUACCAUGUAUAGGCUAGUCGAUCUAUACCAUGGCAUUGGUUCAAUAGCCAUGUUUUUGGUGGCUCCAACCCUAGUCAGAAUAGCUCGGGACAGCUAGAGUGUUGUUAAAAAUGCAAGAGUGAUGGUUGGGUUGUUUAGCAUCGUUGGAUAUGGGUUUUCCCCACGGGUUUCUAAGAGUAGGCGGCAGCUAGUGACAGCCCUGUCCGUCCUUCGUAAUCCCCCCACAUUCAAGUACGCCAUAGAAGUUCAUAAAUUAGCAGUAACUACACCGGCAGACCGGUAGGGUAUUGUCUCCCUAUAGUACCUUGGUGCAUAGAACUAGGUCAUAUACACUGUGUGUCUAUGUUUACGCUGAUAUGAUCUGUGCAGUAUAUAGCAUGUAUAUAUGAACCUAGAGCUAACUCCUAGUCCAUUCUCCGUAGCUUAGUUAUCUUGAGAUGAUUCUUCUGUGUGUGUAACACUACCCAUCUUAUCAUUAUCCUUAAUCCUGUCUUGUGUAAUAUAUCUACUCAUCCUAUGAUAUACUCAUAUGCAUAGUAAACUAUUUUGACCUACCCGCCUUCCUUUGGGAAAUACGAUACCCUGGAAUAAUCCUAGGUGAAAUGCUACAACGGUAUAUCCAUGUGCUUACGGAAUUAUUCCUGACCAUUAAAUAUACCAACAAUCAUCACUAUCUAUUUUGGGCAUCGUUAGUGAAGGGUCGGCAGUGAUGGGCAUCCCCUUCACCAAUGGAGCUGGAACUGGCGGUGAUGGCCAUUAAAAAAAAUGGGACCCCACCCAGCGUACCCCGCAACCCGGCCGGCUGCGCCUCCCAUCAUCCCCGCCGGUCGCCCUUCCUCUUUGCCGGCCGAGCAUGGUUCCGGCCCUCGUCCCUACCGCCUCGCCUCCAUCGCGACCCCCUGCCGAUGCCCUCAUGCCUGGCCCCCCUCGUCUGGCCGGCCACCCUCCCGAUGCAUCCACCGGGGCCCUCGCACCACCAACCACCCUAGCCUAGAGAGAGAGAGGAGGAGGGAGGUGAGGCCACGCACCUCGUCCUACAACGCCGCUGUUGCUCCUCGGCCCACCGCGCCUCACCCCACACCACAGCCGCACCUCGCCAUCUUACCGGCCGCGACGCCCCAUCUCACCGGCCACCGUUCCUCACCCCCACAUCGGUCAUCGCUGCUCCUUGCCCUACUGCUGCUCUUUGCAGCCGCGAAUGAGGGGCGAGUGGAGGGGGAGGGGCGGGGCAGGAGGAGGGCAAGAUCCGGGAGGAAGGGAGAGAUUUUGGGAGGUGGAGAUGGAAGGAUAUGGCGGAAGGUAGAGAUCUAGAGGGAGAGAGCGGGGGGGAGAGGGGGGCAUGUGGGGAGAGAGCGCAUGUGGGGUGGGGCCGGGCUGGUGGGAUGGAAGGUAGAGGGGCCGGAGGGCGCAGUGCAUUCAACUGGAUUAAGUAAAUAUUUCGGAUUCGAGACCCCAGCUUUAUUAUCACCGCUGGUCCGUAGUACCAUUCGGUGCCGGCUCAUAAUUUAAUUUGAACCGGUGGUGAUGUUUUAUUAUCACUGCUGGUUUCAAUUUUCACCAUCGGAUCAUAUAAAAAUCCGGCGGUUAAAAAUCCGCUGGUUUCGAUGAAAACCGACAGUGAUAGGACGACUGUGAUAGUCUCUUCUCUAGUAGUAGUAUAUUAGUACCGGCUGCCGGAUGGUGUUGCCGACGAGUACUUCUCCAGGGGCGAUUCAGUACUGAUGUUAGCAAAGCUUGUUCUCUAUGAAUUUGGGGAUGGAAAGCUAGUUCUCUAGUUGUGAUUUGUUACAUAUAUCUCUAUGAUAGUCUAGAAAUUGCAUGUCCUUCGUUGACAUAGUUGAAGCUGCUUCAAGAAUUUACUUCGUGCAGUCGUGCAGCAUAUUGGAUUAUCACCUAGACAGGAUACAUAGGUGAAGCAUUGCAUGUGAUUGUGGCUGAUAAUUAUGCAGGACGCUGUUGCAAUCAACCAUCAAGAAGACUGGAGCGAUGGGGUUGCCUCAUCAACAAUUUUUAUAUAUGGCUGCAGUAUUAUUAAGCCCACGUCAAUAAUUUUUUCUCCGCAGCAUAUAUAUGGUUACUCAGUUCGCUGGAGUAUCGCUGUGGAAAAACAUACGUACUGCGCCUCGGAACUAACUGGCAUUCAGGCCAUCAACGACCAGAUAUUUGGGACAACCAACAAAUAGUAGGUGGUUCCUAAGUUGUAGUCGUAUGUACUAAUGCGCCUCGAUGGGGUUUUCUUCAGAUAUUUUAUUGCCGUUCAAUGAACAAGCAGAUACAUAACCUGUGCAGAAAAUUCCAUCUCCACGCAUGCCACUGCACCAACAAGAUCCUCAGUCGACGAUGAUGGCUCAGCCUGUUCCUUCUGCCACCAAAUCCUCAAUCUUCCCUCCAGCAACGGAGAAUGCACCUUUAGUACCUUCAGUAUCAGAUGUUGCAAUCGGUACCGUGAAACCGAGACUAAAAUCCUUACUUUGCAGGGGGCAAAACAAUCUUGCAAAUAUAUAUUUUGAAUUCCAACAAAAUUUAAGAAAUGUUAAAGAUGACUAGCUGAGAGUCAACAGACAAGAUAUGAUAUUAGGAAUGUGGGAGGAUGAAUGCAUUUGUACAGGGGUCAUACUAUUUCCAGACUCUUCUAUAUUUCCAUAUGACUACCUACUUCAAUGUCACGCGAGCCAUUCAAAAAGAUACAUGGUACACUUGUAUGUCUAAUCCAUUAUUGAUUAUUUCCUCUUGUCAUCUCUUACAAGUAUUUCUCCAUACUAUAGAAACGUGCAACACAUUUUUAGGAUAUGGACACGCAUGAUUAAUAUGCUUGGACUAGUAUACAGGUCAUCUUUGGAUGAGUACAUAUGAAUGCCAGGGAGGGACUGAUGGAUAUAAGGAAAAGGGACCAUGCAUAAAUAAUGACAUAUGUAACAUGGCAAUCUUCAUUGCCAUGCAACUCCUAUCAACAAUCAUGGAAUACAUACUACUGCUCCAGAAGGGUGGUGUGCAAAUUUAUUUUACCUCGCGGUGAAAAUCUCCAGAGCAGGCCUGAAGUUAAAAUAAGAGGCAGUCACUAUCGAUCAUGACAGUCUCGAAACUGUACAGCACUAUGCUAGUCCUAGUCCUCAUGUCGUUCGUGCUGUCGUGUAGCAUGAUGGAUUAUUAACUGGGCAGGACACGGAGAUGGCUAGCGAUGACAGAGGAUGACGUACAUGAUAUUCACCUCUGAAAUGAAGCGUAGGCUAAUGAAGCACAAUUGCAUGUGAGUGUGGCAGAUAUUUAUACAGGACAGUGAUUGCAAUAAUCGACCAUCGAGAUCGAAGACAGGGGCGAUGGGGUUGCCUCAUCAAUAAUUCGCGCAACCAGACAAGCUGCAGACUCAAUAUGGUACGAAGCUAUUUGGUCAGCCCACAUGCUCUGAUAUAACAUUGGCAUCUGCUGAUCUACAGUAUAUAUGACCAGAAAUAUUGUGCCACCUCAAUAAUUUUCCGAAGUAUCGUUGGGGAAGCACCUACAUACUAUGCCUCGGAACUAACUGACAUGUUGGCCUAGGCGGUCCAGGCCGAUUGGACAGGCUCUUCCUUAUGGCUCCUCACGUCCCCUUCGUUUCCGAGUAAUCUCAGGUGUUCUGAAGUUUUCUUUUCACUUGCAUGUGGACCUUAUAUAUCAAUAGCUUCGGGAUAAGAAUGCCUCUUGAUAACCUUCCAAAUCGUCGCUUGAUUCACUUUGAUUCCAAAAUCAUCUUGCCAUAUCUUUUGAGACUUAGGCCCUAAGGCAUCAUGGAGGAUUGCUCGCCAAGAAUGAGCACCAUUGGGCUCCUGAGGACCCUAGGCCGAUCAGCCUGGGCUCUAUAGGUUGAUUGGCCCAGGCCCUCUCUGGGCCCAUUGGCCUUCAUCUUUCUCUGAGUCGACGCUUAUUGAGGGCUUUGUCCAAUUAUAGUCCAUUAUAGUCUAAUUUCCAAAAAAAUAGAAUAUCCUCCAAAAUACAAUACAUUUGUGAAAACAGCCCAAUUAUUAGGUAUGAUCAAUAGUCUAGGUAUUAAAUUAAUGUUAUUAUUUAAGAUAAAUAGGGAUAAAGGGUGUCAUUAAUAACGAGCACCAACCAGCGUACCAGCUGUUAACACUAACCGAUGCUAAUAUGUACCCUUUAGUACCGGCUAUUUCACCCGGUACUAAACGAGACAAGAGCACCCUAACAGAGGUUAAUACCAUCCAUUUCAUGAGUAAAAUACUAUGAUUCAAAAAUAAUUCAAAUCCCUUAAGACAAUACCUAUCAAAUGAGUAGAUUGUAAAUAGAGUAAAACAAUGUCCUAAUGAAACGGAACACUUCUGGUUCGUGUAGAGCACAAUAUAGAAAACAGUAGGGUAGCUGUACGAUUGACACGUGGUCCAUUAAUUAUUGAGCCAUCACUAUGGACAUGUCUUCAUGAGUAGUGUACUAGUCAUGACACAUGGUAUGUAGUAGGUGGAGGUAUUGAGUUAGCCAUGCCAUGAGCACUUAGUUACAACAAACACUUUGCCAUUAUCGAGCAUCCCAAAUCACUACAAAAUCCAUAGUUUACCAUAUACUACAAAAUCUGAGUUAAAAUAAGAGCAUACACGGAAGAGUCCGAAUGCACCGGUUUAGGACCAGGCACAUUGAAUUACUAGAAAAAGUUAUCGGACAAGGUUUUGGGUAACCGCAUGAAAAAUGUUGGAUUUUACUGAACACUUAGUUACAAUUACCAUGCCGUGAGCACUUAGUCACCACAAACAUUUAACCACUUUAGAUCAUCCUGAAUCCCUAUAAAUUCUGUACCUUACACCGUACCAUGAAAACGACAAGAACAGAGACAGAUGCAGUGAAAAUCUCCAGAGCAGGCCUGAAAUUAAAAUAAGAGGAGGCAGUCUCUAUCGAUCAGGACACGGAGAUUGCUAGCCAUGACAGAGGAAGACAUGAUAUGAUAUUCACCUCUGAAAUGCAGCGUAGACUAAUGAAGCACAAUUGCAUGUGAGUGUGGCAGAUAAUGGACCAUCGAGACCAUCGAAUGGUAUGAAGCAUGAUUAUCACCUAGACAUGAUAUCCUAGACAGGACGGUGAAUUGUAAAAAGAGUAAUCUUGAUCAAAGAAUGUCCUAAUGAAACGGAACAUUUUUGGUACGUGUAGAGCACAAUAUAGAAAACAGUAGAGUAGUUGUACGAUUGAAACUGCAUCCAUCCACGUGGUCCAUGAAUUGUUGAGCCAACACUGUGGACAUGUCUUCAUGAACACCAUCUAGUGAGGACAGGAUGCAGAAAAAUAUAAAAACAUGUCAUAGGGAGGCAGACCAAUCUUGCAAGGAGGUAAACGAAACGUGAUACACGAUCUGCCUACCUUGUCGUGGAUACCCCAAGAGAAGAUGUCAUAGAGGUGCAGACCAAGCUAGCAAGGAGGUAGAUGAAACGUGAUACACGGCCUGCCUACCUUGCCGUGGAUAUUAGCCCUGAUAUCAUUCUAUUGUUCAAGGAAUAACACUCAAUGCUGCUGCUGCUGCUGACCUGGCUCCAUAAAGUUGUAUUCCUCUAGCCGCUUGCACUAACUUUAUCUGAAGUAUUAUUCUCUCUGCCCUGAUAUCUGAAGUAUUAUUCUCUCUGCUGACUUUGCUGAAGAACCUACAUAAUAUGUCUUGGAACUAACUGACAUUGAUUCACAGACAAACUCUACAAGGUGCUGUUGUUGCCAUAUUUUAGAGCAUCCCAAAGGACUAUAAAUAAUAUAGUUUACCAUAUACCGUAUACCAUUAUAUGUUAGCUAAAAUAAGAGCAUAACAUGUCGCAGGAGUCCAAAAGCACCGGUUGAGGACCAGGUACAUUGAAUUACUAGAAAAAGACAGGGGGCAAUGUUUAGGUAGCCACAUGAAAAACAUUUGAAUUUACUGUUCCAUGAACACUUAGUUACCAUGCCGGGAGCACCUAGUUAACACUAAAAUUUAGCCACUUUAGAUCAUCCCGAAACACCCUCAAUAGCGACAAAUUUUGAUUUAAAUGCCGUCACCAAUGAUCCUCAAUAGCGACGUGUUUAGGUUUAAAUCCCGUCACUAAUAACCCUUGGUAGUGACGUGUUUUGGUUUAAAUCUCAUCCCACUGAUCCUCAAUAGUGACGUGUUUUUAGCAACACACGCUAUGAAUGACUUGUCAUUGGUGACAUGUUAAAUGCGUUAUCUCAAUGGCAAAUCAUUGGUGACGUGUUUUAAAAAAACAUGUCACUGUGAGAGUUAUUGGUGAAGGGUAAUUAAAAUGCAUCACUAAUUUUGUAGCAUUAGUUAUGAUAUAAUUUAGUAACGCAAAAAUCUACCAUCAGUAAUGAGGUUUAGAGCCGUCGCUAAUGUGGGUUUCUUACGAGUGAUGCAAGCUCUACAAGGUGCUGUUGUUGCCAUUUUAAAGCAUCCCAAGUGACUACAAGUUAAUAGCAUAGUUUACCAUAUACCAUAAAAAUAUUAGUUACAAUAAGCACAUCCGCAUGUGGAAGAGUCCGAAUGCACCAGUUGAGGACUAAACACAUUGAAUUACUAGAACCAAAUGUAAGACAAAGAAAGGGGUCAAGGUUUGGGUAACCGCAUUAAAAACAUUGGAUUUUACUGUACCAUGAACACUUAGUUACCAUUACCAUACCUUGAGCAUCUAGUUACCACAAACAAUAAUUUAGCCACUUUAGAGGUUCCAGAAUCACUAUAAAUAAUAUACCAACACCGUACCAUGAAAACAUCAAGAAGAGAGACGGGUACAUGGACCACCAUCAAGUGAGUAGUGACAGCACGCACAAGAAUACCCGGAACCUGUUAGCUUGUCUGUAGUGAUCUGUUUUCUUCCCCAUAAAAUCCAUGAGUAUUGCCACAAAUAAUGAAAGAGGCUGACCAAGCUAACAAGGAGGUAGAGAAAACGUGAUACACGUAGGUUUCAUUCAAGACAUCCAUGUAAGAUUCAUUCAAAACAUUCAUGGAAAUUUCUUGUAAGUUUUCAUGUAAAUUUCAUUCAAGACAUUUGUUAGAGGUGUUGUAUAUAUAUACCUUAACGUACAUAUAUCUAUGAUUUCAUGGUUGUUAGUGAUGGCAGAUGAGGAGCAUGCAAGGUAUUUAAUGGAGCAGAUUAUUGCUAGUGGUAGUGGCUCCAACCUGCCCGUAACGUACACCAACGAAGAGAGCAGCCAGGCGGACAUGUUCCUCAACAUAUCCGGUGAUGGCAAUGAAGAGCCCGAGCAAAACCUUGCCGUGACGGAAGGUUCCAGUGAGGUAUAUAUCAUUUCCAUUGUUUUACCCCAUCUAUAAUUUCAUAUUCAUUAUUACUAUGUACUAAUUAAUGGAUCUUGAACCAUUAGCCCUCUAGAUCAACGAACCGAAAUAAGCCCCGAGGUCUUACAAAGAUAAUGCAGGGAAGGCAUCACAUCACGGAAGUCACAGAAGAGGGCACAUCAGUUGCUCCCGAACAUGUGGCAAGAAAGUACGUGAGUCAAACCGGGCAAUGUGCCCAUCAGCAUUAGGGAAUGAAAGGGCAAUAGAAAUGAUCUAUACACGCCCCCGGAUACACAAAAGGAUAUGCUGUGGGCAAAUAUCAAGAAACACUUCACAUUUCCCAAAGGAUAUGUUGAAAAAGAUGUGAAAGCGUGGAUGCUGAAGAAGAUGGUCACCGAAUUCCAGACAUUCAAGAAGAUGUUGGAUGUCAACUUCAUCAAGAAGGGUCGAACUCCGGGUUUCGAUGAGUGGCCAAAGUUAAGGGACCACUGGGAGUCAUUUGUCAAAUACAAGACGAGUGAAGGUGGUGCGAGUAAGGUUCGCAUCAAUGUUGCCAAUGCUAGCAAGGAGUACCAUCAUCAUCUAGGGCGACGUGGUUACAGCACUGCAAUUCCCAGAUGGCGCAAGAUGGAACAAGACCUGAUCGAUCGGGGUAUCGUACCAGCAACUCCUGACUGGCCUGAUCGAUUGAAAAAUUGGUAUUAUGCUCAUGAAGGCAAUCUGAGCCAACAGGAUGCGACAUUGGUCUUCAAUAAAACAAUACGUCAGAAGGCCGGAAGGCUUAUUAGGAACAUUGAAAAUGCUAAAUCUGGGAGGUUCAAGGUGGAUAGAGAGAAUGAUGAGCUCACAUUGGCCCUUGGGACUAUCAUCUCUAGCAUUUCCAGCUCCAGGACUGUCGUCACCACCGGGACCGUCGCUUCUUGCUCGAUCACAGUCUCCAUCUCCAGCACAUCCUGGUGGUGCGAACGAUGACGACAACAACACCCCUCCCUGCCCACCAUCGCCGGGACUAAGACCCGCAUCGAGUAAGGAACCUGCAGCACCACUGAAGAAGUCGCGACCACCGCCUUCCAAGCCAAGUCAGCAAAAGAAGAAAGCAGAGAAGCCUAAGCCCACUGAGAAGCCAACAACCGAUAUGACCGAUGCGGAAAGAUGGAAGGCACUCAAAGAAGAAUGCAGGGAGUGGUUCUGUAAAAAGAACCAAAGAAAGAAAAGGAAAGCAGAUGGAGCCACCGCCAGUAGAUCCAAGAAAAUUAUAAUUUUUUAUUAAGAUGUCAAAAGGAGCCAAGAAGAUGAUUCCACAACUAUCAAACUACGACCGGGCGUUAGUCAAGGCUGAUGAGAGUUAAAAAAGGAAAGGAAAGUCAUCUUCAAGUGGUACUGUCCCCCACCUCGAGGAUCUACCAGAAAAAGACGCUAAAAAGAUAGUAGCAAUGCUCUUGGAUCAACAAACACAUAUAUCAUGAGAUUCAUGCAAGAAACAGGUAUGUGCCUUGCUGAAUGUCUAGGGCAAGUUGAUAUGCUAGCUCUAGAGCCAUUUGUACCGAAAUGGACCUUUGAGCUAGGCAAGCCUCUAGUAAGGCCUGAGCUGGUACAGAAGCUAUCCACAUAGCUAUAUGAAUACCAUGAAUGGUACAUGAAGCAGUCUGCCAAUGAGAGGAAAAUGUUCGGUCUCAGGGAAAAACUGAUAUUUUUUUUCGGCGAAGGCGAGAAAGUCUUGUGAUGGAAUUCAAGGAUAUAUAUGAAGUGUACCAUCAGGAUGCCCUUGAUGUCUCUCUCAUCAGCGCCUAGGUUAUGUAAGUGUAUGUUUAUCUAUACGUAAUUUUUGUCUCAUAUCAUUAUUUCUUUUGCGUGCGUCACCCUACUAACUUCGUCUUCCAUUUUAUGUAGGAUGCUAAUUCAGAUGUGCCGCAUAGAAGCGCACUUCCAUGUUGGCUUCAUGGAUCCAUCCCUAGUUAACCAAAAGCAGAUACGGAAGUAGCUAGAGAAAAUGUUGGAGGUGGUAUACAACUUCCUGGACAAACAAAACUAUAGAAUAGGGGCAAUAUGUGAAGGUCUUGUAGGAUUCCUAGUGGACAAGGUGAUAAAUCCAUAAGGAGAAUAUCAUUACAACGGACGAGCAUUAGACACACUGAGCAACACCUAGACGGGAGGAUCCUAGGAAUGACCUAGACAGAUUUUGGUAUAAAUAGUAAUUGUGUAAAUACUAGUUUGAUUUGUAUAGGAAUAUACUAAGAAUUGUAUAUAUAGUAAUUGUACAAAUACUAGUUUGAUUUGUAUAAAUACUAGAUUGAUUUUAUUAUAAAAAAGUUUUAAGUCGUACGUGCAUGCGCCUACAAAGGCGCGUAUGCCCUUUAAUCCCGGUUGGAAAAACAAACCGGUACUAAAGGGGCUCGUGCCGCACCUGGCAUGACCGCCCCUUUAGUCCCGGUUGAACGACCCAGGACCAAAGAUCUGCCCCGUCUCAUAAAUUUUAUCCUGGAUGCUUUUUAGAGAGAUUUGAGGCCUAUCAACCAAGACUAAUAUCGAGUUUUCUACCAGUGGAACUAACUAACGUUCACAUGCUUCUGACAUUCACCUGCCAUUUGGUGUAGACAAGGGCACCCUAACAUAUGGUUAAUAUUAUUCAUGAAAGAAAAUCCUUUGAUUCAAAAAUACUUCAAACCUAAUAAUACAAUACUUCUCACAUCUGAAAAAUAUGAGAUGGCCCGACAGUAUUCUAACCGACGCAAUAAUAUUUUGAGGGCAGCACUACUACAGCGACCCUCAUUCGUGCCGGUGCUGGAACCCCUAUCACGACCCUGAUACAAAUGAGGGUACAUUAUUGUUGCCAGUGCUAGAAUAGCCACGAAUAACUUGCUAAACAUGCUGUUACACUCACUACUAGAAAAAUAACCUCUCGUCCUGAGGCUUAGUACCGGUCACUUUUUUGCCCAGUACUAAUGUUAGUAUUAGUACCGGAUCCAAAUUUGGGAUCCCCCAGAGACCCUUUAGUACCAGGUGGAGUCUCCACCCGAUACUAAAGGCUUUGUUACCGGGUGAAGGAUCCUCCCGGUACUAAUGGGGGAUUUUUAGUACCGGGUGGGAACCCCACCCGAAACUAAAAUCUCCCAUGCGGACCCCUCCCCCCCCCACGCGUUGCCUCUGUCCUCCCUCCUCCUCCUCUGAGUAGUUAUCCCUUCCUCAUCCCUCCUCCUCCUCCCACACGUGGGGUGAGGUGAGGUGGCAGUAGCAACGACAGGUGGUGUGGCGGGUCACGGCGGGCCGGAUGCGGAGCCGCAACGGUGGUCGGCGGGAUGGGGUGGGGCAGAGCGGCAUGGCAGGGCGGAGCGGUGGGACGGGGCCGAGGUGGAGGUGCCGGGCGGAGGUGGAGUGGCAGGACAGAGGCGGAGGCGGAGCGGCGGGUCGGCGAGCGGGUGGAGGGUGGCGACGAUGGGGCGGGCAGAGGCAGAGGGGUGGGUGGAGGGGCGGCGUGGUCCACCGGCGGGGGGGGGGGGGGGAGAGGGAGGCGUGGGGGGUGCGGUUGGUGAUUUCAAUUUUCUUUUAAUUUUUUAACACCCUUCAGUACCAGUUAUUUUAACCGGGUCUAAAGGGAUCCCCUCUUGUACCGAAUUGCUAGUACAGGAUGCACAACCGGUACUAGAGGGAGGUUCCCAACCGGUACUAGAGCCACUUUCCCCGGUAGUGACUUUUUCACCGAUUAGAAUAUGUUAUUAUUCUAAUCAGCUUUUGUUGAUCUCCUGUAUAAUUUAGUACCUAAUUCUACUAGCAAUUGUUAACGCCGACACGUAUUGGGUAUAGUCCUAACAGUGUCUAACUAGGGCACUACAUUUGUUAACCUAUAACUACUGGUAUCGAUUAGCCCUGGUUAGAAUACUGUCAAGGCAGCCAGAAAAAAUUGUUUGCCAAUUCUGCUAUCCAUCAGAACCAUGACUAGUACCGUAUUGUAAUAAACGAAUUACACAAAUAACUGAUGCACACAAAGGAAUAUGCACUCGCAUGUGCUAGACGUUCGUAGCAACAACAAAUUACUCUCAUCAUCAAUUAAACAUAAUAGAUUAAACAUUAACUGAACAUAGUUCAACACGUACAUCAACAAGACAAAGCAGUUUAAACAUCAACUGAACAGAACUGAAAACAUACAUCAACUGAUGAUAAACUUCGACAUGAACACAACACAUAAACAUCAACUUCAAUAGAACUUAAUAGAGCAUAUUAAACAACAACAUCGACAAAACAUAUAAACCCAGCUCAGUAGCUCAAGCAUCAACUAAAACUGCUGAAUUAAAAUAACAUAACAUAGUGUAGUUCAUCAUGAUGAUAACUAACAGAACCGAAAAGCCUAACUGGGUAAAAGAGCAAUUCAUUCAUAAUGCUUCAGCACUUACAUCACCGGAGUAUGCAACUGGCGGCGUCGCUUACGUCACUAUCACCGCGCUUGGCGAGUAAAGGAGGAGGAGGUGGCAUAGUAAUCGAAGAGGAGGCCGCUGUCGGCGGGUUUAGACUACGUGGAGGUGUGGGUAGGGUUAAGGUGGCUCUGUGGACGAGUAUAUAUAAGAGGUCUGGGCUUGUUAGAAUAAGAUAACAUUCUAACUGGCCAAAUUCGGAUCCGGUUAGAAUAAAUUGUUCUAACCAGCCUUAAUUCGAGGUGGUAAGGAUAAGUUAACAUUCUAAUCAGCUCUAUUUGGAGCCCGAUUGAAUGUUCUUGUUAUUCAAAAAAAGAUCAAGUUCAUCAAUUUUUUUCUAGAAAAACAUCAAGAUAAUUUAAACACGAUAUAUAACAAGAUUAAUACAUUUAAAAAUUGUUUUCUCCAAUAAUUAACGAUAUUUAACAAAUUCAAAAAAAAUCCAAAUUAACAGAACAUAAUAACCAAUUGUUCGAAAAAAUCAAAAUAGUCCACACAGUAUCAUAUUACAAAUUCAGAAAAAUAUCAAAAUAAUCCCUGAUCCACUCGAUACCGUCGUAGAACUUUGAAAUACUGAGCUUCUUGAUUCAUCUGAGGUCCACGUACUCGUCUCAGUAACACUAGUGGUGGCCAUGCAUCUUGUAGAUGUCUUCUAAUGAAUUAAGCUUGACAUACAAGGUCGUGCCUUCCACUCCUUGAGGAUUGCUUAUGACGUUUCUGCAAAUAACGAAGCAUUGCUUUCUCCAACAUGAUUAUUUUCUUCGGCUUAUCCCAAGGGACAACUAUGGUUUUCCCCUUGCCGGAAGAGGAACGAUGAUCGCCCCCACCAUCGCCACUUCCUCCAGUAGCAGAAGCCAUCUAUGUACAAAAAUUCAUACCUUAGCACUACAGAACUUGUUGAACUUGAAGACUGUGAUCAUUAGGCGAGCAUGUUCUCAACUAGGUGGCACCGCACUUCGUCAUGGAAGAGCUUCGAUUUUACAAAAAAGGGGACAUGAUCUUCCAUGAUGUCCGUAUCCGCUCUUUCUCGUAGAAUCAGAGCUCCUCCUUGAUAUACGAUGCUGCUCGGCGGAGAACAUGCUCACCGAGAUGAACACGGUAUGCAAGUUCAACAAGUAUGGAUUUGAAAAACCAUAUUGAAUUUGACAAGACAAACUAUCUAGAUAAGCGUAGCAUCAUUCUUAAACCACUGCAAGGAUACGUACUAUAUAUGACACAUCAAUCUCCCUCACAUUCUAGCUCAAAAUACCUCUCCAUUUUCUACUUCACAUUCUAGCAAAUAAACUAUCUAUCUCCAUUCUACACAUCAAGUUGUUUUAACUAAUACAAAUCGUAUAUAACAAGCAAAAUAUCCAUCACAUUCUAGCUCAAAAACAUGUAUAAAUACAAAUCCUCUUCAUUCUCCCUUUUUCUAACAAACAAACUCAUUUUUCUCCCUCUCCAAAGCAUAAAUUAAAGCGUAACAUGAGGAUGAGGUAGCAAACCUUCACAACACAUUGGAUGAGUGAAAUUCCCACGAAAAUGAGGGAAAAAAAUUCGGGCAGCACCUCCCUUGCUUCGGCACCUCUAGAGAGUAGGUGAAGCUCAGUUCUCUAUUUUUGUGGUGGACUAGCUUGGGCUGGAGGAGGAAGAAAGGCCUCUGUCUUGGUAUAUAAUGGGGGAUGAGUUUUUAUCCCAGUUAAAAGCUCCAACUGAGACAAAACGGCCAAUCUUUUGUCCCGGUUGGAGCCUCCAACCGGGACAAAAGGGGCACGCCAUCGACGCACGGGAGCUAGCCGUUACAACCGGGACUAAAGGGGGGCCUUUAGUCCCGGUUGCAAAUACCAACUGGGAUUAAAUCUCCCCUCCAUUUUUGCCUACCGUGGUGCGCCCCCUUUUAUCCCGGGUCAACUUUAAACCGGGACAAAAGGGGGCGUCGAAGAUCAGUUCUCUACUAGUGACCCCUCCCCACCUAUCUCUCUCCCUCCAUGCUCCUCGAUCUGUGCCUCCCCUCCCCUCCCCUUCCACUCGCCCCUCACCGACGGUAAGGAGCAGCGGCGGGGCGAGGUGAGGUGGCAGCAGCAAUGGCAGGUGGUGGGUCGCAGCGGAGCGGCUACGGUAGGCAGCCGGACGGGGCAGAGCGGCGGGGCGGGGUGGAGGCGGAGGUGGCGGGUAGAGGCGGAGCGGCGAGGCGGAGGCGGAGGUGGAGGCGGAGUGGUGGGACGGCAGGGCCGGGCGACUAGUAUAGGUGGGCGGGCGGAGGGCGGCGACGGCGGAGCGGGCGGAGGCAGAGGGGCAGCGGGGGCCGCCGGCGGGGGGUGUGAUCGGGGAUUUCAAUUUUUUUUAAAUUUUUUAACACCUUUUAGUCCAACUGGUUCUAAAGGGACCCCUCUAGUAUCAAAAUUGCUAGUACCGGUUGCACAACCGGUACCAGAAGUGGUUCCUAACUGGUACUAGAGCCACUUUCCCUGGUAGAGACUUUUUUACCAGUUAGAAUAUGUUAUUAUUUUAAUCAGCUUUCGCUGAUCGCCAGUAUGAUUUAGUACCUAAUUUUACUGGCGAUUGUUACCGCUGACACGGAUUGGGUAUAGUCCUAACAGUGUAUAACUACGGCACUACAUUUGUUAACCUAUAACUACUUGUAUCGAUUAGCCCUGGUUAGAAUACUGUCAAGGCAGCCAGAAUUUUUUUUUUUUGCCAAUUCUGCUAUCCAUGAGAUCCAUGACUAGUACCGCAAUGUAAUGAAUGAACUGCACAAAUAACUGAUGCACACAAAAGAAUAUGCACUUGCACGCUAGACGUUCGUAACAACAAAUUACUCUCAUCACCAAUUGAACAUAAUAGAUUAAACAUUAACUGAACAGAAUUCAACACGUACAUCAACACGACAAAGCAGUUUAAACAUCAACUGAACUGAACUGAACACAUACAUCAACUGAUGAUAAUUAUCGACAUCAACAGAACACAUGAACAUCAACAUCAAUAGAACUUAAUAGAGCAUAUUAAACAACAACAUCGACAAAACAUAUAAACCCAGCUUAGUAGCUCAGGCAUCAACUAAAAUUGCUGAAUUAAAACAACACAACGUAGUGUAGUUCAUAAUGCUUCGGCGCUUACACCACUGGCGGGUCGCUUACGUCGGCAUCACCGCGCUGGCUGAACCUCCGACACCCCCACCACGGCAAACGGAGGUGAUGGCGGAAGGUGAGGCAACGACAGUAGCUGGUGAGCUCCCGCUCCAAUGUCUCGCGAGUAAAGGAGGAGGAGGUGGCAUGGGAAUCGAAGAGGACACUAGUAGAGAAACGACUUUCCAUCCACCCCCUUUUGUCCCGGUUUAAAGUUGGCCCGGGACAAAAGGUUCACCAACCGGGAUUAAAACUCGGUCACUGGUGGGGGGCUCACCAACCGGGACCUUUUAUCCCGGUUGCAAAGGCUAGUGGGAAAAAAUUACUCUGAGAGGCCUUUUAUCCCGGUUUGAAACACCAACCGGGAUAAAAGACCCCCCCUUUUAUCCCGGUUGGUAACACCAACCGAGAUAAAAGGGUCAAGAGCCUUUUAUCCCGGUUGGAAACACCAACCGGGAUAAAAGGGGGUCUUUUAUCCCGGUUGGUGUUUCCAACCGGGAUAAAAGGGUCCCCCACGAGUUAAUACAAAAGGAUAGUAUCCCCUACAUAGUCAGAUGUGGUGUGUAGGUGGGAUGGUAAGGAAGCUACGCGCGAGGCUGGAGGUUGUGGGUUCGAAUCCCACGAACCGCGCACGCGCAUAUUUCGCGUGAAAAAUCGCGUGACUUGCGACUUGCGCGUGUGGGGGGGCCUCCUGGGAGCUCGGGAAUUUUUUUUUUUUGCAGCGCCGGCCGUGGGUGAACCCUUUUAUCCCGGUUGGUAUUACCAACCGGGAUAAAAGGGGGUCUUUUGUCCCGGUUGAGUGACCCGGGAUAAAAGACCCCCCCUUUUGUCCCGGUUGGUUUAUCCCGGAUGCAUUUUCGAGAUCUUUGCACCCUACCAACCGGGAUAAUAGGUGAGUUCUCCACCAGUGGGAGGCCGCCGCUGGCGGGUUUAGACUACGUGGAUGUGUGGGUAGGGUUAAGGUGACGGUGUGGACUAGUAUAUAUAAGAUGUCUGGGCUUGUUAGAAUAAGAUAACAUUCUAACCGGCCAAAUUCGGACCCGGUUAGAUUAAAUUGAUAUUCUAACCGGUCCUAUUUCUAGGUGGUAAGAAUAAGUUAACAUUGUAAUUGGCUUUAUUUGGAACCCGAUUGAAUCUUCUUGUUAUUCAAAAAAACAUCAAGUUCAUCAAUUUUAAUCCAGGAAAACAUCAAGAUAAUUUAAGCACGAUAUAUAACAAGAUUAAUACAUUUAAAAAUUGUUUGAUUCACAAAUUAACGAUAUUUAACAAAUUCAAAAAAUCCAAAUUAACAGAACACAAUAACCAAUUGUUCGAAAAAAUCAAAAUAAUCCACACACAUUAAUAUAUUACAAAUUCAGAAAUAUAUCAAAAUAAUCCCCGAUCCACUCGAUACCGUCAUAGGACUUUUAAAUACUGAGCUUCUUGAUUCGUCUGAGGUCCACCUACUCGUCUCAGUAACACUAGUGAUGGCCAUGCAUCUUGUAGAUGUCUUCUAACGAAUCAAGCUUGACGUACAAGGUCAUGCCUUCCGCUCCUUGAGGAUAACCAUCUUUGGUGAUCUUGAAAUGGCAGACGGUGGAUGUGCCAAAGGUACGUGACGAUCCUUCUAAAUGUAUGCCACCACAACUUCCGUCUGAUCGCCAUGGGUGACACCAAGAAGAGCUACCAUGCGGCAAGGGACGAACAAUUUAUCAAUUAGUGCCGCUGUCCAUCGCCAUCAUCUAAUCCAGCCAUAUCUUGUUGUAUAUUUAAGUAUAGAAAUUAAGAUUUAAAAAUAAACAGAAUAAAUUGAGAUCGAUUAUGUAUGUAUAUCAGAACAUUAGCUUUUGGAAAAAGGGCUUCGAUGGAAGAGAGGCACGGGGCAUAGAGACAACAACGAGUGACAAUAUGUCAGAAGAAUACCCGAUCACAAUUAUUGGCACACACAGCCGAUAUUUACAGUAGUCAAUACCCCUGGUAAAUAACCACACCAUCAAGAGUAAAUAGUGACAAUAUGCAGUAUAUACACGACAUAGCCUUGGCUGCCGUGGAAGCACCAGAAGGGAGACAAAUAACAGGGACCACUACAUCAAGUAGAUAGUGACAAUAUGCAAAAGAAUACCCGCGCCUGUUAGCAUGUGUGAACUGACCACACCACGAAACGUGAUACACGGCAAGCGUACCAAGGCCUUGCUGUGCAGACUAUGCAUGGACAACACAUGGUACCUGACCGCUUUUGGCCUCAGACACAUCAAAAACUGCAUCGUUCCACGUUGUACAUCCAUUGCUAGUUUAUCUAUAUUACAUAAUAUAUUAUUAGCUAUUUGAAUAGAAUGAACCAAUUAAAAAAUUACGUUGUAUUUUAGUACCGGCUGCAGGAUGGUGUUACCAACCAGUACUAAUUGGCCUGUAGGAGUGAUGGUUAUUAGACUUGGUACUGUUGUUAGCAUCAUUAACCUAAUUGUGCGCCGUAUGAAUUUGGGGAUGCAAAGCUAGCUCUCUAUGAAUGUGAGGGAUGGAAAGCUAGUUCUCUAGUAGUAAUUAUAUAUAUGACAGUCAGGAAAUCGAACACUAUGCUGCUACGAGUCACCAUCAUUUCCUUCAUUGACAAUCUGACAUAGGUGAAGCUGCUUCAAUAAUUUCCUUCGCGCAGUCGUGGAGCUUAUUGGAUUAUCACCAGGACGGGACACGGAAAUGGCCAGCAAUGAAGCUGAUUGCCGUCUGAGGAAGACUACAUACUUACCUAUGAAAUGAAGCGAUUGCAUAGACUAAUGAAGCAUUGCAUAUUUGCAUGUGAGUGUGGCAGAUAAUUCUGCAGGACAUGAUUGCAAUCCACGCACCAUCGAGAAGACUGGGGCGAUGGGGUUGCCUCAUCAAUAAUCACGUGGAUGCAUGCAUGCAUGUUCCCUCAACCGGACAAGGGUCUGAUAUAUGGCUAUAGUAUUACUGAGCCCACAUCAAUAAUUUCCGCUGGUGUAUCGUGUGGGAAGAAUCAACAUACUACACCUCUGAGUUCUUGGAACUAACUGACGUUCACAUGCAACCUCCACAAGGUGCUGUAUGCUUUUGACAUUCACCUGCCAGUUCGUGUAGAGGACACCCUAACGUAUGGUUAAUAUUAUCCAUUUCAUGAGUAAAAUACUGUGAUUCAAAAAUACUUCAAAUCCCUUGAGACAAUACUUCUCACUUGACUAACCACUAACCAACCCCGAAACCCUAACUCAACUCCGAACCCUAACCCCUAACGGCAUAACCACUCCGUUUUGCCGGCGAGAUGGAGGAACUGGCUGGAAGGUAGAGAGGGCAGCGGUCCAGGGUUGAAAACGACGGGCGAGCGCAGUAACAUGUGGAGGAGGAAGUGCCACGUAUUCGUUCACCGCUAUUGGGCAGCGACACACGACACGCCCAAUAAGAUCUUCGCACGGUAGAAGGACGUCAUGUAUUCAAUAAUGUUAUUGGUCCCCCAUGUGCAGAAGGGCGCGCGCGUAUGGAAUAACAAGUAGGGACACUGCAACUAAUCUACUCUGCUCGUCCAGUCCCUAGCCUAUAAAUAGAUGCCAUGCUAGCUCUUGUUGUGCUCACAAUUAAUCCGAUUACACACGAGCUUCUCUCCCUGGCCAAGACACAACCAUAGUAUGAUGAAGAACAUGGCACUAGCCGGCAAUGGUAUGAAGAAGUUAAUCCUCGCUGUUCUCUUACUGUGUCUAGUUAUAGGGCAGAUACAAGUGGAAGCUAAGAGCUGCUGCCCAUCCACCACUGCAAGAAAUGUCUACAAUACCUGCCGUUUCACGGGUACAUCCCGUCCAACGUGUGCAAAACUGUCAGGCUGCAAAAUUAUCAGCGGGAACAAAUGCAAGCCCCCUAACGACCACCUCACCCUUGACCCGGACACUGGUAAAUAAUAAAUUUAUCUCACUUGAUUUCUUCGUGAUUUGAGUCGUUAAUGUAUUUUCCAUCUGAUGAAACGUAUUGGUUUUGCAUUGAAGAGGAAGUUAAUGUGCUUAACUUCUGCAAGUUGGGGUGUGCGUCGUCUGUGUGCAACAACAUCAACGCUGGUAAGCAACUUUUGCUCAGACAGAGAAAACAAUAAUCAUUAAUUAGCGGCAGCUAGAAUCCUAUAAUCUAAUAUAUAUAUAUAUAUAUAAUUUUAUCAGCUCUGGGAAAUGAAGAGGCGAACGAUGCCGUUGAGAGUUGCGACCAAGCCUGCUCUAGCUUCUGCAGCGUGCAUGUUGGCAGCGCCACCGUGGUUGCUUAAGCAAAUGCAUCCAACUAGAUCGUCCUUGUGCUGAAUAAUUGGAUAUCGUAUCCACUUAAAGCUGCCUUGUGUAGUACGUCUUUGUGUCUCUCUUUAUAUUCCAAUAAGGUCGGUGAUCUUGAUGCCACACACUCAGAUGUGUGUUCAUCUCCAGAUACUACUCCAUGCUACCUGCCCUUUGUGUUUUGUUCAAUAACUGGGUAUCAUAUCCCAGCCAGUAUGCCGUCUGUUUUGUGUUUGUUUCCUUCUAGUUCCAAAGGGGUCAUCAUGAUGUUACCUUCUUUCAAUAUGGUGCUUUGCAUGACUACUGUUGUAUGGUACCAUCUUGUGGCCAAUAAGUACAUCUUAUCCUAUGACCUUUGCUAUGACCCUUUGCAAAUAAGUAGAAGAUUGUUAUAAGCGUCAAUACUCCGUAUAAAUUGAUCGCUGCUGUGAGUUCCCUUUCAGCUUAUCGUAGGCAUACAUUAUUGCUAGCACGGUAAAGCCAACCAACACGAAUGAUGAAGUAAACGUAGCGGUACUUCUGUAUACCAACACCCUUACUUAAAUGUACCGGUGUCAUUCCCUACUGGCACAUAUAUUCUUAUAUGCUAGCCAGCUUGUAAAAUUAACCAAUUAAAAUAAUUAUUUCAAGAUAGAAAUAACUUAUCGGUUUCUGGAAGCAUGUGUAAUGUGAAUUCAAGGACUCGACGGAAGUUGAAUCACUUCAUCUAUAUUGCUUUCAGUAUUUUGGGUAACUAAAUUUAACAUUUGCACAUACAAAUGUUAAAGUACAAAUGUUAAAUCUAGUUACCCAAGCAGAAUAUGAAGAUAGUUUAUAGUAUAUAUAUACUAUAUAAAUCUAGUUAACAUUUAGUCUAAAUGUUAAAUCUAGUUACCUAAAAUCCUGAAAGCAAAAUGUAUAAAUAUAUAUCUUUUAAGGCAGUAUAAGCUUCGAUUCCUAUUGCUGCUCUGUUAAAUCUCAUCUUUCGUUGUGGCCCAACACUCUAGUAUGCAUGUUGCACCAAGCUUCUUUGAGCCGCUCUGCCCUCUGAUUUUGCUGCGUAGGGGAAUCUUUAUCAGGUUGGGCUACUUCCAGUUGUGCGAUGUAAAGAUUCGUAUUUUCUAGAAGGUAGACAAAAAACUCGCGUUCUCUUAAGGCAACAACCGGAAGAUUCUGCAGCGCACAGGGCAUACCAUUAUUGUAGAAACGACCUUUAGUACCGAUCUCCAACCCCCUUUAAAACUGGUUUUGCAACCGGUACCGUUAUGUCGGUCCUUUAGUACCAGAUCAAAUAAGUACCGGUUGGUAACCAGUAUCAACUUGUUUUGCGGCCAAAAAAAUAAAGAAAAAAACAGUCAGAAGGCUCGCGCACACGCGCAUCACAUGAAAUAUGCGUGUGCGGGGUCCAUGGGAUUCGAACCCAUGAAAUCAAGCUGCGCGCGACCCUUCGUUACCAUCUCACCUACAUAGCGCAUAUGCUUUCCUGAAGUAACCCGUGGAGGAGGCUUUAGUACCGGGUCAUAACACCACCCGGUACUAAAAAUGACUCUUCAGUACCGGGUCAUAACACCACCCGAUACUAGUAUCGGAUGGUGUAAUGACCCGAUACUAAAAGGCCUCUAGGGACCCUCAAAUUUGAACCCGGUACUAAUGCUAAUAUUAGUAGCGGGUCAAAGUGCAGCCAGAACUAAAGCAUGGGAUGAAAGGUCAUAUUUCUAGUAGUGUAUAGUUGUUGUGAAGGACUGACUUGGCUGUCCUCUCUCUUCUCCAUCCCCUUGGUCUUACGCCGCCGCUCGCACGCGAGCCGGUGCCCAACCAGAGGAGUGAGAGCUAGGGGCAGGUUGGGAGGUGGGGAUAGUGACUGGUGGCCAGGGUGAUGGUUGAUCCUGGUGGGGUUAGGGUUUUAGGGUUUUCGAGCUUCCUAUGGUCGGCGAACCUAGAGGAGGAGCUCAACAUCAGCUGCAACCCGCGAUGGUGGUGGUUUGGCCGGCGCCCGAGGCGAGGCAGCGCGGGAGUGCUGCCGGUGGGUUGGUGUUGGCACUCAUUAUUGACAACUAUUUUGUUCAUAAAAUAACACUCAAACUUGCUGCUGCUGCUGCUGCUGCCAUCGCCACCCUAGCCAUAAUAUAAAGGCAAAAUUUGCUAAAGGACAUGCAAAAUGAUGCUAGUUUGCUGGCGGGCAUCGUUGACCUUGUAAUAUGCUACAAGACACUCUAGUUGUGUAUCAAUUUGCUGAAAGACAUUGCUAUGACUAAAAUAAUGUUUCUGGACUGAGUUGGAGAGAGAGAUGGAGUGAAAUGUCUGUUUUGCCCAUGACCCCACUGGUCAGAUCCUUCUUCUUCCACCCUCCUUUGUUCUUUCUUCAACCAUUACCCAGCUCCAGCGUGUUGCAGAUCUACGAGGGUGGCGGCCUGGGGCGAGGGGCAUCGCUCGCCCUUGGAGGAGCGCUGCGAGCGACGGCGCGGGGGCGGCAACAGCGCGUCAGAACCUGACUGUUCGUUAGCUCCUCUCGCUGCUGGGGAAGGAGGGGGAUGGGCCAUGGACGGGGUUCCCUUGAAAACCUCAGCGUCGAGCUCGGGCGGCUACGCGCAGGCAGCACUAGGCUGCUUCACGGGGAGGGGGCGCGGCCAAUCAUUGGCACCCCACUGGUCCAAUGCUGAUGAAGAUGGUGCCAGCGUCGUGUGAGGACAUCUCAUCUCCUCGAGUUCCAUGGCCAGCACAGGUGAGCUGCCGCUACCACAAAACAGAGGUUUCGUGAGAGUCAAAAAACCUUAUGAAAAUAGCUAAAACCAUCAUGAAAAUAAUCCGUGACAUGACACUCUCACGAAAAUCCUCUCACAAAUAUGGUGCCAUGAAAAUACCAUUUUCAUGAGAGUGAACUGUCAUGAUUUUAUUUCGUGAGAGUAUUUCCUAUCAAUGACCUCCACGAAAUACUUUGUGCCACCAGGUCUUCAAGAUCAUUUUCAUGAGAGCUGAACAUCAGGAAAAGUCCGCCACAAAUGUUUUUCUUGGAGCCCCUAACUCUCAUGAAAAUCAUGCGGGCCGCCACGAAAAACAGCAUGACCAAAUGACAAAUUUCAUUUUCAUGUGUUCAUACCGCCAUGAAAAUGGUCAUUUUCAUGAGAGUUGAUGAAACAAAAAAUAGUGCCAUUUUCAUGAGAGUUCAAGCAACCAGGAAAAGACACUAAUAAACAUCCAGAUCCCAUCCAGCACACAUCCAUGCACAUAUAUAACCCACAUAUUGCUCCAGCACACAUCCAUGCAUAUACAAGAUCCAAAUGUUAAUAUAGUAGACAUCCAUGCCUGAACUAGUCUGCCACACAAGUCAUUGAUGCUACAAAUCCUACAAUCGCAGCAUGUGCAUACAAGUCACAGAAUGAGACAAUGUACCCAAAACUAAAAGGUUAGCAUCAACUGUGCUUCAACCAAAGUUGUCAUCCCAACUCUCCUCUUCAUCCAUGCCAUUCUUGUCGUGGCCGUCACUGUCAGUCCCCAUGGCAUUGCCAAUGCUGUGCAUGUCUUGGUAGGAACCUACAUGUGAUGAACUAGUAACCUGCAAAAAGAGCUCAAAGGAUCUUGUUCUCAUAUUGUAGCUGUGAAAUUCUUACAAGUAGUGUUGCAAUCAGUUCACUUUGAACCAAAAGAGCUCAAAGGAUCUUGUCCUAAAAGUUCCUCAUAAAGCUUAUGGGUUUGCUGGUGGAACUGGAAGGGCUUGAUGCAGCAGAUGCCAUUCUGCAAUAGAGAAAAAUUUAGAGAGCAGUACUAGUUAAAAUUGGAUGCAGAAGAUACACAUGAAACUAGUAUUUAUACAAGUCUAUACAAUUAAAAUCUAAGGAGACUUAUCAUCGUUUUCAUGUGUUGUGAAUUAAAAUAAUGAAGGAUACACUGUUAGGUGAAAAUUCAAGAAACAAAAUUUUGCAUAGAGAUAAAGGUCCAACAUUAUUACAAGUUAAGGUAGUUUUAAAUAUCCUUGUAAUCUUCCUUUGGUUUCCUCAACGAUUCGAAGACAAUAACCUUGCUUCUAUCAAUGAUAAUUAUAAGGAGAAUCCAGUGGAAACUGUGUAUUCGUAUUAGAACUACCUAAGGUUAAUUAGGUUAGGAAAGGAAAUUGAAAAUAGAUGGUACCCACACUUACUUAAAGUUGUCGGGCAAUAGUAUGUAAUGCUUGUAAUUCCGUUGCUCCAAGAAUUUGUAUAUGUGGUCCAAUGUAGACUUUGGUUGAUCCCGUAUCUGCUGUUGGUUAAAUAAGUGUUUCUAGCCAUUUCUAGCCAUUAGAACCGGGACUAAAGGGGGCUCUUUAGUACGGGUUGAUAUUACUAACCGGGAUUAAAGAGCCCCCAUUAGAGUUGGUUUUUGGAUGCGGAACUAACAACUCCUUUAGUCCUGAGUACGAAAACAACUGACAUAUUUGUUGCUGGAUGGAAGGUCCUUUCUCUACCGUGAAUAUUGCCAGAAAGAAUUGAAAGAGACUGCUUGCUAAAAAUAUGUCAUAGAUGUAGACCAAGCUACCAAGGAGGUAGACCAAACAUGAUACACACCAUGCGUACCUUGCUGUGCAGACUAUGCAUUGACAAGAUACCCGACCACAUGUUGGCCUCGGUCACAUCAAAAGAAUCAUGUAGGCCACCAAUAAACUACUUGAAGCGGCAUUCCGUAUCGUAUAUGCAUUGCCGGUUCAUCUGCAUUACAUUACAUAAAGCACUAUUAACUAUUUGAAUAAAAUGAACCAAUUUAAAAGUAAUGUGUUGUACUCUACUAUAGAAAGCCCUAUCACUGCCGGAUCCAAAAACAUCAUUGUUAAUGGUGGUUAAGUACCAAAUAUGACGGUCAAUAUUCUCAAGAAUAAUGGAGAAUUAGCAUUUCUUAGACACAUAUUUGGUUUUGAACAAUGUAGUUCCACAUGUCUUUGGAGAUUAUUUGGGUGUGGGUGAAAUAAUACAAAAAUAAGGAGAAAACACACUCCCAUGGCGAAGAAACACAACUCCAACCAAUGAGAGAUAGCCACAGGGGCAGCACACGGAUCCAUGGGCCCACUAACCGCAUCAAACCAUCUUACCAAGGCAGGUAGCACCCACAACCGUCAUUAGGACCCACCUGGAAGUCUACCAAGAAGAAGGUUGCGAGUGGGGCCAGGAGGGGUUCGGUUGAAUCAUCUCUAGCUAGCUCCCCUCAUCCCCAGCUGGUGGGUGGUGGUGGUUGAUGGUGUCCCUACAUCAGUUAGAGGAGAUUCCCCCAAAUAUUCCUCCUGUAAACCACCUCUAUGGACCUAUACAUAGAGGGGUGUGCUCUCCAUUCCAACACACACCACAAGUUGAAUCACUCUCUCCCUCUUUAGUUUCCAAGUUUAUGGAGUUAGGCUAGAGUAGCUCUGCUCAAGGUUCCAAGUCCACUUGGAGUUAAGCAUAUGUCUCUUGUAUCGUUAUUUCCUAAAUUGACUUUAUGCUUAGUUCUUAUAUGCAUGAGUUAGUCUAAUACCCUUGCUAUAUUGAUAUGCUCGGCUUAUAUGCUCGUAUGCUAGUCAUAUACCCUUGCUGUCGUAGUAUAGGCUUAUAUGCUCUCAUGUGUGCCUGUAGACCUUGCUAUAGUAUAUACUUGUUGUGCAUACAUACCAUGUAUAGGCUAGUCGAUCUAUACCAUGGCAUUGGUUCAAUAGCCAUGUUUUUGGUGGCUCCAACCCUAGUCACAAUAGCUCGGGACAGCUGGAGUGUUGUUAAAAAUGCAAGAGUGGUGCUUGGGUUGUUUAGCAUCGUUGGAUAUGGGUUUGCCCCACGGGUUUCUAACGGUAGGCGGCAGCUAGUGACAUCCCUGUCCGUCCUUCGUAAUCCCCCCACAUUCAGGUACGCCAUAAAUGUUCGUAAAUUAGCAGUAACUACGCCGGUACACCUGUAGGGUAUUGUCUCCCUGUAGUACCUUGGUGCAUAGAACUAAGUCCUAUACACUGUGUGUGUAUGUUUACGCUGAUAUGAUCUGUGCAGUAUAUAGGAUGUAUAUAUGAACCUAGAGCUAACUCCUAGUCCGUUCUCCAUAGCUUAGUUAUCUUGAGAUGAUUCUUCUGUAUGUGUAACACUACCCAUCUUAUCAUUAUCCUUGAUCCUGUCUUGUGUAAUAUAUCUACUCAUCCUAUGAUAUACUCAUAUGCAUAGUAAACUAUUUUGACCUACCCGCCUUCCUUUGGGAAAUAUGAUACCUUGGAAUAAUCCUAGGUGAAAUCCUACAACGGUAUAUCCAUGUAAAUGCGGAUUUAUUCAUGACCAUUAAAUAUACCAACAAUCAUCACUGUGAGUUUUGGGCGUCGUUAGUGAAGGGUUGGUAGUGAUGGGCAUCCCCUUCACCAAUGGACCUGGAACCGGCGGUGAUGGCUAUUAUAAAAAAGGGGACACCACCCAGCGUACCCCACGACCCGGCCGGCCGCACCUCCCAUCAUCCCCGCCAGCCGCCCUUCCUUUUCGCCGGCCGAGCAUGGUCCCGGCCUUUGUCCCUACCACCUCGCCUCCACCGCGACCCCCCGCCGAUGCCCUCGUGCCUGGCCCCCCUCAUCUUGCCGGCCACCCUCCCGAUGCGUCCACUGGGGCCCUCGCACCACCAACCGCCCUUGCUUAGAGAGGGAGAGAGAGGAGGGAGGUGAGGCCACGCACCUCGUCCUACACCGCCGCUGUUUCUCCUCGGCCCACCGCGCCUCACCCCACACCACAGCCGCGCCUUGCCAUCUUACCGGCUGUGACGCCUCAUCUCACCGGCCACCGUUCCUCACCCCCACUUCGGUCGUCGCCGCUCCUUGCCCUACCGCUGCUCUUUGCCGCUGCGAAUGAGCGCCGAGUGGAGGAGGAGGGAUGGGGCAGGAGGAGGGCAAGAUCCGGGAGGAAGGGAGAGAUCUCGGGAGGUGGAGAUGGAAGGAUAUGGCGGAAGGGAGAGAUCCAGAGGGAGAGAGCAGGGGAGAGAGGGGGGCGUGUGGGGAGAGAGCGCGUGUGGGGUGGGGCCGGGCUGGUGGGAUGGAAGGGAGAGGGGCUAGACGGGCGCAGUGCAUUCAACUGGAUGAAGUAAAUAUUUUGGAUUCGAGACCCCAGCUUUAUUAUCACCGCUGGUCCGUAGUACCAUCCGGUGCCUGCUCGUAAUUUAAUUUGAAUCUGCGGUGAUGUUUUAUUAUCACCAUCGGAUCAUAUAAAAAUCCGGCGGUUAAAAAUCCGCUGGUUUCGAUGAAAACCGACGGUGAUAGGAUGACUGUGAUAGUCUCUUCUCUAGUAGUGGUAUAUUAGUACCGGCUGCCGGAUGGUGUUGCCGACCAGUACUUCUCCGGGGGCGAUUCAGUACUGCUGUUAGCAAAGCUUGUUCUCUAUGAAUUUGGGGAUGGAAAGCUAGUUCUCUAGUUGUGAUUUGUUACAUAUAUAUCUAUGAUAGUCUAGAAAUUGCAUGUCCUUCGUUGACAUAGUUGAAGCUGCUUCAAGAAUUUACUUCGUGCAGUCGUGCAGCAUAUUGGAUUAUCACCUAGACAGGAUACAUAGGUGAAGCAUUGGAUGUGAUUGUGGCCGAUAAUUAUGCAGGACGCUGUUGCAAUCAACCACCAAGAAGUCUGGAGUGAUGGGGUUGCCUCAUCAAUAAUUUUUAUAUAUGGCUGCAGUAUUAUUAAGCCCACGUCAAUAAUUUUUUGUCCGCACCAUAUAUCGAUGGGGUUGCCUCAUCAAUAAUUCGCGCAACCAGACAAGCUGCAGACUCAAUAUGGUACGAAGCUAGUUGCUCAGCCCACAUGCUCUGAUAUAACAUUGACAUCUGCUGAUCUACAGUAUAUAUGACCAGAAAUAUUGUGCCCACCUCAAUAACUUUCUGAAGUAUCGUGGGGAAGAACCUACGCGUACUAUGCCUCGGAACUAACUGACAUAUCGGCCCAGGCGGUCUAGGCCGAUUGGACUGGCUCUUCCUUGUGGCUUCUCACAUCCCCUUCGUCCCCAAGUAAUUUCAGGUGUUCUGUAGUUUUCUUUUCACUUGCAUCUGAGCCUCCUAUAUCAAUAGCUUCGGGAUAAGAAUGCCUCUUGAUAACCUUCCAAAUCCUCGCUUGAUUCACAUUGAUUCCGAAAUCAUCUUGCCAUAUCUUCAGAGACUUAGGUCCUAAGGCAUCAUGGAGGAUUGCUCGCCAAGAAUGAGCACCAUUGGGCUCCUGAGGACCCUAGGCCGAUCAGCCCGGGCUCUAUAGGUCGAUUGGCCCAGGCCCUCUCUGGGCCUGUUGGCCUUCAUCUUUCUUUGAGUCGACGCUUAUUCAGGGCUUUGUCCAAUUAUAGUCCAUUAUAGUCUAAUUUCCUAAAAAACAGAAUGUCCUCCAAAAUACAAUGCAUAUGUGAAAACAACCCAAUUAUUAGGUAUGAUCAAUAGUUUAGGUAUUAAAUUAAUAUUAUUAUUUAAGAUAAACAGGGGUAAAGGGUGUCAUUAAUAACAAGCGCCAACAAGCGUCCUAGCUGUUCAAUAAAUUUUUUCUAGUACCGAUUGGUAACACUAACCGGUGCUAAUAUGUACCCUUUAUUACCGGUUAUUUUACCAGGUACUAAAGGAGACAAGAGCAUCCUAACAUAAGGUUAAUAUCAUCCAUUUCAUGAGUAAAAUACUAUGAUUCAAAAAUAAUUCAAAUCCCUUAAGACAAUACCUAUCAAAUGAGUAAAUUGUAAAUAGAGUAAUCUUGAUCAAACAAUGUCCUAAUGAAACGGAACACUUCUGGUUCGUGUAGAGCACAAUAUAGAAAACAGUAGGGUAGCUGUAUGAUUGACACGUGGUCCAUUAAUUAUUGAGCCAACACUAUGGACAUGUCUUCAUGAGUAGUGUACUAGUCAUAAUACAUGGUAUGCAGUAGGUGGAGGUAUUGACUUAGCCAUGCUAUGAGCACUUAGUUACAACAAACACUUUGCCAUUAUCGAGCAUCCCAAAUCACUACAAAAUCCAUAGUUUACCAUAUACUACAAAAUCUGAGUUAAAAUAAGAGCAUACACGGAAGAGUCCGAAUGCACGGCACAUUGAAUUACUAGACAAAAUUUAUGGGACAAGGUUUUGGGUAACCGCAUGAAAAAUAUUGGAUUUUACUGAACACUUAGUUACAAUUACCAUGCCCGUGAGCACUUAGUCACCACAAACAUUUAACCACUUUAGAUCAUCCUGAAUCCCUAUAAAUUCUAUACCUUACACCGUACCAUGAAAACGACAAGAACAGAGACAGAUGCGGUGAAAAUCUCCAGAGCAAGCCUGAAAUUAAAAUAAGAGGAGGCAGUCACUAUCGACAGGACACGGAGAUUGCUAGCCAUGACAGAGGAAGACAUGAUAUGAUAUUCACCUCUGAAAUGCAGCGUAGACUAAAUGAAGCACAAUUGCAAGUGAGUGUGGCAGAUAAUGGACCAUCGAGACCAUCGAAUGGUAUGAAGCAUGAUUAUCACCUAGACAUGAUAUCCUAGACAGGACGGUGAAUUGUAAAAAGAGUAAUCUUGAUCAAAGAAUGUCCUAAUGAAACGGAACAUUUUUGGUACGUGUAGAGCAAAAUAUAGAAAACAGUAGAGUAGUUGUACGAUUGAAACUGCAUCCAUCGACGUGGUGCAUGAAUUGUUGAGCCAACACUGUGGACAUGUCUUCAUGAACACCAUCUAGUGAGGACAGCAUGCAGAAAAAUAUAAAAACAUGUCAUAGGGAGGCAGACCAAUCUUGCGAGGUAGACGAAACGUGAUACACGAUCUGCCUACCUUGUCGUGUGGAUACCCCAAGUGAAGAUGUCAUAGAGGUGCAGACCAAGCUAGCAAGGAGGUAGAUGAAACGUGAUACACGGCCUGCCUACCUUGCCGUGGAUAUUAGUCCUGAUAUCAUUCUAUUGUUCAAGGAAUAACACUCAAUGCUGCUGCUGCUGCUGACCUGGCUCCAUAAAGUUAUAUUCCUCUAGCCGCUUGCACUAACUUUAUCUGAAGUAUUAUUCUCUCUGCACUGUAUAUAUGGUUACGGAGUUUGCUGGAGUAUCCGGGGGGAAGAACCUACAUAAUAUGUCUUGGAACUAACUGACAUUGAUUCACAGACAAGGUGCUGUUGUUGACAUGGUACAGUAAAUAAUAUAGUUUACCAUAUACCGUAUACCAUUAUAUGUUAGCUAAAAUAAGAGCAUAACAUGUCGCAGGAGUCCAAAAGCACCGGUUGAGGACCAGGUACAUUAAAUUACUAGAAAACAAAAGGGGACAAGGUUUAGGUAGCCACAUGAAAAACAUUUGAAUUUACUGUACCAUGAACACUUAGUUACCAUGCCGGGAGCACCUAGUUAACACUAACAUUUAGCCACUUUAGAUCAUCCCGAAACACCAAUGACCCUCAAUAGCGACAAAUUUUGGUUUAAAUGCCGUCACCAAUGAUCCUCAAUAGUGACGUGUUUAGGUUUAAAUCCCAUCACUAAUAACCCUUGGUAGUGACGUGUUUUGGUUUAAAUCUCAUCACCACUGAUCCUCACUAGUGACGUGUUUUUAGCAACACACGUUAUGAAUGACUUGUCAUUGGUGACAUGUUAAACGCGUUAUCUCAAUGGCAAAUCAAUGGUGACGUGUUUAAAAAAACAUGUCACUGUGAGAGUUAUUGGUGAAGGGUAAUUAAAAUGCAUCACUAAUUUUGUAGCAUUAGUUAUGAUAUAAUUUUGUAACGCAAAAAUCUACCAUAGUAAUGAGGUUUAGAGCCAUCACUAAUGUGGGUUUCUUAUCGUAGUGAUGCAAGCUCUACAAGGUGCUGUUGUUGCCAUUUUAAAGCAUCCCAAAUGACUACAAGAGUCCGGUUGAGGACUAAACAAAUUGAAUUACUAGAACCAAAUGUAUGUCCAGAACAAAGAAAGGGGUCAAGGUUUGGGUAACCGCAUUAAAAACAUUGAAUUUUACUGUACCAUGAACACUUAGUUACCAUUACCAUGCCUUGAGCACCUAGUUACCACAAACAUUAAUUUAGCCACUUUAGAGGUUCCACAAUCACUAUAAAUAAUAUACCAACACCGUACCAUGAAAACAUCAAGAAGAGAGACGGGUACAUGGACCACCAUCAAGUGAGUAGUGACAGCACGCACAAGAAUACCCGGAACCUUUUAGCUUGUCUGUAGUGAUCUGUUUUCUUCGCCACAAAUAAUGAAAGAGGCUGACCAAGCUAGCAACGAGGUAGAGCAAACGUGAUACACGUAGGUUUCAUUCAAGACAUCCAUGUAAGAUUCAUUCAAAACAUUCAUGGAAAUUUCUUGUAAGUUUUCAUGUAAAUUUCAUUCAAGACAUUUGUUAGAGGUGUUGUAUAUACACUUAACGUACAUAUAUCUAUGAUUUCAUGGUUGUUAGUGAUGGCAGAUGAGGAGCAUGCAAGGUGUUUAAUGGAGCAGAUUAUUGCUAGUGGUAGUGGCUCCAACCUGCCCGUAACGUACACCGACGAAGAGGGCAGCCAGGCGGACAUGUUCCUCAACAUGUCCGGUGAUGGCAAUGAAGAGCCCGAGCAAAACCUUGCCGUGACGGAAGGUUCCAUCGAGGUAUAUAUCAUUUCCAUUAUUUUACCCCAUCUAUAAUUUCAUAUUCAUUAUUACUAUGUGCUAAUUAAUGAAUCUUGAACCGUUAGUCCUCUAGAUCAACGAACCGAAAUAAGCCCCGAGGUCUUACAAAGAUAAUGCAGGGAAGGCUUCACAUCAUGGAAGUCACAGAAGAGGGCACAUCGGUUGCUCCCGAACAUGUGGCAAGAAAGUACGUGAGUCAAACCGGGGCAAUCGUAAGGGACAACAUGCCCAUCAGCAUCAGGGAAUGAAAGAGCAAUAGAAAUGAUCUAUACGCACCCCCGGAUACACAAAAGGAUAUGUUGUGGGCAAAUAUCAAGAAACACUUCACAUUUCCCAAAGGAUAUGUUGAAAAAUAUGUGAAAGCGUGGAUGUUGAAGAAGAUGGCCACCCAAUUCCAGACAUUCAAGAAGAUGUUGGAUGCCAACUUCAUCAAGAAGGGUCGAACUCCGGGUUUCAAUGAGUGGCCAAAGUUAAGGGACCACUGGGAGUCGUUUGUCGAAUACAAGACGAGCGAAGGUGGUGCGAGUAAGGUUCACAUCAAUGUUGCCAAUGCUAGCAAGGAGUACCAUCAUCAUCUAGGGCGACGUGGUUACAGCUCUGCAAUUCCCAGAUGGCGCAAGAUGGAACAAGACCUGAUCGAUCGGGGUAUCGUACCAGCAACUCUUGACUGGAUCGAUUGAAAAAUUGGUAUUAUGCUCAUGAAGGCAAUCUGAGCCAAGAGGAUCCGACAUUGGUCUUCAAUAAAACAAUACGUCAGAAGGUCGGAAGGCUUAUUAGGAACAUUGAAGAUGCUAAAGCUGGGAGGUUCAAGGUGGAUAGAGAGAAUGAUGAACUCACAUUGGCCCUCGGGACUGUCAUCUCUAGCACUUCCAGCUCCAGGACUAUCGUCACCACCGGGACCGUCGCUUCCUGCUCGAUCACAGUCUCCAUCUCCAGCACAUCCUGGUGGUGCGAGCGACGACGACAACAACACCCCUCCCUGCCCACCAUUGCCGGGACUAAGACCCGCAUUGAGUAAGGAACCUGCAACACCACUGAAGAAGUCGCGACCACCACCUUCAAGGCAAGUCAGCAAAAGAAGAAAGCAGAGAAGCCUAAACCCACUGAGAAGCCAGCGACUGAUAUGACCGAUGCGGAAAGAUGGAAGGCACUCAAAGAAGAAUGCAGGGAGUGGUUCAGCGAAGGCGAAGGUGAGAAAGUCGUAUGAAUCGAAUUCAAGGAUAUAUAUGAAGUGAACCAUCAGGAUGCCCUUGAUGUCUCUCUCAUCAGCGCCUAGGUUCUGUAAGUGUAUGUUUAUCUAUAAGUAAAUUUUGGCUCAUAUCAUUAUUUUUUUUGCGUGCGUCACCCUACUAACUUCGUCUUCCAUUUUAUGUAGGAUGCUAAUUCAGACGUGCCGCAUAGAAGCGUACUUCCAUGUUGGAUUCAUGGAUCCAUCCCUAGUUAACCAAAAGCCGAUACGGAAGUAGCUAGAGAAAACGUUGGAGGUGGUGUACAACCUCCUGGACAAACUAAACUACAGAAUAGGGGCAAUAUGUGAGGGUCUUGUAGGAUUCCUAGUGGACGAGGUGAUAAAUCCAUAAGGAGAAUAUCAUUCCAACGGACGAGCAUUAGACACACUGAGCAACACCUAGAUGGGAGGAUCCUAGGAAUGACCUCGACAGAUUUUGGUAUAAAUAGUAAUUGUGUAAAUACUAGUUUGAUUUGUAUAGGAAUAUACUAAGAAUUGUAUAUAUAGUAAUUGUACAAAUACUAGUUUGAUUUGUAUGAAUACUAGAUUGAUUUUAUUAUAAAAAAGUUUUAAGUCGUACGUGCAUGCGCCUACAAAGGCGCGGAUGCCUUUUAAUCCCAGUCGGAAAAACAAACUGGUACUAAAGGGGCUCGUGCCGCACCUGGCAUGACCACCCCUUUAGUCCCGGUUGAACGACCCAGGACUAAAGAUCUCCGCGUCUCAAAAAUUUUAUCUCGGAUGCUUUUUAGAGAGAUUUGAGGCCUAUCAACCAAGACUAAUAUCGAGUUUUCUACCAGUGAAACUAACUAACGUUCACAUGGUUUUGACAUUCACCUGCCAUUUGGUGUAGACAAGGGCACCCUAACAUAUGGUUAAUAUUAUUCUUGAAAGAAAAUCCUUUGAUUCAAAAUACUUCAAACCUAAUAAUACAAUACUUCUCACAUCUGAAAAAUAUGAGACGGCCCGACAGUAUUCUAAUCGACGCAAUAAUAUUUUGAGGGCAGCACUACUACAGCGACCCUCAUUCGUGCCGGUGCUGGGACUCCUAUCACGACCCUGAUACAAAUGAGGGUACAUUAUUGGUGCCAGUGCUAGAACAGCCACGAAUAACUUGCUAAACGUGCUGUUACACUCACUACAGGGACCAAGAAGGUAGAUAAAUUACACGACAUAGCCUUGGUUGCCGUGGAAGCGCCAAGAAGGGAGACAAAUUACAGGGACCACACCAUCAAGUAGAUAGUGACAAUAUGCAAAAGAAUACCCGCGCCUGUUAGCAUGUGAACUGACCACACCACGAAACGUGAUACACGGCAAGCGUACCAAGGCCUUGCUGUGCAGACUAUGCAUGGACAACACAUGGUACCUGACCGCUUUUGGCCUCAGACACAUCGAAAAACUGCAUCGUUCCACGUUGUACAUCCAUUGCUAGUUUAUCUAUAUUACAUAAUAUAUUAUUAGCUAUUUGAAUAGAAUGAACCAAUUAAAAAAUUGCGUUGUAUUUUUAGUACCGGCUGCAGGAUGGUGUUACCAACCAGUACUAAUUGGCCUGUAGGAGUGAUGGUUAUUAGACUUGGUACUGUUGUUAGCAUCAUUAACCUAAUUGUGCGCCGUAUGAAUUUGGGGAUGCAAAGCUAGCUCUCUAUGAAUGUGAGGGAUGGAAAGCUAGUUCUCUAGUAGUAAUUAUAUAUAUGACAGUCAAGAAAUCGAACACUAUGCUGCUACGAGUCACCAUCAUUUCCUUCAUUGACAAUCUGACAUAGGUGAAGCUGCUUCAAUAAUUUCCUUCGCGCAGUCGUGGAGCUUAUUGGAUUAUCACCAGGACGGGACACGGAAAUGGCCAGCAAUGAAGCUGAUUGCCGUCUGAGGAAGACUACAUACUUACCUAUGAAAUGAAGCGAUUGCAUAGACUAAUGAAGCAUUGCAUAUUUGCAUGUGAGUGUGGCAGAUAAUUCUGCAGGACAUGAUUGCAAUCCACGCACCAUCGAGAAGACUGGGGCGAUGGGGUUGCCUCAUCAAUAAUCACGUGGAUGCAUGCAUGCAUGUUCCCGCAACCGGACAAGGGUCUGAUAUAUGGCUAUAGUAUUACUGAGCCCACAUCAAUAAUUUCCACUGGUGUAUCGUGUGGGAAGAAUCAACAUACUACACCUCGAGUUCUUGGAACUAACUGACGUUCACAUGCAACCUCCACAAGGUGCUGUAUGCUUUUGACAUUCACCUGCCAGUUCGUGUAGAGAAGGACACCCUAACGUAUAGUUAAUAUUAUCCAUUUCAUGAGUAAAAUACUGUGAUUCAAAAAUACUUCAAAUCCCUUGAGACAAUACUUCUCACUUGACUAACCACUAACCAACCCCGAAACCCUAACUCAACUCCGAACCCUAACCCCUAACGGCAUAACCACUCCGUUUUGCCGGCGAGAUGGAGGAACUGGCUGGAAGGUAGAGAGGGCAGCGGUCCAGGGUUGAAAACGACGGGCGAGCGCAGUAACAUGUGGAGGAGGAAGUGCCACGUAUUCGUUCACCGCUAUUGGGCAGCGACACACGACACGCCCAAUAAGAUCUUCGCACGGUAGAAGGACGUCAUGUAUUCAAUAAUGUUAUUGGUCCCCCAUGUGCAGAAGGGCGCGCGCGUAUGGAAUAACAAGUAGGGACACUGCAACUAAUCUACUCUGCUCGUCCAGUCCCUAGCCUAUAAAUAGAUGCCAUGCUAGCUCUUGUUGUGCUCACAAUUAAUCCGAUUACACACGAGCUUCUCUCCCUGGCCAAGACACAACCAUAGUAUGAUGAAGAACAUGGCACUAGCCGGCAAUGGUAUGAAGAAGUUAAUCCUCGCUGUUCUCUUACUGUGUCUAGUUAUAGGGCAGAUACAAGUGGAAGCUAAGAGCUGCUGCCCAUCCACCACUGCAAGAAAUGUCUACAAUACCUGCCGUUUCACGGGUACAUCCCGUCCAACGUGUGCAAAACUGUCAGGCUGCAAAAUUAUCAGCGGGAACAAAUGCAAGCCCCCUAACGACCACCUCACCCUUGACCCGGACACUGGUAAAUAAUAAAUUUAUCUCACUUGAUUUCUUCGUGAUUUGAGUCGUUAAUGUAUUUUCCAUCUGAUGAAACGUAUUGGUUUUGCAUUGAAGAGGAAGUUAAUGUGCUUAACUUCUGCAAGUUGGGGUGUGCGUCGUCUGUGUGCAACAACAUCAACGCUGGUAAGCAACUUUUGCUCAGACAGAGAAAACAAUAAUCAUUAAUUAGCGGCAGCUAGAAUCCUAUAAUCUAAUAUAUAUAUAUAUAUAUAAUUUUAUCAGCUCUGGGAAAUGAAGAGGCGAACGAUGCCGUUGAGAGUUGCGACCAAGCCUGCUCUAGCUUCUGCAGCGUGCAUGUUGGCAGCGCCACCGUGGUUGCUUAAGCAAAUGCAUCCAACUAGAUCGUCCUUGUGCUGAAUAAUUGGAUAUCGUAUCCACUUAAAGCUGCCUUGUGUAGUACGUCUUUGUGUCUCUCUUUAUAUUCCAAUAAGGUCGGUGAUCUUGAUGCCACACACUCAGAUGUGUGUUCAUCUCCAGAUACUACUCCAUGCUACCUGCCCUUUGUGUUUUGUUCAAUAACUGGGUAUCAUAUCCCAGCCAGUAUGCCGUCUGUUUUGUGUUUGUUUCCUUCUAGUUCCAAAGGGGUCAUCAUGAUGUUACCUUCUUUCAAUAUGGUGCUUUGCAUGACUACUGUUGUAUGGUACCAUCUUGUGGCCAAUAAGUACAUCUUAUCCUAUGACCUUUGCUAUGACCCUUUGCAAAUAAGUAGAAGAUUGUUAUAAGCGUCAAUACUCCGUAUAAAUUGAUCGCUGCUGUGAGUUCCCUUUCAGCUUAUCGUAGGCAUACAUUAUUGCUAGCACGGUAAAGCCAACCAACACGAAUGAUGAAGUAAACGUAGCGGUACUUCUGUAUACCAACACCCUUACUUAAAUGUACCGGUGUCAUUCCCUACUGGCACAUAUAUUCUUAUAUGCUAGCCAGCUUGUAAAAUUAACCAAUUAAAAUAAUUAUUUCAAGAUAGAAAUAACUUAUCGGUUUCUGGAAGCAUGUGUAAUGUGAAUUCAAGGACUCGACGGAAGUUGAAUCACUUCAUCUAUAUUGCUUUCAGUAUUUUGGGUAACUAAAUUUAACAUUUGCACAUACAAAUGUUAAAGUACAAAUGUUAAAUCUAGUUACCCAAGCAGAAUAUGAAGAUAGUUUAUAGUAUAUAUAUACUAUAUAAAUCUAGUUAACAUUUAGUCUAAAUGUUAAAUCUAGUUACCUAAAAUCCUGAAAGCAAAAUGUAUAAAUAUAUAUCUUUUAAGGCAGUAUAAGCUUCGAUUCCUAUUGCUGCUCUGUUAAAUCUCAUCUUUCGUUGUGGCCCAACACUCUAGUAUGCAUGUUGCACCAAGCUUCUUUGAGCCGCUCUGCCCUCUGAUUUUGCUGCGUAGGGGAAUCUUUAUCAGGUUGGGCUACUUCCAGUUGUGCGAUGUAAAGAUUCGUAUUUUCUAGAAGGUAGACAAAAAACUCGCGUUCUCUUAAGGCAACAACCGGAAGAUUCUGCAGCGCACAGGGCAUACCAUUAUUGUAGAAACGACCUUUAGUACCGAUCUCCAACCCCCUUUAAAACUGGUUUUGCAACCGGUACCGUUAUGUCGGUCCUUUAGUACCAGAUCAAAUAAGUACCGGUUGGUAACCAGUAUCAACUUGUUUUGCGGCCAAAAAAAUAAAGAAAAAAACAGUCAGAAGGCUCGCACACACGCGCAUCACAUGAAAUAUGCGUGUGCGGGGUCCAUGGGAUUCGAACCCAUGAAAUCAAGCUGCACGCGACCCUUCGUUACCAUCUCACCUACAUAGCGCAUAUGCUUUCCUGAAGUAACCCGUGGAGGAGGCUUUAGUACCGGGUCAUAACACCACCCGGUACUAAAAAUGACUCUUCAGUACCGGGUCAUAACACCACCUGAUACUAGUAUCGGAUGGUGUAAUGACCCGAUACUAAAAGGCCUCUAGGGACCCUCAAAUUUGAACCCGGUACUAAUGCUAAUAUUAGUAGCGGGUCAAAGUGCAGCCAGAACUAAAGCAUGGGAUGAAAGGUCAUAUUUCUAGUAGUGUAUAGUUGUUGUGAAGGACUGACUUGGCUGUCCUCUCUCUUCUCCAUCCCCUUGGUCUUACGCCGCCGCUCGCACGCGAGCCGGUGCCCAACCAGAGGAGUGAGAGCUAGGGGCAGGUUGGGAGGUGGGGAUAGUGACUGGUGGCCAGGGUGAUGGUUGAUCCUGGUGGGGUUAGGGUUUCAGGGUUUUCGAGCUUCCUAUGGUCGGCGAACCUAGAGGAGAAGCUCAACAUCAGCUGCAACCCGCGAUGGUGGUGGUUUGGCCGGCGCCCGAGGCGAGGCAGCGCGGGAGUGCUGCCGGUGGGUUGGUGUUGGCACUCAUUAUUGACAACUAUUUUGUUCAUAAAAUAACACUCAAACUUGCUGCUGCUGCUGCUGCCAUCGCCACCCUAGCCAUAAUAUAAAGGCAAAAUUUGCUAAAGGACAUGCAAAAUGAUGCUAGUUUGCUGGCGGGCAUCGUUGACCUUGUAAUAUGCUACAAGACACUCUAGUUGUGUAUCAAUUUGCUGAAAGACAUUGCUAUGACUAAAAUAAUGUUUCUGGACUGAGUUGGAGAGAGAGAUGGAGUGAAAUGUCUGUUUUGCCCAUGACCCCACUGGUCAGAUCCUUCUUCUUCCACCCUCCUUUGUUCUUUCUUCAACCAUUACCCAGCUCCAGCGUGUUGCAGAUCUACGAGGGUGGCGGCCUGGGGCGAGGGGCAUCGCUCGCCCUUGGAGGAGCGCUGCGAGCGACGGCGCGGGGGCGGCAACAGCGCGUCAGAACCUGACUGUUCGUUAGCUCCUCUCGCUGCUGGGGAAGAAGGAGGGGGAUGGGCCAUGGACGGGGUUCCCUUGAAAACCUCAGCGUCGAGCUCGGGCGGCUACGCGCAGGCAGCACUAGGCUGCUUCACGGGGAGGGGGCGCGGCCAAUCAUUGGCACCCCACUGGUCCAAUGCUGAUGAAGAUGGUGCCAGCGUCGUGUGAGGACAUCUCAUCUCCUCGAGUUCCAUGGCCAGCACAGGUGAGCUGCCGCUACCACAAAACAGAGGUUUCGUGAGAGUCAAAAAACCUUAUGAAAAUAGCUAAAACCAUCAUGAAAAUAAUCCGUGACAUGACACUCUCACGAAAAUCCUCUCACAAAUAUGGUGCCAUGAAAAUACCAUUUUCAUGAGAGUGAACUGUCAUGAUUUUAUAAGCGUCAAUACUCGGUAUAAAUUGACUACUGCUGUGAGUUCCCUUUCAGCUUAUCGUAGGCAUACAUUAUUGCUAGCACGGUAAAGAGAACCAACACGAAUGAUGAAGUAAACGUAGCGGAACUUUUGUAUACCAACACCCUUACGUACCGGUGUCAUUCCCCACUGCCACAUAUAUUCUUAUAUGCUAACCAGCUUUGAAAAUUAAGCGAUUAAAAUAAUUAUUUCAAGAUAGAAAUAACUUAUCGGCUUCUCGAAGCUUGUGUAAUGUGAAUUCAAGGACUCGAUGGAAGUUGAAUCGCUUCAUCUAGAUUGCUUUCAGGAUUUUGGGUAACUAAAUUUAACAUUUGCACACACAAAUGUUAAUGUACAAAUGUUAAAUCUAGUUACCCAAGCAGAAUAUGAAGAUACUCUAUAGUAUAUAUGUACUAUAUAAAUCUAGUAAACAUUUAGUCUAAAUGUUAAAUCUAGUUACCUAAAAUCCUAAAAGCAAAAUGUAUAAAUAUAUAUCUUUUAAGGCAGUAUAAGCUUCAAUUCUCUGUUAAAUCUCAUCUUUCGUUGUGGCCCAACACUCUAGUAUGCAUGUUGCACCAAGCUUCUUUGAGCCGCUCUGCCCUCUGAUUUUGCUGCGUAGGGGAAUCUUUAUCAGGUUGGGCUACUUCCAGUUGUGCGAUGUAAAGCUUCGUAUCUUUUAGAAGGUAGACAAAAUACCCGCGUUCUGGAAGAUUCUGCAACGUGCACGUUGGCGCUGCCACCGUGGUUGCUUAAGCAAAUGCAUCCAACUGAAUCGUCCUUAAGCUGAAUAAUUGGAUAUGGUAUCCACUGCUUAAAGCUGCCAUGUUUAGUACGUCUUUGUUUUUCUCUCUUUAUAUUCCAAUAAGGUCGGUGAUCUUGAUGCCACACACUCAGAUGUGUGUUUAUCUCCAGAUACUACUCCAUGCUACCUACCCUUUGUGUUUUGUUCAAUAACUGGGUAUCAUAUCCUAGCCAGUGUGCCAUCUGUUUUGUGUUUGUUUCCUUCUAGUUCCAAAGGGGUCAUCAUGAUGUUACCUUCUUUUGAGGUGUCUAUGAUGACUUCGUUAAUAUCAAUAUUAACCAAUUCAAUCUGUCUUAACUAUUUGUAAGGGGUAUGAUGUAUGCAUGAUUAUAACAAUGAUUGCGCAUACAAUCGCCGCCAAAGAAACGGUCAAUACCAUUAAGACAUAUUACAGACAAUUCUCAUAAUCUAUAAUGAAUAUACAUAUUCACUACUGCAGAAGACUGUCAUUUGUAUCGGCUCAUACGUGCCAGGGCAAAGGUCACCCUUGCAUUAAGUACAUUUGCACGGUAAAGACAACCAACACGAAUAAUGAAGUAAACAUGCCGGUGCUUUUGUACACCAACACGCUUACUUAAAUGUACUGGUGUCAUUCCUCACCGGUAGCCGGCUUGAAAAUUAACCAAUUAGAACAAUUAUUUAUUGUAUCGGUGUGAUUUUUGACCUAUUGGAAUAUGAAUUUGACCGUUACUGCAUUCGUCAAGACUCAAGAGAGAAAUAACUGAUCGGCUUCUUAGAGCGUGUGCAAUGUGAAAUCAAGGACUGGAUGGAAGUUGAAGCGCUAGCACUAGUAGAGAAACGACUUUCCAUCCACCCCCUUUUGUCCCGGUUUAAAGUUGGCUCGGGAUAAAAGGUUCACCAACCGGGACUAAAACUCAGUCACUGGUGGGAGGCUCACCAACCGGAACCUUUUAUCCCGGUUGCAAAGGCUAAUGGGAAAAAAAGACUCUGAGAGGCCUUUUAUCCCGGUUUGAAACACCAACCGGGAUAAAAGACCCCCCUUUUAUCCCGGUUGGUAACACCAACCGAGAUAAAAGGGUCAAGAGCCUUUUAUCCCGGUUGGAAACACCAACCGGGAUAAAAGACCCCCUUUUAUCCCGGUUGGUGUUUCAAACCGGGAUAAAAGGGCCCCCACGAGGUGACUGGAAGGUGACUGGAAGGGGAUUAAAUCGUGGGGGACCCUUUUAUCCCGGUUGGAAACACCAACCGGGAUAAAAGGGGGUCUUUUAUCCCGGUUGGUGUUUCCAACCGGGAUAAAAGGGUCCCCCACGAGUUAAUACAAAAGGAUAGUAUCCCCUACAUAGUCAGAUGUGGUGUGUAGGUGGGAUGGUAAGGAAGCUACGCGCGAGCUCCGGAAUUUUUUUUUUUUUUUUUUGCAGCGUCGGCGCUCUCUACCCUUUUAUCCCGGUUGGUAUUACCAACCGGGAUAAAAGGGGGUCUUUUGUCCCGGUUGAGUGACCCGGGAUAAAAGACCCCCCCUUUUUUCCCCGGUUAGUUUAUCCCGGAUGCAUUUUCGGGAUAAAAGCACCCUACCAACCGGGAUUAAAGCUCACUUCUCUACCAGUGUAGCUUCAUCUUCCGCUGCAAGUUAAUUGCUUGGAUAAGAAGUUGUAGCCGCUGCAAGUUAUAAAUAGUCCCGCUGAUGCUGUGCUCCGAAGUCUAUACUAUAUAUGCGGAAACUAGAUUGCUUUCAGGAUUUUGGGUAACUAAAUUUAACAUUUGUACAUAAAAAUGUUAGUUUACGAAUGUUAAAUCUAGUUACCCAAGCAGAACAAGAAGAUAGUAUAUAGUAUAUACUAUAUAAAUCAAGUUAACAAUUAGUCUAAAUGUUAUAUCUACUUACCCAAAAUAUUGAAAGCAAAGAAAGAAUAAGUAUAUAUCUUUUGUUGGAAAAUUGGUCCACGGAGAGGCCCAUUUAGGCCUCGUUCGUUUCACCGGGAUGGGAUUCCAGUCAGGAUUACUUCCAAGUUCGGUUUGAGUGAUUCCACCCGUGUCACUCAAUCCGGCUAGGAUUCAUUCUAUGGGUGAGGAGGUAUGGUUUCAAUCCAGGCCAUCUAAUGUAGAAGGAUUCCAAUCCAGGCCGGUUUUCGUUCCAGGCCAGACUAAAACGAACAACACUUUCAAUGCAAGUCUGGUUUCAAACCGGGCCAUUUCAAACCACCCGGAAUGGACCUCGUUCCAGGCCAAUCCGGUGAAAACAAAUGAGGCCUUAAUGGAAUCCCAAAGCAAGAGUUCAGUGGCAUUCUAUAGUCCCAUGCUGCUAGUUUGAGUUGGUCGAAGCCAACUUAAAUAGGAGAGCUCUCUCACUUCUCUAAAUACGUAACUGAAGGAGAGAAGGGGGCUUGGGUUACACAACGCACGCACGCACGCAUAUUUGCGUUCUUUUCGCGUAACCAACCGCGUGACUUGAAACUUGCGACGUAGCGUGCUGCUAAGUCAAGUUGAUAUAACCUUUUUGCCGUUUGCAUGUAAUCUUUUGACAACGGUCAUUGGAGGUGAUAAGCACGCAGUCAAUACCUUAAUCUUGAGUUAAUAGGGUGGUUACUACUGCCAAUUAGUGGGGCAAUUUUGUAGGGGAAACGGUUAGCAGAGGGCUACCGUCUUCUCUAUAAGAAGUUCUGGAGACGUCCAGGAACACACAUGUACAUGUGAGAGACCCACAAAUUCCUUCCCUUCUCCCUUUUCCAUGUGGUGAAGUGUGCUGUGGUACUGAGCUGCUUGAUCUCGCCGCUCUUCUCCUUGGCAUGCACCGAGGAGGAGGGUGAGCGGUAUCUCCGAGCUAUUGCCGUCAGGAAGCCUGCACGAGGGACAACAAAAAGUUUUUGGGUAGCGCAACUGCCAGCACAACUCUCCCUCCGCCUCUUCUUCACGGUUGAUGGCCACCACAAGCAUAAACCUCGCCUUCGCAUCCACGCAAAAGGGUCGCUGGGGUGCCUUCUUGCAUCGCUUCUCAGCCUCCUUGACUUGCGGCCAGCCAAGAACUGCGCCACCACCUCGGGUGCACGCCACCACUCCAGGGCUGCUACCCCAUGCCUGCGGCCGCCGCCGGCCACCACGCGUGUGCAACCGCGUCGCACCGCUUCCUUGCUUUGUGCCACCACUGCUGCUGUACCACCAGCUCCACCACCUUGGGCUGGUCGCCAGAGUGACUGAUAACUUAUUAUCUGUAACUACUAUUAACUCAGGGAUACAUGCGUCUUUUGCUUCUCCUACUAAUAUGUCCUAAAAUAUCUAGGAUGCCUUAUAUUUCUGGACAGAGGAAGUAUUUGAAUAAAAUGAACCAAUUUAAAAAAAUGUGUUGUACACUACUACAGAAAGACCUAUCAGUGUCAAACCCAAAAAUGUUGUCACCGCCAGUUUUGGGCAUCAUUGGUGAAAGGUUGGCGGUGAUGGGCUUUCCCUUCAACAACGGCACUGGAGCCGACGGUGAUUGACAUUAGAAAACAAAAAAGGGGACCCUACCUAGCCACCCCUGCAACCCGGCCGGCCGUGCCUCCCCUCAUCCCCACCACCUCGCCUCCCCAUGACCCCCCGCCGGCGCCCUUGCGCCUAGCCCCCUCAACUGCCCAGCCGGCCACCCUCAUCACGAGAGAGAGGUGCAUGUUGUAUAAUUGCGUGAAUUUUUUAAUGUUUAAUUUCAUGUAAGUUCCGUGUAAUAAAUUGUACAAGUUUUAUUGUAUAUAUGAAUUCCAUAUAUAUAUAUAUAUAUUUAUAAUUUAAUGUAUGGUUUCAUGUGUAUAUUUCAAUCAUGUGUAUAUUUAGUAGAUUGCCGAUUUUCUUUUUCUACUAGACAAGGGUUGAUGUAUAAUUACGUGUAUAUGUUUAUUGUACGGGCAAUUAGGACAAGUUUUGUAUAAAUUUCUUUUAUUUGAUGGUUGUUGUAUGGUUUCAUGUAUAUACAUUUAUUGUACUACUUUAGACAAUUUUUAAUUUAAUGUUUCUAUGAUUAGAUGUGUGUAUAACUAAUUGUAUUAUUAGUUAAGAUGGGAGCUAAAGAGGAUGAAAGGUAUAUAAUGGAGCAGAUUAUUGCUAGCUCAAACGUUGCAAGAACCUACACCGAGGGUGAGGGUAGCUAGGUGGACAUGUACCUCAACAUGUCCAGUGAUGGCAAUGACGAUGAGGAGCACGAGCAUGACAUCUAUGAUAAUGCGGAACAAGACAUUGCAGAAUUGGAAGGUUCUAAUGAGGUGUGCUUCAUGUUGACAAUCUAGUUGGCUUUUUUUCGUUGGUCACACCUUAGUUACCAUAGAACUUCGUCUCGGGAGAAGAUUGGUGGUGGUAUGGUGAUUGGAAUUUUAUUUCCACGAAAUCUGAUUUCCAUCGAAUCAUAUCCCUUGUAUUUAUCUUCUUUUUAUUUGUGAGAGCAUCUUCUUUAUGCUUGCAAAACAAUUCAAGUGCACAUACUACCCCUAGGGUGACGAUUGGGAGUAGAAAUAAUUGCCAACAAAACAACACCACAUCCUAAGAUUCUUAACUUGUGGCAUAAUUAGUCUAGUAAAAAGAAAGAUAAAAACCUAAUGGGUGUAUGUGAGUGCAAUGUGUAUAUGCAUAUGAGUGGAAGGCAUAUAAGCAAAGACAAUAUUUACACAUAGUUCUAAACACCAUGUUUACAGCUAGGUUGCUGAAUUUCUCCAUAGCCAUAGAGAUUAAUUAACCAAGGUCAAAACACGAUGUCUAUCCCAAGAUCAGUAAUUAUUUAUAGCACAAGAAAAAGAAAGCGCAUUGCAAAGUUUAUAAACCAACCAAUACAGCAUGAAAACAAGAUGAAUAGCUAGCAAGGUUUAUUAAACUGAAUGAUGACGGUCUGUAAGCAAGUUUAAACACCAUCUUUACACAAGAUUGCAAAUGGAAAAUGCCCAUAUGAAGCACUAACAUGGAUAUGAAAUCAUUCAUCAUAAAGCGUAAAGAACAACCAAGCCAACCAUAUGCAAAGCAUGAAUGGAAUGCAAUGAAGGUGCAAGAGAACAUUUUUGGAUGAACACAUUAUGAUGAUGGCAAAAUGCAAUGCAUGCAGAAAAAAUAAAUAUGAACAUGAAUAUGAUGAUCAGGGGCGGACCCACUAUUGUGGCCUGGGUAUUCCUCGGCAUACCCAAUAUUUUUGGGAAAAUGUUUAGUAGUUUUUAAUGGCAUAUACAUGUAUAAUAUAGUUUAGGUGUUAAAAUUGAUAUUCACAGCUAUUUUGGGCUCCAAUUCGCGUCCAAACCAACCUGGCCCACAGACCGCACCCGGCCGCCCGGCCCAUCGGCCCAUCUUGUCACUGAUCCUCCCACCACCACACUCAGCCCGUCAGUUAGUCAGGUCCCGAGCUCCUGCCUGACCUAGUCCGCUACCACCGCCAGGCGCCAGGCACAGCUGUACACGCCGCCCCCGUCCACCCACGUCCGCCGCACGGCCGCGUCGCGCCCCCCCCCGGCGCCCGCUGCUGCCAGAACCCAUUAGGCCUCCACCGGCAAGUCCACCCACAGUCCCGCGCGACGCGGCAGCCUCUUGGCUCUCGGCGCUCGCGGCGCGCCAAUGCCUGCGCAGCCCCAGCAGGCGACUGCCCCCCCCCCCCCCGCAUCGGGCCUCGGCCCCUCCCCAGCUCCCCCUCCCCCCUCCACCAGGACUGCCUGCUGGCCCCCACCGCGAGGUAAUCGAAAUGGACUGCUCAAUCUCUCAAUCUGUUGACAUGAUGCACACGGUUGCAAAAAUAGAUGUGUCAAAAUAGAUGUAUUGCCAAUUGCUAUAGAUGCAUAUGGUUGACAUGAAGAAGUCAAAAAUGACAUUUGGUUCCUUGUAGGCAGUCAAAAAUGAAGAAGUCAAACAAUAUUGAUCUGAAAUCAAUGCGGGAAAGGGCUACGAAGACACACGGGUAGAUUCCCUUGUGAACUUUUUAUGUCGUUCGUCUAAAUAUAUUUUUGCAAUGGGCAUACCCUACUCUGAAAUCCUGGGUCCGCCACUGAUGAUGAUGGUCUAAACAUAAAACAAGCCUAGAUUAAUUAGCUACAACUGAAAUUAAGCAAAGGUUAAUGUCAUUGACCCUAGCUCUAUCCUAGCUUUUACUAAAGUCCCGGCACAUAUAGUGGUUGGGCCCACUCUCUCUACUUCCCUCUCUGCUGCAUGCACACACACGAGCAACUGGAGGCCCAACAAAGCCCAGAAGGGUUCGGCCGAACCCGUCCGAUCCAGUCUGAGCGCCGCUCCCUCCCAGCCUUCGCGCAGAUGCUCCUCCAACGUUCCUUGACCCCUCCCUCAGUGUCCCAUUGGGUUUAACAUUGUAGGAGAGGAGUCCCUUUUUUAAAAUCUCAACCACCUCCUCUCCUCAUUCACUCCACUCUCAUCUCCAUCAAACUCACCAAGAUCCACAUCGGAAAUACCUGCUUACCACCAUGGCUGGCAAAGCCCUCGUCCCUUUCACCAACUUGGGCUUGACCAUUGAUCUCGAUGGGAAAAUCACUCCAGCAAAUGUCAUUGUCCCUGUCGGCGAUCUGGCGAUGGAGGAGGUCCAGGCACUAGAGGUCGAGCCCCUAGCCAUCAUACCGCCCAAGGGGUAAAGCAGGAGCAUGACAGGCGCUGCUAGGGGUUCAGCCGAACUCCCAGUUCAGCCAAACGAGGACGGCGUCGCCUCGGCCUCCCGCUCGACUGCAUGCUUCCCCUUGCCAAGGAGGACUCCAGAACAGCGGGCGCGUGCGUCAAGUCCCUACAAAAGGCUGAAAUACAAUGAAUAUCCAGGGUCACCCUUGAAGAUGGGUGAACGCUACGCCGGGUCCUUGUUUGACUAGUACGGCGAUGCAUUCUGCCACCGCUAUGUCGUUGUCGAGAUUAGCGGAUCAAGACUUAGACUAGUAAAUUUCUUUUAUGCGCGUAAGGCUUCAGAUGGUGGCGUGGGAGACAUGGGUUUUAUACUAGUUCGGGCAAUGGAAUACCCUACGUCCAGUGUCUGGAGCUGCUUGUGUUGCCCACGCGGGGUUCUGUAGUAGGGGUUACAGGUGUGCGAGAGAGGGAGCUAAUCCCAGGUCUCUUAGGCGUGUUCCGGUCCUCUAGAUGGGAGAAGUGUGUUCUGUUUGCUUGGGAGUAUCGGUUGUGUCUGAGUUGUCUCCGGAGCCUCCUCCCGUCUCAGGUCCCCGAUUCUCCUUUCAUAGCACAAGGAGACCAUCGGGGUUACAGACGAGACCGAGCGUGGGGAGGAGUAAAGAGAUAAACAUAGCUAGGUAAAAAUACAACAAGAAAGGGGGGAACCAAGUUUCUAGGUCACCGGCGUCCUCGCCGGCCUUCGACUUCCGCCGGCGCAUUUGUCGGAGGAGGGUGGCCGCCAUCGCGUUCUGUCGAUGGCUUCCUCGGUGACUGUAGCCACCGGGCGUGAUGAUGGCAUUUCGUCGUGACCCUUUGUCUGUUGGGGGAGGCGGCGGAUCCUGCCAUUCUGCUGACGGCUCGCGGAGUGCGAACGUCGCAUCCCUGCCGCUGGGCACGCGGGGCGCGAGAACGUGCGAGGCUUCCCCCUACCCCAGGCGGCGCAGGCCAUGAGUGCCCUGUGGCAAAUCGGAGGAGGCCGCAGCUACUGUAGCUUGUACUGUGCAGCCACGUAUGGGUACUUGUGGCAGGUUGCGUGGUGGAUGCGGAUAUCCUUCUCCCUGACAGAUCUGCGGCGCAUUUAUGGCGAGAUCGACAUGGGGACCCACAAGACCCGCGCCCAAGGCGGAUACUUGUCUGGAGGGCCCGGGUUAGCCUGACCCCCUACGCUUGGGGUCGGGCGAGGCGGAGACUUGCGGCGGGGCGUCGGACGCUCCCGACACUAGACCUGCGGUCGCGCAAGGCGGAGCUUGGUCUUCCGGGGGUCGGGGGUGCCGGACCCCAGGAUGCGGGGUCGGGCGAGGUGGAGCGUAAUUCUUGCCUCCCAUGUUGGGCCGAUGGCAGUCUUUGUUACCUCUAGUGGGCUUGGGCCUUUAUGUUUUGUUGUUUCCAUGGGCUUCGAGAGGUCGUUAAUAUUUCCCCCCAACAGUAGCCCCCGAGCCUGUGGUGGAGUGGGGGCGCUCCUCCGGAGGCUACUAUCAUCGCCCCUAGGGAAUCCUCGCAGUUGAUCCGGGAUAGGAGGUGUUGUUUGCACGGCUUGACCGAGGGGGUCGAUUAGGCGACGCAUCCUGUGAGCGACUCGGUGCGGGAGGGUUUCUUGUUGUUCCCUUCUGUCUGAGAGCCUUAAGUCGAGACCACCUGCGUGGCCUUUGGUUGCAAGGCCAGCCCCCGAGCCCCCGCACGUUGCAGGGGACCGGUCGGAGGCUAGGUCGACUUUUGUUCAUUACCCUCAAGCGUCUGUUCGCUAGGACGGAGGGGGCGAGCCGUGCCAUGCUAUCCUCAUCGGACGAACCAUGGUGCUCAUUGAGUUACUAACGGGUUGAUUCGAGUGGGAUCCCGGUCCCCGUUCGGGGGGGGUCCGGCUUGGGCCAAGCUGGUGGCGUACCCCAGGCUCCGGUCGGCCAGUUCAUAUAGUUCCUGAGUCCGUUCGGUCGGACCGGGGGCUCAUUGCCUUUCUUCGGGGAAAAACCAUGAACUUUGAUGCCGGUCCAGACUCGAAUGUGAGAUUGAGACGCCCGGGGCUGUCGCGUGCCCGGGUGAUGGCCGCUAGCGGACCCGUCUCCUCUCACCCCUCACUCGGGGGUAUCCUGAGGCGGCUGUCGAACCCGUGGCGGGCCAGCCUUCGAACCUCUGGAUCGUAAUGGGCCGUAGGGGCGUUUUCAGCCCCGUAUCCCUUUUUACCUUUUGGUGGGCCUUGGGCCGAAUCAUGGAGGAGGUCGGGCCUUGGGCCGGAUGCGGAGGAUGUCGUGCCUUGGGCCGGAUGUGGGGGACGUCGUGCGUGUCUUCCGGGAGACGAAGUGGUGGAGGGUGCCAACCCGCGAAUCGAGGGAGGAGGGGAUGUUUCUACUGCAGGUCAUGCGCACGGUUUCCGAAAAGGCAGCGGGCGUGACGGGACGUACCUCGCGCCGCAUUUAUUGCGAUGGGGGCGUCUGUUCUGCUUCCCUCGUGCCUUCCCUAUAAAACGAGGACUUCGCCUCGCCGGUUCCGCCCGCCAUCUACCUUCAAGCCUUUUCGCCUCCUCGCGCGCCCUUAGCUUUCCUGUGCCCGCUUCGUCUUCCUCCGCCCAGUGCCGCGCCCUUUCUCCCCAUCCGCCGUCGAGUUCUUCUCCCUCCGGCGAUGGGAUCCUGGGCGCGUUCCCACUUCGGCCCCUCACGCGCCGAAGGCCUAGUGAGGAAAGGCCUCCUUUGCGAGAGGACGGAGACGGAUGAGUGGGGGUUCCCUGAGAUGGAAGAGGUGCCGACUCCGCCCACCGGCUACGUCGUUUCCUUUGCCCACUUCCACGAGAGGGGGUUUGCGACUCCGCCGAGCCUCUUCUUCCGCGGGCUUUUGUAUUACUACGGGCUUGAGCUGCAGCACCUCAACCCCAACGGGAUUCAGCACGUCGCGGCGUUCGUUGCGGUGUGCGAGGGGUUCCUGGGCAUUGAGCCCAACUUCUCGCUGUGGAAGUACUUCUUCACGGUCAGCCUAUACCAGAAGGCCGAGAAGAGGGGAAGCCAGCAGCGGUCGACCCCGGUGCCGAUAGGGUGCGUCGGAAUCCACCUCUGCCAUACUCGCGCCAAGGAGUAUAUCGCGAUGAAGACCGCGGCAUCCCACAAGGGGUGGCACCAGCAAUGGUUCUACGUGAAGAACUACUCCAACCCCCCCUGCCGGAGUUCACCGGCCGCAUUAUUGAAGCGGCGCCGGAGGUGUGGGUGUACGGCCCGGUGGAGAAGGAGAAGAAGCGGAUCACCGGCCUGCUGCAGGCCAUCGAGCACCUGAAGGAGAGGGGACUGACCGGAGCCGGAGUCAUCGGGGCGUACCACGCCCGGCGGGUGGCGCCGCUGAUGCUCCGGGUCCGCUCGCUCGCCGACAUGACCCCCGGUGCUCUCACCGAUGGCACUGUCCUCGCGACGGGUGCUCUCGCUGCCUCCGAGAUCCGGCAGCGGAUCCGGGAGGCGCUGGAGGACAAGGACGCCGAUUACCCGGUGCCCGGCCACCCUCCGAUGCGCCCGGACGAGAAUUUCAUUGAUCUGGUAAGGAUUUUGCGCGCCAGUUUCCCUCUCUUGCGUUUCUUGGUAUGCCGUUCUGACGCGAGGCCCUCUGUGUUUGCAGGGUAGCAUGACCCGGGUCGUCGACUUGCGUCCGCCAGUGUCGGAGGACGCCGAGUGGCGGUAGCAGAACCGUCUCCUUGCCGAGAAGCAAAAGUGACGCAAGGACAAGAGACAGCGAAGAAGAAGAAGAGGGCCGCCAAGGAGUUCCAGCGGCGGCGGUGGGGAUAGGUCGUGUCGGAUGACGAUGACGAUGAGAAGGAGGAGGAGGAUGACGAGGAGGAGGAGGAGUUUAUCCUGUCCCCCCGGUCAGGGGCGCUUGUUAUCCGGGAGCCGCGCUCCCAAGCGGCCAUGGGGGACAAGGCGGGCGAGCUGCCUGCCCGGACCCGAUCCUGCGAAGCUUUGGGGGCGCGCCCCAGGGGUCGGCGCAGAGCGCCCCCCGGGGGUCGACGGAGCCGACCCCCAUCCCUACACCUGCAGCCCAGGAGCAGAGGAGCAGCGACAAGCGGCCGUUGCCAGAUGCCCCGGGGUCGGCGUCCAGCUCAGAGGCGAAGCGCGCGCGCCGCCCUUGCGCUGGGGGAACGUGAGUUGAAUUUCCUUGCGAAUCUCGUUCCUUUCCAUGCAUUGUGUUUGUUUCCGCUGAUGCUGUUUGUUGUCUCACAGCACCGCCCCUCAAGGCCUUGUCCCGCCGUUGGCGCCAAAGAAGGCGUUGCGGUGUUGUCGCCUCUGCGGGGCGGACCGCGGCUCCGCCGGCGGCGAGUGGCGGGGUCACUGGUGAGACCGCGGGUCCUACCGCGGAGGUGGCCCCUGCGGCGGCAACCGGUGGAGUGGUGCCACCGCCGGGCAUGGGACAGGGUCUGGACCCCGCUCCGUCCUCCGCCUCUUCGGCCGACCCCGCGGUGCAGAGUAUCGCUCCUGGGGGCCCUCAGGCCGGGGAGGUGAUUGACCUCGACGCCGACGAGGUGGAGGAGACGGCGGCGGUGGAGACGGGGGCGGUUGCCCCAGCGGCCAUGACGGGGACGACGACGGCGACGGGGGAAGGAGAGUCUACCCCCGCGGCCACGGCGGGGACAGUGGCGACAGAGGAGGCGGGGACGCCCGCCCCGGCGGCUGCGACGGAGGAGGCGGCGGUGACGGAGACGGGGGCUUCCGCCCGGGAAGCCACAGCCGAGGUGGCAGCGGCGACGGAGGUGAAAGUGCCUGUUCUGGAGGCCACGGUGGGGGUGGGGACGCCUGCCUCGUGGCCACGACGGAGGGCGAGGCGGCCCCAGGGACACUUGCUCCGGCACCCGCGUUGGAGGCGGUGGCGCCGACGGGUUGGCCCGUGGCGGCCUCGACGGGGGCGGGGGUGCGUGCGCCGGGACCGUCGGUGAGGCCGGCGACUUCCGGGAUGGUGGUGCCCGUCUUGACGGCGGCGGCGGCGCGGUCGGCCCCCGCCCUUGCCUCUACCACUCCCAUUCCCAAGGCGUGGAGCGGAUCCGUCCUGCGUUGGUCGUCUCGUGACGACCCGCAGAGGCCCCUCUUCACGUUGGAUGAUGCCACAGAAUGGGGCAAGUGGCAGGCGCUGCAGGGCGGACUCGCUAACGUCCGCGCCGCUCUAUCUUCGGCGUUGGGGGAGCUGGACGGCGUCAUCUUCCCCGGUGGCCGGGUAUGGUGCUUUCUCCGUUGGUUAUUUUCUUCCCGUUACUUCGUCCCUGAUGGCACAUUGUUCUGCAGGCCCUCCAAGAAUGUAGCCGGGGAAAAUCUGAUUUCCUUUGGCUCGAGCAGGGGCUCUGGGAGCGCUUCAACUUGGAGUUGCAGCGGACCGGGGAGCUGACCAUGCAAGUCGCCACCGUCUAGCAUGUCAUCGACGAUCUGCGAAGGCACGAGCAGGCGGCACAGGAGGACGCGCGGCGGGCGGAGGCCAAGUUCCAGGUCGUUGCCGAAAGGGCUCGCUGCGACCGCGAGGAGUUCCAGGCCGUUGCCGAAAAGGCCCGCCACGACGCUGAGGAGCUCGCACGGCUGAAGGUGCAGCAUGAAGCUCUUCAGAAGAGCGGCAGAGGGCCUGGCAGGACCGGGACGCCGAGAAGGUCCGGAAGGAGGAGGCUGAGAAGGUGGCGGCCAACCUUGGGGCUGAGGUCAGCCAGCUCCAAGUGCAAGCGCGAGAGCUUCAGGCCUCCGUGGCCCAGGGGCUCGACCAGGAGCGCCAGCUGAAGGCCUAAUCCGAGGGUAUGACUCUGUUUAUUUCUUUGUCUUUGUGAUGUUGCGGUGAUAUUUUAUUUGGCGGGUUCUUCUGGAUGAUCCUUGCAGAUGAGCUCAACUGGCUGAGGGAGGUGCUUGACGCGGAGCGCGCUGAGCACGGCGACCUGCGGGACGCGGUCCGCGUCAUCUGUGACUUCCUUAGUGUGGUCCAGGGGGAGGGGACGAGCUCGCUGGCGGCUCGUGUCCUCGGGACGUACCGCCGGACCAGCGAGAUCGCCCUGGAAGCGCUUCGCACCGGCUUGAGGCAAGCCUUUGGGGUCUUCGGCUCCCACUAUUCCGGCAUCAACUUCGCCGGGAUGAGCGGGGGAUACGCCACCGGCUACUACGAGGCCGAGCUGGAUGAGAUCGACGUGUCGGUGCUCAGCCCGGCGGAGGCCUUGGUGAAGCUCCUCGAGGAUGAGGCCGUCCCGCCCGAAGAUCCCCGGACGAGUUAACUAUAUCGGGCUGGCGCCCCAGAUGUAAAUACGUUAGGGAAAGACUUGUUUUUUGUGAGGGCCGUAGAGGCCUUUUCUAUGAAUUGUCGUAAAAAAGUUUUUGAUUCCCUUUCUUGCUUUUUGGACUUGGAAAGUUUAGAGCACGUUGUCGGGCGUGUCAGUAAGCUUUGAUGAGCGAAGGCACCGUAGCCGCUGGGGCGUCGUUUUUUUUGCAGUCCGAUCAAUCUUGCCUGAACACCGUUCGUGCACUUUCUCCUUUUUAUGCCCAAAAGUUCAGAAAGAGGGUCGGCUCGGAAAGAGAAAGCGUUUUGAGAGGGUGUCAAGUGGCUUAGGUACUUGCGGCAGGUUGCGUGGUGGACGCGGAUAUCCUUCUCCCUGACAGAUCUGCGGCGCAUUUAUGGUGAGAUCAACAUGGGGACCCACAAGACCCGCGCCCAAGGCGGAUACUUGUCUGGAGGGCCCGGGUUAGCCCGACCCCCUACGCUUGGGGUCAGGCGAGGCGGAGACUUGCGGCGGGGGGUUGGACGCUCCUGACCCUAGACCUGCGGUCGGGCGAGGCGGAGCUUGGUCUUCCAGGGGUCGGGGGCGCCUUACCCCGGGAUGCGGGGUCGGGCGAGGCGGAGCGUAAUUCUUGCCUCCCAUGUUGGGCCGACGGCAAUCUUUGUUACCUUGGGUGGGCCUGGGCCUUUAUGUUUUGUUGUUUCCAUGGGCUUCGAGAGGUCGUUAAUAUUUCCCCCCAACACUAUGAGGAGGACUUGUGGGCAGAAAGUCAGCUACCACAAACUUGCCUCUGAAUAUUUGGAGUGCAAACAUUGGAUGGUGGUUGUGGAGAGCCCCAGCCAUACCUCGCACCCGUGGAGAGGUAAUUGUCGGAUUGCUUGGUUCGUCUCUAGAAUGCGACAAGGUCAGGCGCCACCUCUCACUGCUGCCAGUCAGAAGGCCGAGGGGCCAGUUUCAACAUAGUAAUGAGAAUCUCCGAAGGCCAAUAUGGUUAAGCAGCUAACCUCCAUGAUCAUAGACUUACGUUUAGAAAAUAGGAGGCUUAGCGAUGCGUUAACAGAGCAGAAGUUAGAAACAGAAGAACUUAAGGACGACUUCCGUGUCCUCCGCCUUGGUCUUUGUGCUAAGAUAAAGCGCUUGUACAAUGCCACGGGGAAUGACGGUCUCUACGAUGCAGCUCAAUAGACGUGCCCCUUGUAUCCUUUCCUUUAGGCACUUUAGAAUAUGUUUAUUUGUUUUCCUUCAUUUUAAUUUCCAAUAGAUUGUUAGCGCCUCCAAUUUAAUUUCAAUAAAGUGUAGACUCACCGGUCAUCCAACUUGAUGGAGUCCUUUUGUCACCUAGUUGUCUUUGGAAGAAGUAGCUGGGUACAAAAUAAGUGUGGGGGAGAGCCACAGACUCUCUAGAGCUGAAACAAUGCACAACACCCACAAAUAGAGAAAACCACGCUGCACCAGCACGUACGUGAAAGUGGAGCCAGAGCUGGACCCAUAGGGGUUUGGCCAACCCAAGGGGUGGCCCACUCGGGCCAUCUUCAUCCACCGCGUCGGUUUGUGUCUCUUUACCCCUGAUCUCCCUGAUUCAUGAGUUUGAAUGAAUUUUAAAUCUGAUCAACUAAUUCAAACUCAACUAAAAUGAAUCAACUGCUCCACCUGCUCUACAUGUUUUCUAUGGUUGGCUUGCAUAUGUUUUAUUUCAUGCUUAUCAUCUUGAUGCUUGUGAACAAAUAUCUUUAGGACAGCAUGCUCAUCUAAGUAGUUGAUGUGUAUGAUAUGGUUCGAUGAUAUGAUCUUCACUCUUAAUGCUUAAGUGCUUGGGAAAAUCUAUUUGAAAAUUUAAAAGCCUUUUUGAAAUCUCCUCUUUGAUGUGCCAAAGUCCUACCAAAGCCAUAUGAUAAGUUAUCUUGAAAAACCAUUUGCAUAUGUUGCUUGUCUUUGCAUUGAGCUUUGUCAAAUUGGUGUGACCCUUGUCACAAUUCUUUUCAUACUUUCAUGAUCAAGACUCAUGUGCACGCCAUAUACCCCUUGCUAUGCUUCUAUGAGAUGUUAGCAUUGUACCAUCCAUUCAUUCCACAAAAUAAAUGCUCCACCAUAUGUGUUGGUCUCCUUCUAAGAUUAUUGUUACAAAAGAGAUAUGGGCUAUCAAAAAAAAAUAUGAAUGUCCAAGAAAGUUGGACACAUGAAUGUCCAAUAAAAAGAAAAAGAAAGAUAGCCAUGUCCUCAGAAAUAUUUACAAAGGGAGAGAGAUCAUACAAAAAGGAGUUUCCAUUCCAUCCACCACAUCCAUACAUGUGCACAUCUUGAUCUGAUUGUAUGACUUAUUUUUCUCUUUGGAUCUGGUCUUUGACUUUGCAAUAUAUGUGAUGCAAGCAUGCCUUAUCCUUCAUAGCCUACCUUGAGCUCCACAUAUAGCCAUCAUUAGAAGUAGGAUGAAGAAAGGCAAGUCUAAUGCCUUGGUGAGGACAUAUACACAUUGAGUGAUCUGAGAGAAUCAAAUGAGGAGCUAAGCAAGGUUUUGUUUUGAAAACUAAUUGAAAAAUCCCAAGCUACUUGGCAUAAGGAGUUGAGGUGACUUGAUUCAAGACCAUUACAUUCCUCAACUACCCAAGAUGGCAUGAUAGACACUCCAAAGUUCACAAGUGCAGGUAUGGUUUGGAAUAUCUUUUAGGCUCGCUUCAUACCUUUGAAAGUUAUGUUUCACCUUAGUCCUUUCUCGUUCACUCAAGGAUAAGCAAAGGCUAAGUGUGGGGGUGUUGUUGAUGGCUCUUAAGUACAAAAUCUGCGCCAUCAACUCUUGCAUAAACACAUAAAAUAUGAGCAUCAACAAUAGUGGUAGGAGUUAUUACAAACGAAUUCCACAAGUCUUGGUGAAUAUUUGUAUGCAAGCCCAAUAGGAGAGAAAAGACACCUCAAAAGCAAGGAAACACACUCUCAACCAAUCAAGAGCAAGCACAUGGAACCAUGGGCCCACAACCAAAAGGAAAUCGACUACAUUCCAAACACCCUAUACCCACAUGAGAACCCAUAGGGCAGUGACCCAGAGCAAAGGUGAUGCCAGAGUGUAGAUGGUAGUUAGCAUGCCAAAUUUUGAACCGCAAGCGCUCGGAUUAGUUGUUUCUUUUCCCUUAGAGAUUCCCCCAAGGUUUAUCAAUCCAUGGAACAAGGGAUUUGCACGUUUCACUAAGCACUAAUCAAUGUAAUUGAAAGCUUUUCGAAUAAGAUAUGAUUAUGCUAACAAAGGAACUAAGCAAUCUAGAUUAAGAUGGAUAGAGAGUACAGGUUGUGAACAAGAUAGAUUAAACGCUUGUAGAUGCAAUCACCAUGCAUGAAUGAAUUAGAUCUAGGUGUUAUUGUGAGUGGUUGUGAACCAUGCCCAACACUUUCCCACCCGCAACAUUGUCACUACAUGUGGGUACUCAACUAUCGGAACAUAAGAACACAUCAAGAUGAUCAUUCUAGGUAAGCAAAUAAGCAACCCAAAGUAGCGCUGGCCAGCCUUUUCAUGAAAGAGCAUCAUCAAGAUAAGAUUGAUAACAAAAUAGAUCUCAACCAAAGGUUCAGCGAUUACAAAUCAAGAUCUUCGUAUAACCCCGAUGACAAAUAGAGGUAUUACCCCCAUGAUCUUACACAUGUUGAUGAAUUUUAGGGUAAAGGACACCCUGUAGAUCAACUGGACCAAAGAUGAUGAUGAACGGGGGCAGGGAAGGCCCAGGUUGAUCAGCCUGCGCACUUUUGAGCCGAUCAGCUCAGGGGGUUUCCUCCUCCCCUGGUGCUCCUCUUCGCGUGGCCUCCUCUGGAUCCAAUCUUCUCUUCAUUUCUCCUACUUGUGGCGGCAAUGGAUGGUGUUUGCAUGGUGAUUUCCUCUUCUCCCCAACUCUCCCUCCUUGAAGUCCAUGAGGGGGUAUUAAUAGUCUCCAAUAGGCGGCAGCUCUGGGUCAAUGUCAGUGAAAAAAUCCUAGAGAUCAUCGUACACUUCAUGCUGAGGAAACAAGAGGUUGACCGAGCCCUGGGAUAGACCAAGAGGAUCAUCCUAGAGGGUCCCAGGCUAAUCGGUCUAGGCCCUUCCUAGCCCUUCUAGUCCUCUCCUUCCUCGUGCUGGCUUUUCUCGAUGACCCUUGUCCAAAUAUCCAUGAAGCUCUAUAUACAUACCCCCUUGAUUAUGUUGUAUUUCCUGUCAAAAUACAAUGCUCCAAAAUACAACACAUAUGCAAUAAUAGGGUUAUUUCAGGUGCCAAUUGGUGGGUUAGUAUACGAAUAAGCAUGAAAAUACUGUUUAAAUGACACUAAAAGUGUGUCAAUAACGAGCACCAACAAUCCCCCCACGCUUAGAUCUUGCUCGUCCUCGAGCAAGUCUAGCGACUAAAAGAUCUUGAAUUAAACCUGAGCAAGCGAGUCAAGUACCUAGCCUUGAAACAAAAGAUUAGAGGAGCAGCAAAGAUAAUCAAAGUCUGGGUGUUCAAAGAUUUAUCUAAGCAAAGAUUCCCCUACAACUAUUAUUCAGAACCAAGUAACUUCAAAAAUCAACUACACUUAUUUUCUGGCUUUUUUCAGAGGGUUUUUCUUUCAUCAUAAAACAAUCUCCCUGCAACAAAAUUGAAAAAAGAAUUAUUUUCAAGGUGCUUACAUGUCGCUUAAAUGAAUGUUGGCUAUCCUACUUAUUUGCAAGCUCUCAUCUCUCAAAAUUCAUUCAAUUAUAUGGUGGAGUUUGGGUAAGGUUAGCUAGAAUCAACACGUAUAUUAUUGAAUUAAGAAAACCCUCUAACGGUGGCCUACCUUCCGAGCCAUUGAUCAUAAGAAUAUCCACAUAAUGUGAAGUUUUCAAGGAUGAGAAGAUAUAGAAUGGUGGACAUGUGCAAAGGCAAAGAAAUAUAGUGACUCUGAGGCACAAGCAAUGUCCUCGUCGUUGGAUUGCAUAUGGUUGUAAUGAAAAUAUGUUCCUUAAACAAGUCUAUCUUUUCUUUGCACCACUCUUGAUCUUCAUGACAGUAAAAACUCCUCCUUUAUUUCUUUCUCUCUUUUCCUAUUAUUUCUUUUUAUUUGUCUCAAUACUUUUAUUUCUUUAUUUCUUUAUUUUAAUCUCUUCUCUGAACCUCUUCUGAACACCACAUAAUAAAAAUAAGUUUUAGAUCCUUCCAGAGACCUUCCAGGAAUUUGCUACAUGAAAACCGAGGCAAGGAGACCCCAGGCCGAUUGGCCUAGCCACUCCUUUGCUCUCCUCUAGCUCUUCUUUCUGGUGAAGCUUCCUUAUCUUGUAUCUUUCCAAAAAUUUCAUAAAGCUCGACUAGAAACGGAACAGAUCUUCAUAUAAUGAGUUGUGUUCAAGGAAUUGGUAAUAAAAUUGAGAAAUUUGUGGUUCGGGUUUACGAAUUCAGUACAAAAAUAUGAUUGUUCCAAUGAAGAACUCUCAUUACUGAAUAUUGACGAGGCAAGCAUUCAAAGAUGGUAAAAAGGAUAUGAUCAAUUCUCAAAAUUAAAGCAAACCAAGAGAGAGCGAUCCUAAUUCAAUUCAAAGUGUCAAAUGUUGCUUAUGGUGGUAUGAAUAAAUAUUUUUAGGCAUUGGGUAGGAUAAAUAAAAACUCUCAACCUGGUUAAAAGAUAUUGAUCAAUCUUGUUUUUGCAGAGGUUUUAAAUAAAAAAUAAAAUUUUAAAUCACCUCCAAUUCAAAGCCUUACUCAUAAAUCAUAAUCAAAACUGAAGCACUUGAUCAUCAUAAAGCAUGGGUAUUGCAUAAACAAAUCGAUUACUAAAACUCCACAACUACGAUUUAGAAUUCAAGACAAUGCUCAUAAUCUAAAGUUGCAAAGAUAAAAUAAAAGACAACCAAGCCAAGGUAGACACUAAAAACACUUGCACGAUCCUUGAAUUUUAUUCAUGCUUCUUCUCACAAAGACGCUAAAGUAGCCAUGUAGGCCUAAGUCUUCCCAAAAGCUUAAGAAAACUACUACUUUAUCUACUUUUGGUUGAAAUAAAAAGACUAAUCUAGACUCUCACAUGAUUCGACUCGACCAAAUUAGAUCCAAAAACUCAUACGAGCGACGAUCUCCCCCCCCUCACGCUUAAAAUCUACGACCUCCUCGUCGUAGCCAUAUGGAGUACAAGGAAAAGAAGCUUGUAAACGCUCUAAUGACGCUACCCGCACUACUUGCACACGGGAUGGUUGCUGCUUCCUUCGCUUUGUUCUUCCUCAUGUUGCUGCACAUCCCGAAGAGCUUCCUCACGUUCCUCUGCAAGAACUUGAACUCGUCCUCCUGACGGCGAUCAUUAUCUUCUGCCUUUUGAUCCAGAGCUUGUAAGGCUUGCAUGAUGUCAUCGAACGCAUCGAAGAGGUAGUGGAUGUUCUUCCUGCAAGCUGUGGAACAUGUACGAUCAUGCUCCUCCGAUUCUGGCCCGUCGUCUUCUAGAUCCUUCUCUUUGCCCUUGUCUUGACGGUGGCUAUCUUGCUCCUUGCUCGCCUUCUUGCCUUCAGCCCAAUCCCAGUACGUGUUGUCAUCUUCUUCAUCGUCACGGCCUGCAGCACCCUAUGAUCCAUUGUCUAUCUUGUAUGAAAGAAUCAGAAGCUUGUUCUCCUCAGGGUGUCUUGCGCGGUGCAGCGUUUGCAAGUGCAAGACUUGCUAGUUCCUUUUACACAUUGUAAUGUUCAUUGCAUGCUCUAAUUGUUCUACAUUUGUAAUUUCUUGGUGAAGUUUGGUUACUGAUCCACUGUUUGAUUAACUCUUGGGCCCAAACACUGUACUACUUCUGAUUAGAUAUCUGUAUCUUGACUUUGACCAAAAAAAAUAUCCGGCAGUUUUUGCCAUUAAAGUUUCAUAAAUCAUCUUGCAAAAAUCGUACUAUACAACAAGGGACGGUUUAUUAUAAAAUAUACGUUCCCCUUAUCACAUGCCACUUCCACUCAAAAGGCAACGAAUCAGUUUUCAAUCCUGAGUGAGCAAUUUGCUUUUAUUACCGAUGCCUCCUAUUCCCUUGUGCACCAAGUUUAUUUUGGAUAGGGCUGCAAAAAACGACUAACCAGCUCGGAUUCUCCACCUGCAAAACCGCAUCUGCAGCAACCAACCCCACGCGGUGGAAAAAAAAACAAAACCUAGAAACCGGACGGGGGUGGAUGUGGGGCUCGGAGCCCAAGCAAAAAACGGAUCGGGAGCGCCGGAGCAGGCCAUCACCGGAUGUUAGAGAUAGAAAAUGGUUGAAGUUUGGAGUGGAAAUCAAACAAGCCUUGGAGCAAAGGAAAAAAAAAGAUCAAACCACUCAAGCAUUCAUUUGAUUUAGAAAAGAGAACAUUUGUUAAGGUGGGGAGUUGAAAUCAUCUUUUAAUUAGUUCCACGUAUCUGGUAUCAUUACAGUUGGUUUACUUGUGUAAGUAUAAGUAGCUCUGCCGAAGCCUUUGCUCCUAUAAUUUAGUAACUAGUACAAAUGGAUCAAUAGGAAAAUCAAGUUGCAAUCAUUUCUCAGCCAACCAAACCUAUGUAAAUCAAAUUAUUGUCCAUGCCCGGCAUGCACAGGUGCCUGCCAUGCAUGCAUUGUUGCUCCAUUGUAAUAACCAUUAUUGUCCAUCGAUGUUGCAGCGCAUGUGUGCACUGUGCAGACACCAAGCAUCGAGAUUAUGUACUAGUAAGGUGUUGAAAUAAUGGGCCUAGCCCAUAAGUAAUUUCAGAAUUUCAAAUAAAUCUCAAAGGCCCAUGUGGGCAAGAGGUGGAGUGGUGCAAGUCUUUAGUCCCACAUUGCUAGUCGAGGGGAGGGAUGACCAACUUAAAUAUGGAAGUUGUCUCCACUCCUCCAAGCUAUGUGUGAAGGGCGCGGGCGCGAGGCACUUGCGUGAAUGGUCCGCCGAAAUCUGGCCCCCCUUGCGGGGGCGCGGCUUCCUUUUGCCGUUUUAUUUUUUGGUUACUUGGUCGUUAAGUCAUGGAAUCCUAACCGGUUUAGAUCACGAUCGUGAAGGUUUUUGGGAAGCGCUCUGCGCGACUGCUCGAUCGCUUCUUCCGCUUCGUCAAGUUCUUCGUCGACUCCUUCACCACGGCUCGUCUACCUCUUCGUCGCUCGGGCCUCACUCGUCGUCGCGAACAACGUCAGGCUGCUGAUCGUCGUCGCCUGCUGUAUCCGGUAGUCGUCCAGGAGCCGGUUUUCAUCAAGAAAGAAACGUACGGUCUCUUAACUCACAUUAUGUCUUCCAUACUAGCUAUUAUGAUUGUUGCAGUCUGAUAGCUCUGGAUAGUAUGGUAGAAUGUCUGAUUCUAUUUGCAAUGAUAGACUUGUCUAGAUCUUGCGUAGACAUGUCUAGUUUAAUCUGCUGCUUGUUCAUCAUAUUCAUGAUUUAUUUCUGGAUUAAGUUAAAACUAAAAGUGCUUAUAUAUCCAACAUAAGGUACCAAGAACACGUGAAGCACCCGGGGGAGGCUGCUCCACUCCGCAUGCACAGGUGGGCACGGCACCACUACUCGUCUCCUUCAGGCUGAGGAUAAGUGAUGUACGCUGAUCAACAGACCACGACGGAACCAGCAAUAAUAGUUUCAGCCUGCCUCACAGUAAUUAAUAUAUCCUGUAUCCUCCGAGGACCCCUCCCCUUAAUCUUGGCCUAUUGCAUCCAAUAAUGAUAUGUGUGUUUAUCCAAAUUUACGGCACCUUUGGCGGGGGUUCCACCCAGCUCCGCCCUCUCCACCUUCGGUACUCCAUGGGAAACCAUUCCUUUGGAAUCAAGGAAGCUUGAACAGUAUAACGAAUAAAGUUUCAUAUAUCCAUUUGAUUUCACAUGAAAUAAAAUAUUCUGUCAGAACCAAUGGUUUCACUGAAGCUCCAGGCAGCGAGCGAAGGGGUGAGAGAGGAUAACGCUUACUGUGUGUUACCAUCGCGUGCACCAUGGAUGACCAACGCGCAGCCGAGAUGAAACGGCGGACCUAAACAGGUCCUCGCUAUUUUUGCAGGUUCUCGACCAGGCCAGUUCUUUAGGCCAACCUAUCAUUCACGAGUUAAACAUACGGUGGCUGGAGAAAUGUUCUAUUCUUUUAAACAAUACCAGCUGGUUCCUCCGUUUUUAUUCCACCAAUACAAGCACCACCUUGUAACAUUUCCUAUGUUUUUUUUCCUUUCGUCUGUUUUCUCACUACAUGCGUUGCUCUUUCAUGCAUUUUUUUCCAUUCCUGUAUUCCAAAUAGGUCUACAUGAACACAAAAUGAACUAGGGGACAGAAAAAGCCAGUGAAGUUAGUUUUGAGCUUCACCAGCUACUUGCUACAUAAAGUGUGCUAUAGUCGCAGAAAAGCUAAGCUGGAUCAGACGUGGCCGAAACAAUGCCAAAGAGCUAGGUCCCUAGCUGAUGGCAACACAUCAGAUGACUAGCCUGCUUUUCUGUAAUAAUGAUAUUGAGCAAUACACUGCAUGGCUAACCUGCUUUACAAUAAUUGUCAUUUUAUAAUAUUGGUCAUCACGAGAGAUGCACAUUGCAUACACCGGCCCAUCCCUAUAAAUAGCCAAGCCUUUCAGCCAUCUUGGGCACCUCCUCUCAGGGCCUCGUCUCACCAUCAGACAUCUCGUUCCCAGUUAUAAUUUGCGAGGUUAGAUCAGGCUGCGCCAUGGCGUCCGCAACUGCUGUCAAGAUCGUCGCCACCUUCAUGCUGGUGCUGACCAUGGGCCACCUGAUGGCCGAAGCAUCACCGCAGCCUCGGCGUGUGCUUGCAGAAACGGAGCAUGCUGCGGUGUCCGGGAAUCCUGGCCUCCCAGGUGAUGCUAGCGUCAUGCAGGUCCUCGAACCCGCCCUAGUUUCUCGGCUUGCCUGCAAACCAGAGUGCACAGUCCCUUGGCCUCCUUUUGUAUGUAUCUGCUAGAUCCUCUUCCUGGCUCAACGGAACUUCAGGGAAAUGGCUGUGACGUCGGCCAAAGAAUAAAUUGGAUGAACAUAAUAUACCCCGGGUAGUGUAGCUUGGGCUUUUGUUGAGCGUCUGGUGCUAGUUGUAUUUUGUUUGCUCAUGUGGCUUUGCUUCUGGUUGCAUAUUGGCUUUCCUAUCGCUCUCUGUUGCAGCUAUGGUUUCUGCCAGGUGUGUGUUAAUGCGGUUUGUAAGCGGUGCUUGUUCCUACCUUCUGUUUUCAAUAAAAGAAGUCGGAGUCUCCCUCCGACUCUUGUUAUCAGUCAACAAAAAUGAGUUGUAUCAUAUAUAUCUGCGUCUUUUUUCUACGUAUCUUUGGGCUGCUUCAGCUGGAAGUUUAUCGUAAGUACGUGUAUCAGGAUGAUCGUUUGAAUUAAAACGAAAUGAUAAUGUGUGGCUGCUAGAAAUGGAAUGAGCAUCUUACUAUAUUACUAAUUGGAAGCCUCCACGUGAAGCCACCUAGAAAUUCUAGGUGGACGUUUUAAAAAAAACAAAACUCAUAGAAGCCUCCACCACCUAGGAAUCCUAGGUGGACACUCUAAAAAGAGACAAAUCCUAGAAAUUCUAAAAAAAGAAAAAAAUAAUAACAAUAAGAUUUUUUUGCAGUCAAUUACAUAUAUUUUUUUGAGACACCGUGCUGCUAGCUCUUGCCAUUGCGACCAGUAAAGCAAGCAGAUAGUAAGAUGACAUGCGUGUGGAUUGAUUAAAACAAAUUCAGUUAGUUGAUUCUAAAUCGUAUGUAUCCUAAAAGGAAGAUAUGUGCGUGCAUGGUCCCUAGCGAUGACAUGUAGACAUGUAUUGCAAUUUCUUUUUUAAAAAACAUGUCUAUCUCUAAACCAACAAACAGAAAAAAUAUCAAUCUAAAUCUAAAUCUCUUCCGUUCUCACACGCCUAUUAAAGAGAAGACAACCAAUCCCAUCCAUGUUCCAUAGAAUCCAUCUAAAAGCUUGCUCACUGCGGACGGCAUUUGACGGCAAAUCAAUGAAAGAUCAUCCUCUCCAAAUAGCUGGACGGCAUCACCAUCUUUAUCUCACCAACCUACAGAGCUACAACGAUGUUGUAGAGAUCAACUAGGUAACCUACCAAUCACCCUCCCCUUUUCUAUAUGCUCUAAAGAACACGUGGAGUAAUUAUAGGCCUAUAGGAGCCGACUAACCUAGAUUAAUAUGAAAAAUAUUCCAAUAUUAAAAGCAAGCAGAUAGUAAUACUUGCCUUUGACCAUUUUUCUAGAACUGUUAUUCCUAUUGAAUGUUCAAGUGCUACGGCCAGGCAUCGAAUGCCUGCACGGAACCUUCCUAUUGAAUGGUUACUCUAGAGAUCAACGCACCGCGAGACAUUUUUAUGGAAUUUGUUUGAUUCCCCUUCUACAAUUAGAUUAAUUUUUCAUGGCAUAUAUUACUACUAUUAAAUUAUUUGUUUAUUGUCGGGCCUGCUGCAUGUGUGGUAUAUAUGACUUGCUUCUCACCAUUGUUCUCAAACUAUUAUUCCUAUCGAAUCUUUCUAUCGAAAUAUAUUUUAAUUACUUGAUUGUUGUUUGUGUACCAUAACUUCUGUAUAGAAAAAUUCCAUGUUUGUAGAUAAUGUCUUUUGUAUAGAAAAAUAGCCCAAUUAGAUCCAUCACCAUCUUUUGCUUAUGUAGUUGAACAAGUUGCAAUGUUGAACAAAACUUUAAGUGAAAUUAGACCAGGAAAAGGAAUUGUGGAACAUUAAGGCAAGGGUAACCAGAUUGUGGAAUGCAACCUUACUCAGUAGUGGCGAACAAUUAAGUCUUGACAUGAUCCUUAUUGAUCAAAAGGUAUGAUAGAUGUUCACUUUGAUUGCAUUAUUGGUAUAAUUUUUGGUUUACAAAUUAUUAAUGAUGAUGCAAAAUUAGGGAACCAUGAUCCACGGUGUUAUCAAUAAGCCCUAUAUGAAAAAGUUCAAACCAUUGAUUGAAGAAGGCAAUGUGUACAUAAUUGCAAAUGUCAGAAUCACACCAGAACCACAGAAGUAUCGGCCAGUGGAAAAUGACAGGAUAGUCAACUUCUUACCCACAACUGCACUAAAAACGAUCAAAGAUACUGAAGACAUUCCAAAGUAUAGUUUUAACUUCAUGAGCACGGAUAUGCUUUCAGCAAGAAUAAAUGUGGACAUGUACCUAUUAGGUAAAACAUUACUGGCUUUUCAAUUUUUACACUUCCACUCAUUAAAUGACCAUCUAAUAAUAAUACAUAUUUAUGUUUCAUAGAUGUUAUAGGUAUCUCAGCUCACAUUGGACCGAUAGAAGAAACAAGGACAAACUUCGGAUUUACUAAAAUCCGUGAUAUUGUGCUCCUGAUCGAGUAAUUCUCUUUUCUUUUGUAGAAAACAACUACAAAACUUUCAACAUUUACAUGUAUGUUAUAGAACUUCUGUUGAACUAAAAAAUAUCUUCUACAGUGCCCCUACAAAUAAUUAAUUUCGUAGUUGGAUAUUUAAAAUAUUUAUUAUUCACUUUUAAAUUUGUGGCCAUGAAGUUAAAGUUAGAUUUUGGGGAGACAAAGUUGAGGAAGUUGAUGAUAAGACAAAAUCCCAUGUCAUUGCAAUAACAUCUACAACUGUGAGUAAAUUUGGCAGUAAGUCUUCAUUCAAUAUGAGUUAUUCAAUAUUAGUCAUUCAACAAACUAACCUCGUAAGAAAAAUAAAUAAUUGAUGUUUUAUCAGGGUAUUCUCUAUCGUCAACCAAUGCAACAAAACUUUAUGUAGAUCUACCUAUUCCUGAAACUAAGGAUGCACAUGAUAGGUGAGAAAAAUUAGAUAUUGUUUUUCUAUUUUAAUCUAUGUAGCAUGCACUCUAACAUGAUACAUUCUUUCAUAUGAUAAAAAAAUGUUAGUUCAAUUGAAAAUAUUGUCAAAGAGAUUCAUAUUGAGGACCAUCUAAAAGGGACAUUGGAAGACCAAAUGCAGUACAAUAGAAGAACUUUAGAAGAAUUAAAUUUCAUAUUAUUUGAAACAUCAAAUCAGGUAUGGAUUAGUAUGUUCAUUGUACACUAUACUAUUUAAAGACUUACAUACAUAAUGAUGGUAUUGUUCCUACUUUCAGGAUGAGGUAUUUACUAUUGAAGCAACAAUAAAUGAAAUUAAUGCAACAUAUGGUUGGUUGUCACACCCGAUUUUAAGGACAAAAUUGAGUGCAUUAAAUACAUGUGCACCAGGAUCAAGUUACACACAUCCUAUGAGUACCGUCCUUCUUUGGCACAAAGAUAACCGGUGCUCCCCAUGGUGAUGAACUAGGCCGAAUAAACUAUUUUGCUGAUAAUUCCUCUAGUUGUUGUUUCAAUUCUUUUAAUUGUUCAACCAACAUUCUAUAAGGACGUUUGGAGAUAGGUGCAGUACCAGGUAAAAGAUCAAUAGCAAAUUCAAUGUCGCGGUCAGGUGGCAUACCUGGUAAAUCGUCGGGGAACACAUCCGGAUAGUCACACACCACUUUGAUAUCUUCCAAGGAUUUUCCAGCCAACUGAUUAACUGCACAAUCUGCUGCUGAGGGUAGAGUAGCUACAAACUCCACUUUCUCUCCAUCAGGACCUGUUAGCAGAACUGUCCUCUUGGCACACUGAAUCGUUGCAUCAAAAGCGGCUAACCACCUCAUCCCCAGAAUUACAUCGAUUCCACUGGACUCAAGGACGAUAAGAUCAGCCGGAAACUCUAUACCCAUUAUUCUCAGUUUAACUUGUGGACAGAUGUAUUGAGCCUUCAUUGACCCCCCAGGUGAACUCACUAGCAUAUGACGCCUCAUGGUAUGCAUGGGUAAAUUAUGCUUUGCUACAUAAUGACUAGUGACAAAAGAAUGCGAUGCUCCAGAGUCAAAUAAAACUGAUGCGGGGGCAGAGUUGACAAAGAACAUACCAAGCACUACAUCUGGAGCCUCCUUAGCAGUCUCGGCUUCCAUGUGGUUCACCUUGCCACAAACAAAGCUUUGCUGCCCCUGAUUGCCUUGUGGGGUCUGGUUCCCAUUCCUCGGUUGCUGCAUCUGAUUCUGCCGAGGAGCACUGCUGUUCUGCACGGGGGUAGCUGGCCCACCUCUCUUAGGACAAGAGCUGGCAUAGUGACCAACCUCGCCACACUUGAAGCAGGUAGGACCCACUGGAGCAUUGGGCCUUGUUGGAGUGCCAGUAGGGGUCAUCUGGCGGUUCUGCGUAAAGCUUGGGCGCGGAGUCUGCAUAGUCUGCAUCCCUGGAUGCUGGAACUGAGGGCUAGGGCGCUGGAAUGACUGCUGAGCAGGGCGCGGAAAUGAGUGCUGCCAAAAAUUCCCACUCGGGCCCCCUGCGCGGAACGGCGUCCCUUGCUGUGGAGCAAAGCGAGGGCGGGUGUUGCUUCCUGAAGACUACUGGGAAUUGAAUUUCCUCUUCAUCUCCCCGAGCUCGUUCCUCUUGUGUUCCAGGCCAAUUGCCUUGUCUAGCAUCUUCUGGAAACUGGGGAAGGUGUGCGACAUAAGCUGAUAUUGGAGUGGUCCAAUCAACCCAUCCAAGAAUAGCUCCUGCUUCUGCUCAUCAUCAGCAACAUCUUCGGGAGCAUAUCGGGACAACUGGACAAACUUGUCCCUGUACUCUGCCACUGUCAUGUUCCCCUGCUUGAGAGCAAGGAACUCCUUCUUCUUAAGCUUCAUCAAUCCGGAAGGAAUAUGAUGACUUCUGAAGCUAGUCCUGAAUUCAUCCCAGGUGAUGCCAUUAGCAUUGGCAUGGGUGGUGGUGUAAGCAUCCCACCAAUCAGCAGCUGGCCCUUCCAGGCGUCCUGAAGCAUACAGGACCUUCUCCCUGUCAGUACAUUGGGCGAUAUCCAGCAUCUUCUCCACUGUUUUCAGCCAAUCAUCAGCAUCUAAUGGAUCCGGAGAAUGUGAAAACGUCGGGGGCUUGUGGCUCAUGAACUCCCUAUGCCUGUCCCUUGGCGGCGGCUGCUGCUGGUUGUUGUUGUUGUUAUUGUUCAGCUGAGCUUGUAAAGCUGCCACGGUGUUGGUCAGUCCGGCGAGAAGCUGAGUCUGAGCUGCUAGAAACUGCUCCAUCCCUGCAGGUGCUUGUUGGUUCUGUUGCGGAGCGGUGUUGGGAUUGCUGCUGUUGUCCCUGUGGCGUGGCACUGUGGGACGGUCAACUCCUGAUCCGGACCUGGUGUUUACCAUCUGAGCGUUAGAGACAAUGGAUUUAGAUAGAUGUGUGAAAGAAUAACUGAGAAAGAUAAAGCGACCAGAUGUAAAAGUAACACAGAUUCUGUUAGCUCCAUUUAAUUAGGUGUGGUCGUCAGAAGAAGUGUCCAUAAAUUCUGAACAAUUACCAAGUCGUAACUUAUUAAAUUUGUAAACCAACCCAACUGGAAUCAUCUCAAUCGGACUUCUGGAUCUCGAGUUACAAAAUUAACAAGCUGACAGUGUCGGUCGAUAGGUUCAGAUUCUGAGUGCUUUACUAAUUCGCAUACACCUCCCAGACAGAUACACCAAAAAUUCUGAAAAAUUUACAGAUAGUACUCCACGAAAUUCUGAAACUAACCCCACUGGUUUCAUGUCAUUUGGACUUCUGUAGCUAGAGAUAUAAAUAAAAAAGUACUGGCGUGUCAGUUAAUGUCGAGAACAGAAUUGAAUGUCGCUUAGCUUGCGUGAUGGAUAGAUUUAGACAGAUGGUAGAUCAUGAUUAAGGAAGAUUAAAUACUGAUUUAGAACAGAAAUAAAACCCAACUAAGCACUUUAUUUAUUAAGACCAGUAUCGUGUGGCAAUUGCCCCACAUACCGCACUCAUUACAAAAUCCAACUCAAACAUGUAGCACAAAACCAAUCAUCUAAGCACACUUUAACUAACACACUCGAACGACGUCUAACGAUUACAAGAAUUUAAACUAAAACACUCCUAAUUUCCUAGAGGUCUUCUGCGGCGGUGCCGGGCGAGUCGUAGCGGGGACGCUUAGGCGACGGCGACGAAGCGGGAUGAACAGCAAACUCCUGCGGCGGCGGUGCUCCCGUCGCGGCAGCCAUAUUCGCAUCCCUCUCCCACCGGAGUUCCUGAACCUCCUGUUGAAGCUCCUGGAUGUGGUUGUUUGCUUCAUUCAAUGCGGUGAGAGCUGCCGACGUGUACUUGCGGAGGAAGUCUGUAGCCAUGUCAACCCCAUCGUUAGUAGCGAUGAAGGUUCUUGCUUCCCCACUAGCUCGGUAAGGAAGGAACCGAUGGUAAGUGUGCUGCAAUCGCGGCCGUUCCUUGUGGGAGACGACCUCAAGUGCCCUCCUGGCGGCCUCGGCAAUGCCGGAUUCCAUGGUCCUCCUUAUGGUCACAUCAUGGUGAAAAGCCUUCACCUCCCAUCCUCCCUCGUGCUCCUCACGAAGGACAACCUUCACCUCCCAAAAAGUGGGAUAGCGAGGGUGGGUGAACCGGGAGCACUUGUAGAGUGGCCUCAUGCCGUACCCCAAGCGGUGACAAGUCCACCUGAGUAUGUCGGCCAUGUGCACUCCUUGGCCAUAAUCUUCCUUCACCCAUUUGAUCCAUGUCUCGGGCUCGGGAUCUGCUUCGGGCUCAUCAUCCGUCAAGUCGACGACCGGUACGGGCGUCGGGGCUGGUGCAGGAGCGGGCGCCGGUGCUGGCGACGGUGCUGGUGACGGCGUGGUCUCCUGCUCCACGGUCACGGCGUCCCCGUCAGAGUCAUCCCCCGGAUGCUGGAAGAUCUCUUCCUCUUCUUCCUCGUCCCAAGGCUCCAUGGGGGCGUACGACGGCGCGAUGCCAUGACGCGGCGGACGGGUGCUCUUGCGUGCGGUCAACCGGGUGCGAGCCAUCUAACAGAAAGAAAGAAGAAAAUUUUAGAAUAAAAUUUUGAACAAAGCUAGAUAAUAAAAUAGCAAUAAGGAUGAGACAAAUCAAGUUUAAGAAUAAUUAAGUAGAUUUAAAUUAAGAAAGGUAGGAAUGGCUACUAGAUUAUUAUAAUCCUUAAAUACGACCAUUUUCUAACUAGGCUAACGUCCUACAGUCAACACGGCUCUGGUACCACUUUUGUCACACCCGAUUUUAAGGACAAAAUCGAGUGCAUUAAAUACAUGUGCGCCAGGAUCAAGUUACACACAUGUACGACAAUAGUGAAUAGUAAAGCCAGUGCUAAAUCGAAUAAAGAGAGUAUUAACCAUUAUUACAUGACCGAAUGUCUCAAAUAAACCACAAAGUCUAAUUAUUACGCAGCGGAACUCCAAAGAUGACGACGACUCCAUAGGCAGCUGACUGAAGAAACGUACGCCUAGAACUCCUCGAAGUCGUGGAAGUACUCCUCUUCCCAAUUAACUUGGUCUGAACAGCGGUUUUGCAAGGGUGAGUACACUUAUGGUUGGUACUCAACAAGUCGUGGGAAGUAGUGUAGUGUAAGGCUAAUUCAAGGUAUGGCUAAGGCGUAAAUAGCAUUCGCUUUUAAUUAAGUUGGUCAAAUUUUAUUAGCAUUUACUAAGUAUAAGUUCAUACCACCCGAAAUUAAACAUGAACAUAAAGUAAACCACAUGUGCAUGAAAUGAUAACAAAUUAAAUCCAUCUUCCGAUAAUAUUAUCAUGUGAGGGUCCAGGCCGCUCUUAACCGUGAGCACGGCUGAUUGAUCAGUUUAACACUCUGCAGAGGUGGCACAUCUUUACCCACAAGUCGCGUAAAAGUUCAAAAGAACUUUGGACCCAACCAUGCGGUGUUUGCAAGGCACCAUACCACACUUCCGAGGUGUGAUUGCAUAGGGACGCUACGAGGCCUUUACAAAGAUUCAUUAAUCAGUGGUAACCCGCUAAGGUUUCGGUGUCUGGCGUGCACCACCCAUCCCAGGUAAAAUGCAACGACUCAGUCCCCCCCCUUGAAUCAUCACGAGUAAGGUCACCCCAGACUAAGGUUUCUAAUUAAUCAGCCAAGACCAGAGCUAUUUAGUCUUGUGGUAGCACUGUUUUCCUGGGUGGUCGCUCCAUGUUCUGAUUAACAAAUAAUGAUCUUGUCUUAAUGAAAGGUAUAACAGAAAUAAGGCAAGAUUAAGCAUUGUUUUUAGUUAAACCACCAUGUACCAAGUAAGCACUAAGCAUGAGCUACCCAACAUAAAGUAAACCGGUUGGUCAAGGCAAAGGUAAAACAAUCUAGGCCAACCUUAAUUGGGACCCAUCAAUUUAAUCUUAAUAUGUGCACAGCAUAAAUGUUGAGUACGAGAAAGUAAAGGUGUAUAGGACAAAAAGGUAGUGAUCAAGGACACGACUUGCCUUCUUGGCCUUGCUCCUGCUGUUCGUACUCCUCGAAGGCUUGAUCGGCAACUCCCUCGAACUGCGGGGCGUCUACACGCAUCACACGAGCACAUACAAGCAAACAUGGGCAAAAGUAAGAAAACAGUAUACCAAACAUAGUCAAACAGAGAAAACAAGCUUGAAAAGAUGAUCUACGCUUUAAAACGAACACGCGGAUAUAAAGAACGCGAAAAACGGAGUUAAGAUGCAAAAGAUAUGAUUAAAACAAAAUCCAGGGACUUUUCUGUAAGAAAAACAAAACUUUUAGGGCCUAUCCGCGAAAACCGAGGGCUUAUACGUAAUUAUGCGUAUAAACCGAGGGUCUGAUGCGUAAAAACAUCAAACCCGGACGGCGGGUUGAUUUCUGGAAAGGUCAAGGGUUAAACCGAAAAAUGCGAGGGCAGAUCUGUAAAUACUUUCAACGCGAUCUGGACCGCGGGUUGAUUUGCGAAAAAGGCGGGGGCUAAAGUGCAAAAACUGCACGGCGCGGCUCGGUUGACCGGUACGCGAUCUUGAUUGACUCGCGUCCGGCCGUCGGAUUAAGAUCCGACGGUCGCGGUGAUCCGCGACAUCGCGGCGGCGGCGGCGAGCGGCGGCGAGCGGCGGCAAGCGGCGGCGGGUCGCCGGAGUUAGGCAAAAUAGCGCCACGAGGCACGGUUUAACGCGCGGGUUGCACCAAAAAAGAGAGGGGAACACGUCGAUCCCGUUUUGGGGGUUCUUGUCGACGGGGGCUCACCGGCGACGGCGAACGGCGGCGAGGAAGAGGCGGCGGCGCUAGGAGCUCGGGCGGCUAGGGUUUCGGGGAGCUGCGGCGCUGGUUUUGGGCGGAGGAGACUGGGAGGAGGCGGCGGCUUUUAUAGGGCUUGGAGAUAGAGCCGGCGCGGGUUCAAAUCCCCCGGAGGAGUCGGAGCGGAUGGAGUCCGGGGCGGAGACGGCGCGCGGCGGUUGCGGAGUUCUGACCGGAUUCGGCCGGAGGUGGGAGACGAUGGGUGGGGUCCACCCGUCAGUGGCGGAGGGGAGCGGUAGACGGGCCGGCGCGACCGUGGGCUGGCGCGCGCUCGUGGGCUGCGGGGAGCGGGAGAGAAGCGGCGAGCGGGCGCUGGCGGAGCAGGCCGAGCGGAGGUAGAGCUGGGCCGCGGAGAAAAAGGAGGAGGCCGGCGGGCUGCUUCGCAGGCCGGUAAGGAUGAGGCGGCCGGGCCGAAGAAGAAAAAGAAAAGGAGGGACAAGGAGCUUUCGGCCGAGGGAAAAGAAGAAGAAAAAGAAAAGGAAGAAGAAAAGGGAAAAGGUUUUGGAAUUUGAAUUUAAAUCUGAAAUUCAAAAUUUGAUUCAAACUCAAGCAACCAAAAAUUAUGCUCCAGCAUGAAUGCACAAAUAAUUCCUAUGAUGAAUUAAUUGAAUUAAAGAAAAUGAAUUUAAAUGCCUAGAAAUUAAAUAACACCCUAAUUUGAGCAAAUUUUAAUGAAUUUGAAUUAUUGAAAUUUUGGGUGUUACAUUGGUACUACAUCUCAUGUAGUAGAGGCGAUUGUAAGAAGCAACUUGAAAAGAAGUUUGAUCACUACUAUUGCAAUAAAUGUGACAAGAGAGCCGAACCUAAAGCCCAGUAAAUUAUUUAGUAGUUUACAAUCUUAUUAUAAUACUUCUAUUUCUAAUAGGAGAAUAAUAUUUUCAGAUUCAAAUUAAGCUUCAAAUAAGUGAUCCAACAACAAGUGCAACUUGUGUACUUUUGACAAGGAAGCAGAAAUGAUAAUUAAUGAAUGAGCAGAUUCGAUGAUCACCUCAGUUGAUCAUGAUAAUAAGUAGCUACCAAAAUCAAUUCAGGAAAUAUGUGAAGAAACAUUGAUUUCUCAAUUCAGAUUGACCGAGUACAACUUGACAAGUUUUAGACCUGAUUAUACUGUUUCAAAGAUAUUUUUUCCAAAAGAAAAGGGCAGUUCAAGAAUUGGUAUGGAAAGUGUAAAAAAGGUAACACUUUAUUAUUAAUUUUUUAUUGCACUUUUUUCUUUUGAAUCCGUAAUACUUAAUAAUUUUACUAUAUCAAUGAAACAAAUUCUAACCUAAAUUUAUUUUCUUUUUUAUUAUUUGUAGGAAGUAGAAGACAACUCAGACAAAUGCUACACGAUAACUACCGAGAAUGAAGAGGUAGACACUGAUGACUCUUUUACCGAGAAAGUAACAUUCGUAGAAGAAGCCAUAAGGACUGGGGAAAGAUUGGCUAGAAAAGUAUACUCACUUCCAUGUCAGUGUUCAUUCUAUUUACAAUACAUGCAAAAAAAAUAUUAUUCAUGCAAAAUUGCAGGUCUACUAAGCAUUAAAGGAAUAGCGGAUAGUGCAAUAUGUAAUCUGAGCAGCAUGCAUUACAAAGUGCUCUACUGCAAUUAAAUUAAAAAACAUGAUAUAUGUUGAAUUCUUAGACUUUAUUAUUAUACUUUUCUACGUGACAAUUCACAAUUUUUUAGAAAAAAGAAGAUCCCAGAAGAAGUGACCAUGAAAAAAGGUCUAUGACCAGCAAUAAGAAAAAAUGCAAGCAUAGAAACAAAUCCGUAGAAAACAUAGAAAAUAAGGUACUCCAUAAACAAAAGUAUUCUCUUAUAUUUUUAUUAAAUAUUUUUUUAACACUUGACAAGUUCUUUUUUAGGAUCAAUAUAUCAGCAAUUCAGAUGUCAUUGGAGAUGAAACCUUAGUUCAUCCAAAAGGUCAAAAAAAAACAUCUGAAGAAAGGUGUUUGGCUGAAAAGGAAAAGCAAAAAAGUGGUAAUGCAGACAAACACAUGCAGAAAAAUAUAAAAACAUGUCAUAGGGAGGCAGACCAAUCUUGCAAGGAGGUAUAGACGAAACGUGAUACACGACCUGCCUACCUUGUCGUGGAUACCCCAAGAAGAUGUCAUAGAGGUGCAGACCAAGCUAGCAAGGAGGUCGAAACGUGAUACACGGCCUGCCUACCUUGCCGUGGAUAUUAGCCCUGAGAUCAUUCUACUGUUCAAGGAAUAACACUCAAUGCUGCUGCUGCUGCUGACCUGGCUCCAUAAAGUUAUACUCCUCUAGGUGCUUGCACUAACUUUAUCUGAAGUAUUAUUCUCUCUGCACUGUAUAUAUGGUUAUGGAGUUUGCUGGAGUAUCCGGGGCGAAGAACCUACAUAAUACGUCUUGGAACUAAUUGACAUUGAUUCACAGACAAACUCUACAAGGUGCUGUUCUUGCCAUUUUAGAGCAUCCAAAGGACUAUAAAUAACAUAGUUUACCAUAUACCAUAUACCAUAUACCAUAAUAUGUUAGCUAAAAUAAGAGCAUACACAUGUUGCAGGAGUCCAAAAGCACCGGUUGAGGACCAGGUACAUUGAAUUACUAGAAAAAGACAGGGGACAAGGUUUAGGUAACCACAUGAAACAUUUGAAUUUAUUGUACUAUGAACACUUAGUUACCAUGCCAGGAGCACAUAGUUAACACUAACAUUUAGCCACUUUAGAUCAUCCCGAAUCACCAAUGACCCUCAAUAGUGACAAAUUUUGGUUUAAAUGCCAUCACCAAUGAUCCUCAAUAGUGACGUAUUUAGGUUUAAAUCCCGUCACUAAUAACCCUCAAUAGUGACCUGUUUUGGUUUAAAUCUCAUUACCACUGAUCCUCAAUAGUGAUGUGUUUUAGCAAAACAUGUUAUCAAUGACUUGUCAUUGGUGACGUGUUAAAACGCGUUAUCUCAAUGGCAAAUCAUUGGUGACGUGUUAUCUCAAUGUUAUCAAUGUUCUAUUCUUUUCAACAAUACCAGCUCGUUCCUCCGUUUUUAUUCCACCAAUACAAGCACCACCUUGUAACAUUUCCUAUGUUUUUUUUCCUUUUGUCUGUUUUCUCACUACAUGCGUUGCUCUUUCAUGCAUUUUUUUCCAUUCCUGUAUUCCAAAUAGGUCUACAUGAACACAAAAUGAACUAGGGGACAGAAAAAGCCAGUGAAGCCAAUUUUGAGCUUCACCAGCUACUUGCUACAUAAAGUGUGCUAUAGUGACGUGUUUUAGCAAAACAUGUUAUCAAUGACUUGUCAUUGGUGACGUGUUAAAACGCGUUAUCUCACUGGCAAAUCAUUGGUGACGUGUUUUAAAAAAACAUGUCACCGUGAGAGUCAUUGGUGAAGGGUAAUUAAAAUGCGUCACUAAUGUUGUAGCAUUAGUUAUGAUAAUUUAGUAACGCAAAAAUCUACCAUCAGUAUUGAGCUUUAGAGCCAUCGCUAAUGUGGGUUUCUUACAUAGUGAUGCAAGCUCUACAAGGUGCUGUUGCUGCCAUUUUAAAGCAUCCCAUGACUACAUGUUAAUAACAUAGUUUACCAUAUAUCAUAAAAAUAUUAGUUACAAUAAGCACAUACGCAUGUGGAAGAGUCCGAAUGCACCGGUUGAGGACUAAACACAUUGAAUUACUAGAACCAAAUGUAUGUUUAGAACAAAGACAGGGGUCAAGGUUUGGGUAACCGCAUUAAAAACAUUGGAUUUUACUGUACAUGAACACUUAGUUACCAUUACCAUGCCUUGAGCACCUAGUUACAACAAACAUUAAUUUAGCCACUUUAGAGCUUCCAGAAUCGCUAUAAAUAAUAUACCUACGCCGUACCAUGAAAACAUCAAGAAGAGAGACGGAUACAUGGACCACCAUCAAGCGAGUAGUGACAGCACGCACAAGAAUACCCGGAACCUGUUAGCUUGUCUGUAGUGAUCUGUUUUCUUCCCCAUAAAAUCCAUGAGUAUUGCCACAAAUAAUGAAAGAGGCUGACCAAGCUAGCAAGGAGGUAGAGCAAACGUGAUACACGGCCUGCCAAGAUUGCCCUGGAUACGCCAAUAAGAGCGACAGAUACAUGGAUCACACCAAUAUGGUGAAACGUAUAUUCAUCACACAAGCAAAGCUGGUCAGUUUAUCCAUGGUCAAAUUGUGGUCUUUGUUUUCACUUGAGAGCUAAUUGAGGCACUAUAAUAUGGGCAGGCCUAUCUUCAACAGACAUGACAGCUACAGGGAACUUGACAUAAUUUGCUGGGCCGCCUGUGCACAAUUAUUUGUUUUAUUGUCCUUGCAUAGAAUGCUAAAAUACUCUUUACAAAAUGUUGGAUCUAAUAUUUGAAAUAUAGAGUAGUAAUCAUAUAUUGAUCAACAACUUGAAAUUAUCUGUACAUUCUCGGUGAAGCUGUUGAACUAAUUUUUGCAAAUUAUUAAUUCAUCUCAUUACGUAAAGAAAAAAGUAAGUGGAUAAGAUAUUUCGUGGACCACAUCACUGCAAACAUGUCAUGGAGAGACAGACCAAGGAGGCAGGACGUGAUACACGACUUACCCUAGGUUGCCGUGGAACCGCCAAGAAGAGAUACAGAUACAUGGACCACACCAUCUUGGGAGUAGUGACAGCAUAUAUGCAGAAGAAUACCCCGUGCCUAUUUGCAUGCAUGUCUCAAGUGAUCUGUUUUCUUCAGAAAAUACAUGAGCAUUGCCAGAAAGAAUGGCAAGAGACAAACAUGUCAUAGAGACUUGCAUGUCUUGCCUUGGAUACGCCAAGAAGAGGGACACAUACAUGGAUAACACAAAUCUAGUGACACGUAUAUUCAUCACAAAGGCAAAUCUGAUAAUUUUAUCCAUGGAGCAGACCAAGGAGAAAUUGAUGACGGACAUGUGAUCUCUGUAUUCAGUUGAAAGCUAAUUGAGCUACACUAAUAUGAGCAGGACUAUAUUCAAGAGACUUGUUGAGAGCUACAGGGAACUUGUAAUAAUUUGCUGGGCGGCCUGCGCACAAUGAUUUGUUAUACAUAGUUGAAAUAUUUCAAGAAUUUAUCAACCUCAUACUCUGAAACCCUUGGUGCAAUGUACUCUGCUUUCCGAGGUAGACUGUUCACGUAAAAUGAGGUCAUGCGUAAGACGGAAUCGGAUUGGAUUCACAGGGAAUCAGAUUUGGAUAGCACCUUUUAGCAGGUUUUUAGUCAAAUGCAAAUUCGGAUCCACAUGUGGUUGAAUGCGAGUUCAAAAUUCUACUUGGAUAUCCAUUUAAUUUAGGUGAUAGCAAUUAGCACAAAAUGUUGGAUGAACAAAAUCAUAGUUAGACAUACAAUUACAUGUAUGGUUAAAGUAUAAUACAAUACACCAAGAUUAUUCCUUGAAAAUAUUUCUUAAAAAUAUUAUAAUAAAUGAAUAAAUAUAAUUGUGGCCACCAACAAAUAGUCGGUGGUCGCUAAGUUGGAGCCAUUUCUGGUUACUAAUGCGGCCUUCUCCUCGACCAGCGACGACAGCUGAGCUUGUUCCUUCUGACACUAAAUCAUCAGAGUCUUCCCUCCACUACUAUAGAAUGCACCUUUAGCACCAAUUGGGAAAUCCCCUUCAGUAUUGGAUGCUGCAACCAGUGCUAUAUAUCAAAAUGGAGACUAAAAGCCUCGGUCUUGGGUACCGGUUGCAUAACGCAUUACUAAAGGAGGCAAAAGAGAAAUGUAACAAAAAAAAUAUUUUGAAUUCCAAGAAUGUUUCACUAUUCAAGAUGACUAGCUGAGAGUCAACAGACAAGAUACUAGGAAUGUGGGUGCUUGAAUGCAUUUGUACAGAGGUCAUACUAUUUACAAACUCUUCUAUGUUUCCAUAUGACUACCUACUUCAAUGUCACGCGAGCCAUUCAGCUGGACACAUGGCACACUAGCUUGCAUGUCGAAUCCAUGAUUAAUUAUUUGCACUUGUGAUCUCUUACCAGUAUUUGUCCAGACUAGAAACGUGCAACACAUUUUUAGGAUAUGGACACGCAUAUAUUUGGACUAGUAUACAGGUCACCUUUGGAUGCGUACAAGGAUGACCGGGAGGGACUAAUGGAUACAAGGAAGGGACCAUCAGGAUUAAUAUUGACAUAUGCCACAUGACAAUCUUCAUUGUCAUGCAAUCCCUAUCAACAAUCAUGGAAUCCCUAGUGUACUAAUCCCUGGAGGGUUGUGUGGAAAUUUAUUUUACCUUGCGGUGAAAAUCUCAUGAGCAGUCAUUAGUUAAGCUGACUAGCUGAGAUAUAAUAGACAAGCUAGUAAGAUUGGGAGCAUCAAUGCAUCCAUACAGGGUCACAAUAUCCUUUCCAUUCACUUUUAUAUAUAACCCUACGAAUACAAGUCCAACGAAAUGCGGGCCUUUCGAUCAAGAUAAAUUAAAUGGCCCACUUGUAUUUCUAAUCCAGGAUUAACUAUGCCCUCUGUUCAUCUCUUGCAAGCACGUGCAACACAUUUUCACGAUAUGGACAUGCAUGGAGGUUAUUAUACUGUUUGGACAAACUCUGAUGUGCCAUGACCUAAAUGCUUAGGGCCUGUUUGGUUUGAGUUGCUUAUUAUAAGCAACUUAAAGUUGCUUAAAGUUGCUUAUUUGAAGUUGCUUAUUUUUAGUCUAAACUGUUUGGAUACCCUUGCUUAUGAGCAUUGAAUGAGUUGGACAUUGUCAAAUUUGCCCCAUGUGUUGCUACCCCUCCAAUUUGCCUCCCCACCCUUCUUCUUCCUGCACACGUCCGAUCCCGGGGGCCGACGGCGGGCAGGGAGCAGCAGCAGCUGGCCAGGGCGGCGGUGGGGCGGGAGCGGCGGCGCACACCAGCACGCGCUCGCACGCCAGGUGCUAGGGCGCGGCGAGGCAGUCGUCGUAGCCCACCGGGAGCGGGUGCUCGGGCGCGAGGCGGUACUCGACGGAGAUGCCGAGCGUCGGGCGCGCGGCGGCGAGCGCGUUGAGGAAGCGAUGGUAGUGCGGCGACGUCGCGGACUCCGCCACGAAGCCGCCGCCGUGGACGUACACCACCACGGGCAGCUUCGUCUUGCCGUCGGCGGCCGCGGCCGCGGCCUGGGGUGGCAGGUAGAGGCGGACGGAGCAGGAGCCGAGGUCGACGUCCCUGGAGUCGACGCCCGUGGCGGCGUCCAGGCUGGGCCCGACCGGCGGCGGCACGAGCGGGCGCUCGAUGCGGCCGCUCUUGUAAAUCCGACGGGUCUGUGCGGAGGCGGGCGGCGGGCGGGAGCGGCGGGUGGGAGCGGCGGCAGGUGGUGCGGAGGCCGGCGGCGGCGGGUGGCGCGGAGGAAGGGGAGCUGGUGAGUGGUGACAGGGGAGGGGGGGAGAGAGAGGGGGGGUAGGGUGCAUUGAAUGAGGGCAGGAGGUGUAAAGUGCACCUUUUAGUCCCCAUGAGCAACCAUAAGCAGCCCAAGAGUUGCUUAUUUGCUUAUAAUAAGCAACCUCAUAAGCAAGAGUGAUUGGUUUCAUAAGCAACUUAUUUGCUUAUUUUAAGUUGCUUAUGCAUAAGCAUGUGAAACCAAGCAGGUCCUUAACCUAUGGUUGUGGCACCACACAGUACAUAGUAUUUAAUAAUGCUAUUCGUUUGGUAUGUGCACAAGGGCACGCAUGAAAUGUCUGGCCCACGGUAAACAAGUACGGACGCUGCAAAUAAUCUACUCUGCUCGUCCAGUCCCUAGCCUAUAAAUAGAUGCCAUGCUAGCUCUUGUUGUGCUCACAAUUAAUCCUGACUACACACGAGCUUCUCUCCCUGGCCAAGACACAAUCAUAGUAUGAUGAAGAACAUGGCACUAGCCGGCAAUGGUAUGAAGAACUUAAUCCUCGCUGUUCUCUUACUGUGUCUAGUUAUAGGGCAGAUACAAGUGGAAGCUAAGAGCUGCUGCCCAUCCAUUACUGCAAGAAAUAUCUACAAUGCCUGCCGUAUCACGGGUACAUCCCGUCCAACGUGUGCAAAACUGUCAGGCUGCAAAAUUAUCAGCGGGGACAAAUGCAAGCCCCCUAACGACCACCUCACCCUUGACCCGGACACUGGUAAAUAAUAAAUUUAUCUCACUUGAUUUCUUCGUGUUUUGAGUCGUUAAUGUAUUUUCCAUCUGAUGAAACGUAUUGGUUUUGCAUUGAAGAGGAAGUUAAUGUGCUUAACUUCUGCAAGUUGGGGUGUGCGUCGUCUGUGUGCAACAACAUCAACGCUGGUAAGCACCUUUUGCUCAGACGGAGAAAACAAUAAUCAUUAAUUAGCGGCAGCUAGAAUCCUAUAAUCUAAUAUAUUUAUAUAUAUAUAUAAUUUUAUCAGCUCUGGGAAAUGAAGAGGCGAACGAUGCCGUUGAGAGUUGCGACCAAGCCUGCUCUAGCUUCUGCAACGUGCACGUUGGCGCUGCCACCGUGGUUGCUUAAGCAAAUGCAUCCAACUGGAUCGUCCUUGUGCUAAAUAAUUGGAUAUCGUAUCCACUUAAAGCUGCCUUGUGUAGUACGUUUUUGUUUGUGUCUCUCUUUAUAUUCCAAUAAGGUCGGUGAUCUUGAUGCCACACACUCAGACGUGUGUUCAUCUCCAGAUACUACUCCAUGCUACCUGCCCUUUGUGUUUUGUUCAAUAACUGGGUAUCAUAUCCCAGCCAGUGUGCCAUCUGUUUUGUGUUUAUUUCCUUCUAGUUUCAAAGGGGUUAUCAUGAUGUUACCUUCUUUCGAUAUGGUGCUUUGCAUGACUACUGUUGUAUGGUACCAUCUUGUUGGCCAAUAAAUACAUCUUAUCCUAUGACCCUUUGCUAUGACCCUUUGCAAAUAAGUACAAGAUUGUUAAAUACUCGGUAUAAAUUGACUACUGCUGUGAGUUCCCUUUCAGCUUAUCGUAGGCAUACAUUAUUGCUAGCACGGUGAAGACAACCAACACGAAUGGUCAAGUAAACGUACCGGUACUUUUGUAUACCAACACCCUUGCUUAAAUGUACCGGUGUUACUCCCCACUAGCACAUAUAUUCUUAUAUGCUAGCCGGCUUGAAAAUUAACCGAUUAAAAUAAUUAUUUCAAGACAGAAAUAACUUAUCGGCUUCUCGAAGCAUGUGUAAUGUGAAUUCAAGGACUUGAUGGAAGUUGAAUCGCUUAAUCUAGAUUGCUUUCAGGAUUUUGGGUAACUAAAUUUAACAUUUGCACAUACAAAUGUUAAUGUACAAAUAUUAAAUAUAGUUACCCAAGCAGAAUAUGAAGAUACUCUAUAGUAUAUAUAUACUAUAUAAAUCUAGUUAACAUUUAGUCUAAAUGUUAAAUCUAGUUACCUAAAAUCCUGAAAGCAAAAUGUAUAAAUAUAUAUCUUUUAAGGAAUCCCAAAGCAAGAGUUCAGUGGCAUUCUAUAGUCCCAUGCUGCUAGUUUGAGUUGGUCGAAGCCAACUUAAAUAGGAGAGCUCUCUCACUUCUCUAAAUACGUAACUGAAGGAGAGAAGGGGGCUUGGUUACACAACGCACGCACGCACGCAUAUUUGCGUUCUUUUCGCGUAACCAACCGCGUGACUUGAAACUUGCGACGUAGCGUGCUGCCAAGUCAAGUUGAUAUAACCUUUUUGCCGUAGGCGUGUAAUCUUUUGACAACGGUCAUUGGAGGUGAUAAGCACGCAGUCAAUACCUUAAUCCUGAGUUAAUAGGGCGGUUACUACUGCCAAUUAGUGGGGCAAUUUUGUAGGGGAAACGGUUAGCAGAGGGCUACCAUCUUCUCUAUAAGAAGUUCUGGAGACGUCCAGGAACACACAUGUACAUGUGAGAGACCCACGAAUUCCUUCCCAUCUCCCUUUUCCAUCUGGUGAAGUGUGCUAUGGUACUGAGCUGCUGGAUCUCGCCGGCUCUUCUCCUUGGCGUGCACCGAGGAGGAGGGUGAGCGGUAUCUCCGAGCUAUUGCCGUCAGGAAGCCUGCACGAGGGACAACAAUAAAGUUUUUGGGUAGCGCAACUACGCAACCGCUCGAUUCGAUCGACUAUGUUCUGCGCUGCCUCAUCUUCGAUCUGCACUGCAACACGUAACCCUGCAGCAAGUCUACACAAGGACGGAGCACUAAUCUGUAAGUCCUAGAUUGGUUUCUUACAGAGUUGUAGGUUACACAAGAUCUAGAAUUGUUACAUACUUAUUAUUAUGGGUUACAUGAUGUUUUGUACGGUUACGUCUAUUUUGCAUAUGCUAUUUUUACAUACCGUUUACAUGCAUAUGUAAUGGUUACGCCUAGCUAUUUGAAUCUAGAAUUGGGUUACAUAGCAGUAGCAAUGACUUACGUAAUAUGCCUCAUGUUUAUAUCUGGUAGAAUUUAACACGUAUCUCCAACAUAUUUUGAGGCAGUAUAAAUUUCAAUUCCUUUUGCUGCUCUGUUAAAUCCCGUCUUUCGUGUGGCCCAACACUCUAGUAUGCAUGUAGCACCAAGCUUGUUUGAGCCGCUUUGUGCUCUGAUUUUGCUGUCUGUAUCAGGUUGGACUGUUUCUUUGUCUUGCGAUGUAUAGCUUCAUAUCUUCUAGAGGUUAGACAGCAAAACCCGCGUUCUCUUAAGGCAACAACUCGAAGAAUCUGCAGCGCUCCUGAUAUAUCACUGCUGCAGAAACAAUCUUUAGUACUGAUUUCCAACCCCCUUUAGUAUCGGUUUGGCAAUCAGUACCACUACGUCGGUACUAAAGGGAGUUCUCUAGAAUCGGGUCAAAUAACUGGUACUAAAAGUGCUCCUCUACUACCAGUUGGUAACACCAAUAGGUAGUAACUUUUUUUGCACCCAAAAAAUUAAAGAAAAACAGCCGGGAGGCUCGCGCACACACGCAUCAUGAGUAAUAUGCGCGUGCAUGGUUUGUGGGAUUCCAACCCACGACCAAGCUAUAAGCACGUAGUUACAAAAAAAUUAAACACUUAGACAUUUUAGAGCAUCCCAAAUAACUACAAAUUCUUUAGUUUACCAUAUACCAUAAAAUAUUAGUUAAAAUAAGAGCAUACGCACGUCGGAAGAGUCCCAAUGCACCGGUUGAGGAUCAGACCAGGCACUUUGAAUGCACAUGCCAUAAGAUAAUUCUGCAGGACGAUGAUUGCAAUAAUGGACCAUCGAGAAGAUAGGGGCGAUGGGGUUGCCUCAUCAAUUAUGACUUGGCGCAACAAGACCAGCAAAGUCUUUAUCGACAGGGGUGGAUCAAGGGGUGGGGCGGGUAGAGCUCCAAUCUUCCUACCGCCGCUCGAACAAUGGAGCCCCCCUUAGCCCCUCCAUAAAUUUUUAGGUAGAAGAAAAAAGAAGAGAAGGGAAGGAAGGGGAAGAAUAGGGAGCCCCUCCUAAGUAGGUCGCCAUCGUGCUUCCCAACGCAUGAUCGCCGCACCGCAUCCAUUCCUCUACAAGCCUCCAGCGUCUCUCCUGCCGCUACCUCUGAACCAUGUGCAGCUGCAGACCCAACUAGUGUCUUGUCACCCAUCUCAAUCCCAACAGAGCGGCGGCUCCUGCCAGCACAAAUCUCCCUCCGCCUGUUCUUCACGAUCGAUGGCCACCACAAGCAUAAACCUCGCCUUCGCAUCCACGCAAAAGGGUCGCCGGUGUGCCUUCUCGCAUCGCUUCUCAGCCUCCUUCACUUGCGGCUGGCCAAGAACCGUGCCACCACCUCGGGUGCGCGCCACCGCUCCAGGGCCGCUACCCCAUGCGUGCGGCCGCCGCCGGCCACCACGCGUGUGCAACCGUGUCGCACCGCUUCCCUGCUCUGUGCCACCACUGCUACUGCACCACCAGCUCCACCACCUUGGGCUGGUCGCCAGGGUGACUGAUUGGUGGAUUAUUACUACAAAUAAGUUCCUUAUUAUCUGCAACUACUAUUAACUCAGGGAUACAUGCGUCUUUUGCUUCUCCUGUUAAUAUGUCCUAAAAUAUCUAGAAUGCCUUAUAUUUCUGGACGGAGGAAGUAUUUGAAUAAAAUGAACCAAUUUUAAAAAAUGUGUUGUACACUACUACAGAAAGAACUAUCAGUGUCAAACCCAAAAAUGUCGUCACUGCCAGUUUUGGGCAUCGUUGGUGAAAGGUUGGCGGUGAUGGGUAUCCCCUUCAACAACGGCACUAGAGCUAACAGUGAUUGACAUUAGAAAACGAAAAAGGGGACCCACCUAGCCACCCCUGCAACCCGGCUGGCCGUGCCUCCCGUCAUCCCCACCACCUCGCCUCCCCCGUGACCCCCCGCCGGCGCCCUUGCGCCUAGCCCCCUCGCCUGCCUGGCCGGCCACCCUCGUCACGAGAGAGAGGGGUGCAUGUUGUAUAAUUGCGUGAAUUUUUAAUGUUUAAUUUCAUGUAAGUUUCAUAUAAUAAAUUGUACAAGUUUUAUUGUAUAUAUGAAUUCCAUAUAUAUAUAUUUAUAAUUUAAUGUAUGGUUUCAUGUGUAUAUUUCAAUAAUGUGUAUAUUUAGUAGAUAGCCGAUUUUCUUUUUCUACAAGACAAGGGUUGAUGUAUAAUUACGUGUAUAUGUUUAUUGUACGGGCAAUUAGGACAAGUUUUGUAUAAAUUUCUUUUAUUUCAUGGUUGUUGUAUGGUUUCAUGUAUAUACAUUUAUUGUACUACUUGAGACAAUUUUUAAUUUAAUGUUUCUAUGGUUACAUGUGUGUAUAACUAAUUGUAUUAUUAGUUAAGAUGGGAGCCAAAGAGGAUGAAAGGUAUAUAAUGGAGCAGAUUAUUGCUGGCGGUAGUGGCUCAAACGUUGCAAGAACCUACAUCAAGGGUGAGGGUAGCUAGGUGGACAUGUACCUCAACAUGUCCAGUGAUGGCAAUGACGAUGAGGAGCACGAGCAUGACGUUUAUGAUAGUGCGGAACAAGACAUUGCAGAAUUGGAAGGUUCUAAUGAGGUGUGCUUCAUGUUGAUGAUCUGGUUGGCUUUUUUUCUUUGGUCACACCUUAGUUACCAUAGAACUUCGUCUCGGGAGAAGAUUGGAGGUGCUAUGGUGAUUGGAAUUUUAUUGCCUCCAAAUAUGAUUUCCAUCGAAUCAUAUCCCUUGUAUUUAUCUUCUUUUUAUUUGUGAGAGCAUCUUCUUUAUGCUUGCAAAACAAUUCAAGUGCACAUACUACACCUAGGGUGAUGAUUAGGAGUAGAAACAAUUGCCAACAAACGAACACCACAUCCUAAGAUUCUUAACUUGUGGUAUAAUUAGUCUAGUAAAAAGAAAGAUAAAAACCUAAUGGGUGUACGUGAGUGCAAUGCGUAUAUGCAUAUGAGUGGAAGGCAUAUAAGCAAAGAUAAUAUUUACACAUAGAUCUAAGCACCAUGUUUACAACUAAGUUGCUGAAUUUCUCCAUAGCUAUAGAGAUUAAUGAACCAAGGUCAAAACACCAUGUCUAUCCCAAGAUCAGUAAUUCUUUAUAGCACAAGAAAAAGAAAGCGCAUUGCAAAGUUUAUAAACCAACCAAUGCAGCAUGAAAACAAGAUGAAUAGCUAGCAAGGUUUAUUAAACUGAAUGAUGACGGUCUGCAAGCAAGUUUGAACACCAUCUUUACACAAGAUUGCAAAUGGAAAAUUCCCAUAUGAAGAACUAACAUGGAUAUGAAAUCAUUCAUCAUAAAGCGUAAAGAACAACCAAGCCAACCAUAUGCAAAGCAUGAAUGGAAUGCAAUGAAGGUGCAAGAGAACAUUUUUGGAUGAACCCAUUAUGAUGAUGGCAAAAUGCGCCGUGCCCCCCAGCCCCCGCGGUGAGAUCCCGCCGCUCGCUGCCGCCAGACCCUAUUAGGCCUCCACCGGCAGGUCCACCCACGGUCCCGCGCGACGUGGCAGCCUCUUGGCUCUCGGCGCUCGCGGCACGCCAGUGCUGGCGCAGCCCCACCAGGCGACUACCCUCCCCCCAUAAGGCCUCGGCCCCUCCCCAGCGCCGCCCCCCAACACCAGGACUGCCUGCUGCCCCCCACCGUGAGGUAAUCGAAAUCGACUGCUCAAUCUCUCAAUCUGUUGAUAUGAUGCACACGGUUGCAAAAAUAGAUGUGUCAAAAUAGAUGUUUUGCCAAUUGCUAUAGAUGCAUACGGUUGACAUGAAGUCAAAAAUGACAUUUGGUUCCUUGUAGGCAGUCAAAAAUGAAGAAGUCAAAAAAUAUUGAUCUGAAAUCAAUGUGGGAAAGGGCUAUGAAGACACGCAGGUAGAUUCCCUUGUGAACUUUUUAUGUCGUUCGUCUAAAUAAUUUUUUGCAAUGGGCAUACCCUACUCUGAAAUCCUGGGUCCGCCACUGAUGAUGAUGGUCUAAAAAUAAACCAAGCCUAGAUUAAUUAGCCACAACUGAAAUUAAGCAAAGGUUAAUGUCAUUGACCCUAGCUCUAUCCUAGCUUUUACCAAAGUUCCGGCACAUAUAGUGGUUGGGCCCACUCUCUCUGCUUCCCUCUCUGCUGCAUGCACGCACACGAGCAACGGGAGGCCCGACGAAGCCCAGAAGGGUUCGGCCGAACCAGUAUGAGCGCCGCUCCCUCCCAGCCUUCGCGCAGAUGCUCCUCCAACGUUCCUUGACCCCUCCCUCAGCGUCCCGUUGGGUUUAACAUUGCAGGAGAGGAGUCCCUUUUUUAAAAUCUCAACCACCUCCUCUCCCCAUUCACUCCACUCUCAUCUCCAUCAAACUCACCAAGAUCCGCACCGGAAAUCCCUGCUUACCACCAUGGCUGGCAAAGCCCUCAUCCCUUUCACCAACUUGGGCUUGACCACUGAUCUCGAUGGGGAAAUCACUCUGGCAAAUAUGCGUGUAACACUGCCCCCUUUGCCGAGGGUUAAAGCCAAAACACUCAGCAAAGUGGAUAGUACCCCCCUUUUUACCCGUUUUGUCAUGUAUAACGGACCCCUCUCAAUUCACAAUAGACAUCAUCAUAGGCAUUUAUAAUAAACAAUCACAGGCAUAAUUCACAAUCACCAUUACAAGCAUUAUUCAUAAAUAUCACAGACAUAAUCCAAAGUAAGCAUGAAACAAGCCAUAAAUCCAAGUUCAAGUCACAACUAAGUUUCAUCCAAGUUCAAGUCACAAAUGCAAUGUCUAAAUCCAUGGAGGCCAAGGAGACCACUGCGACAAAUCUUGGUCUUCAUUAUUCGAAGCCGCCGAUUGAUUCUGCACAUAGGAUAGGACAUUCUGAGCUAACAUCUAAAGUUGUCAAAAUUAAAGUAUUCAAUCUUAAGCACAAUGUGUCAAAUGACUCACAGGAGUAGUUGUGGGUGGCUGAGGCGGAGGGAACAGCAUCGAUGGCGGUGGCAAAGAUUGACCCAUGCUCGAAGCAAAAUUCUGCAUGUACUGGAACAUCUGGUCCAUCCUCAUCCGAUUUUCUUCCUCCAUCCUCUGCCGCUCGGCCUCUAACCUCCGCUGAACCAUCUGCUCCAUCCUCGCCGCCAUCUCCUCUUGUUGCUUCCUUGCUGCUUCCACCUGGGCCUACAAUAUUUCAUUGCAAUGUUACAAUGCAAAGCUAAAGUAUAGCAACCAACGAACAAUGAAUGGAAGAGAAAGAACCUGGAGAGCCUCCAUCUGGAACUGUCCAAUGGUUGGUCGUAGCCGUAUCGCCGGGCUCGAGUCCGUGCUCCUUGCUUGGAUCUGGGAGAGAGUGGCAGUAGAGGCCGUGUUGAUUACGCCGUCGCCAAUCCAAUAUCGGCCAUGCUUCUUGCCUCCUCCCACCCUCAUCACGAUUUCUCCAUCAAUAUCCUCAGAGCUUGAAUCGAAGUCUGGCCCGUGAACCUCCCUUGCCAUCACUGUAUAUUCCUUUGCCGAGUGCCCGAGAUAAAGCACUCGGCAAAUAGAAAACACUCGGCAACUUUACUGUUUCCCGUAGUGUCGCUAUUUUUGCAGGUUCUCGACCAGGCCAGUUCUUUGGGCCAACCUAUCAUUCACGACUUAAACAUACGGUGGCUGUAGAAAUGUUCUAUUCUUUUCAACAAUACCAGCUGGUUCCUCCGUUUUUAUUCCACCAAUACAAGCACCACCUUGUAACAUUUCCUAUGUUUUUUUUUCCUUUCGUCUGUUUUCUACAUGCGUUGCUCUUUCAUGCAUUUUUUUCCAUUCCUGUAUUCCAAAUAGGUCUACAUGAACACAAAAUGAACUAGGGGACAGAAAAAGCCAGUGAAGCCAAUUUUGAGCUUCACCAGCUACUUGCUACAUAAAGUGUGCUAUAGUGACGUGUUUUAGCAAAACAUGUUAUCAAUGACUUGACAUUGGUGACGUGUUAAAACGCGUUAUCUCAAUGGCAAAUCAUUGGUGACGUGUUUUAAAAAAACAUGUCACCGUGAGAGUCAUUGGUGAAGGGUAAUUAUAAUGCGUCACUAAUGUUGUAGCAUUAGUUAUGAUAAUUUAGUAACGCAAAAAUCUACCAUCAGUAUUGAGCUUUAGAGCCAUCGCUAAUGUGGGUUUCUUACAUAGUGAUGCAAGCUCUACAAGGUGCUGUUGCUGCCAUUUUAAAGCAUCCCAUGACUACAUGUUAAUAACAUAGUUUACCAUAUAUCAUAAAAAUAUUAGUUACAAUAAGCACAUACGCAUGUGGAAGAGUCCGAAUGCACCGGUUGAGGACUAAACACAUUGAAUUACUAGAACCAAAUGUGUGUUUAGAACAAAGACAGGGGUCAAGGUUUGGGUAACCGCAUUAAAAACAUUGGAUUUUACUGUACAUGAACACUUAGUUACCAUUACCAUGCCUUGAGCACCUAGUUACAACAAACAUUAAUUUAGCCACUUUAGAGCUUCCAGAAUCGCUAUAAAUAAUAUACCUACGCCGUACCAUGAAAACAUCAAGAAGAGAGACGGAUACAUGGACCACCAUCAAGCGAGUAGUGACAGCACGCACAAGAAUACCCGGAACCUGUUAGCUUGUCUGUAGUGAUCUGUUUUCUUCCCCAUAAAAUCCAUGAGUAUUGCCACAAAUAAUGAAAGAGGCUGACCAAGCUAGCAAGGAGGUAGAGCAAACGUGAUACACGGCCUGCCAAGAUUGCCCUGGAUACGCCAAUAAGAGCGACAGAUACAUGGAUCACACCAAUAUGGUGAAACGUAUAUUCAUCACACAAGCAAAGCUGGUCAGUUUAUCCAUGGUCAAAUUGUGGUCUUUGUUUUCACUUGAGAGCUAAUUGAGGCACUAUAAUAUGGGCAGGCCUAUCUUCAACAGACAUGACAGCUACAGGGAACUUGACAUAAUUUGCUGGGCCGCCUGUGCACAAUUAUUUGUUUUAUUGUCCUUGCAUAGAAUGCUAAAAUACUCUUUACAAAAUGUUGGAUCUAAUAUUUGAAAUAUAGAGUAGUAAUCAUAUAUUGAUCAACAACUUGAAAUUAUCUGUACAUUCUCGGUGAAGCUGUUGAACUAAUUUUUGCAAAUUAUUAAUUCAUCUCAUUACGUAAAGAAAAAAGUAAGUGGAUAAGAUAUUUCGUGGACCACAUCACUGCAAACAUGUCAUGGAGAGACAGACCAAGGAGGCAGGACGUGAUACACGACUUACCCUAGGUUGCCGUGGAACCGCCAAGAAGAGAUACAGAUACAUGGACCACACCAUCUUGGGAGUAGUGACAGCAUAUAUGCAGAAGAAUACCCCGUGCCUAUUUGCAUGCAUGUCUCAAGUGAUCUGUUUUCUUCAGAAAAUACAUGAGCAUUGCCAGAAAGAAUGGCAAGAGACAAACAUGUCAUAGAGACUUGCAUGUCUUGCCUUGGAUACGCCAAGAAGAGGGACACAUACAUGGAUAACACAAAUCUAGUGACACGUAUAUUCAUCACAAAGGCAAAUCUGAUAAUUUUAUCCAUGGAGCAGACCAAGGAGAAAUUGAUGACGGACAUGUGAUCUCUGUAUUCAGUUGAAAGCUAAUUGAGCUACACUAAUAUGAGCAGGACUAUAUUCAAGAGACUUGUUGAGAGCUACAGGGAACUUGUAAUAAUUUGCUGGGCGGCCUGCGCACAAUGAUUUGUUAUACAUAGUUGAAAUAUUUCAAGAAUUUAUCAACCUCAUACUCUGAAACCCUUGGUGCAAUGUACUCUGCUUUCCGAGGUAGACUGUUCACGUAAAAUGAGGUCAUGCGUAAGACGGAAUCGGAUUGGAUUCACAGGGAAUCAGAUUUGGAUAGCACCUUUUAGCAGGUUUUUAGUCAAAUGCAAAUUCGGAUCCACAUGUGGUUGAAUGCGAGUUCAAAAUUCUACUUGGAUAUCCAUUUAAUUUAGGUGAUAGCAAUUAGCACAAAAUGUUGGAUGAACAAAAUCAUAGUUAGACAUACAAUUACAUGUAUGGUUAAAGUAUAAUACAAUACACCAAGAUUAUUCCUUGAAAAUAUUUCUUAAAAAUAUUAUAAUAAAUGAAUAAAUAUAAUUGUGGCCACCAACAAAUAGUCGGUGGUCGCUAAGUUGGAGCCAUUUCUGGUUACUAAUGCGGCCUUCUCCUCGACCAGCGACGACAGCUGAGCUUGUUCCUUCUGACACUAAAUCAUCAGAGUCUUCCCUCCACUACUAUAGAAUGCACCUUUAGCACCAAUUGGGAAAUCCCCUUCAGUAUUGGAUGCUGCAACCAGUGCUAUAUAUCAAAAUGGAGACUAAAAGCCUCGGUCUUGGGUACCGGUUGCAUAACGCAUUACUAAAGGAGGCAAAAGAGAAAUGUAACAAAAAAAAUAUUUUGAAUUCCAAGAAUGUUUCACUAUUCAAGAUGACUAGCUGAGAGUCAACAGACAAGAUACUAGGAAUGUGGGUGCUUGAAUGCAUUUGUACAGAGGUCAUACUAUUUACAAACUCUUCUAUGUUUCCAUAUGACUACCUACUUCAAUGUCACGCGAGCCAUUCAGCUGGACACAUGGCACACUAGCUUGCAUGUCGAAUCCAUGAUUAAUUAUUUCCACUUGUGAUCUCUUACCAGUAUUUGUCCAGACUAGAAACGUGCAACACAUUUUUAGGAUAUGGACACGCAUAUAUUUGGACUAGUAUACAGGUCACCUUUGGAUGCGUACAAGGAUGACCGGGAGGGACUAGAAAUGGUCUAGUUUUGAUUGGACUACAAAACUUUUUGUACAGUGAAUAGAGAAUAUAUAUUAUUGUUGGAAUACGAGGUAGGCUACACUAUCGCAAUUCUGAUAUUCUACCGCGUAUAACCAAGAAGAACUGUCGUAUAAGGAUCACGGGAUUACCACUCGACGCACUACUGGUGCGGAAGAUGUAGAUAUGCGUCGAUGCAGUGAAGACGAUCACGUAGUCGUAUGUAGUCGAUCAACGUAGUCGUACAUAGUCGAUCACGUCCAGCAGCUCCUCAGCAGCUCGUCCACGUGCAGCAAGAUCGCCUCCGGUACCGCGGCUCGUCGUUGGCUUGUCGUGGCUCGUCGACGGCUCGUCGGCGGCUCGUCCAAGUGCUGCAGGCGCAACACCUCCAAGGUAUCCACACGUGCAGGGAGGAAGCGUCGCAAGCCGGACUGCUAGAUCCACGAGUUGCAACAGGCGAGGGCGUGGGAGGCGCGGCAGGUGUGUUUCGCCAAAAAGGUGUAAACCCUAGGGCGCCCCCACCCCUCUAUUUAUAGAGGUUCCUGACGGGCCUCUGGAUCCGAGGCCCAUUAGUACUUCUAAACCUAAUCCAACUCGGAUCAGAUCCGAAUUGGGCUUCCAGCCCCUUAAGUGUGUGACCCUAUAAGUUCGGAUACGUAUAGACAUGGCCCGAGUACUCCUACUCGGCCCAAUAGUCGGUAGCGGCCUCUAGCAAGACGUGCCAACUCCUAUACGCACACGAAGAUCAUAUCAGACGAACCAUCACAACAUAAUAUACAUGCUAUUCCCUUUGCCUCACGAUAUUUGGUCUAGCUUCAAGCCGACCGCUCUUUCUCAGUCCUGUGAUUCGGAAUCCCUUUGUAGGUUAACUCUUAACCGUACGUAGCAUGGCCAUGCAUUUUCGGAUCUGAUCACUCGAGGGGCCCAGAGAUAUCACUCUCAAUCAGAGAGGGGCAAAUCCCAUCUUGAUUGACCAUGUCUCAUAGCAUGCUUCUUGACAAACCUAAAAACUACCUUUAUAACUUCCCUGUUACGGCGUAGUGUUUGAUAGCUCCUAAGUAGGUCGAUCCACAUCUAGAAUACAUGCGACAAUUUCAGGUCUAAGGACAAAGCGUAUAUGUUGUUUAAAGAGAGAACUACUUCUCGUGUUGGGUCAGUCCCAGCACAUGUCUCCACAUGUGUCCACAUUAUUAGUUCAACAUCUCCAUGUCCAUGACUUGUGAAACAUAGUCAUCAACUAAUACAUGUGCUAGUCUAAUAUUCAUGUGUGUCCUCACAUGAACUCCGACUAGGGACAACUUUAGAAUAACCAUACAAGUAAAGAGUUUCACAUACAAUUCACAUAAUUGCAAAUCAAUUCAAGUAGCCUUCAAUGGAUAUUCAAUGAACACAACAUACAAAUCAUGGAUACAAAUGGAAUAUCAUCAUCUCUAUGAUUGCCUCUAGGGCAUACCUCCAACAGUCUCCCACUUGCACUAGAGUCAAUCUAGAAGGUACCUAAUACCCAUAGCUCUUACAUGCGCAUCAUGCUUAGCCUGCGGGAGUGGUUUUGUCAACGGAUCAGAAAUGUUCAGAUCCGUGUGUAUUUUGCAUAUCUUGAUCUCACCCCGGUUAACGAAGUCUCGAAUGAGAUGAAAUCGCCGCAUUACAUGUUUGUUCUUCUGGUGGUUCCUUGGCUCCUUUGCUUGCGCAAUUGCCCCAUUGUUAUCACAGUAGAGAUUCAAUGGGCUGGACCCAUUCGGGAACACACCAAGCUCAAUGAGGAAAUUCCUUAUCCAAACACCUUCCUUCGCGGCUUCCGAAGCCGCGAUGUACUCGGCUUCUGUCGUAGAAUCGGCCACCGUCUCCUGCUUGGAACUCUUCCAACUAACAGCACCACCAUUUAGCGUGAACACAAAUCCUGUUUGUGACUUUGAAUCAUCUCUGUCGGUUUGGAAACUAGCAUCGGUGUAACCUGUUACAACGAGCUCCUCCUCACCUCCAUAGACGAGGAAUAUAUCUUUAGUCCUUCUCAAGUACUUAAGAAUGUUUUUCACCGCUGUUCAGUGACUCUCACCUGGAUCAGAUUGGUGUCUGCUUGUCAUACUUAGCACAUAUGAAACAUCUGGGCGAGUACUUAUCAUUGCAUACAUGAUAGAUCCAAUAGCCGAGGCAUAUGACACUCUACUCAUGUGAUCCCGCUCAUCAGCAGUCGAAGGACACUGAGUCUUGCUGAGAUGUAUGCCAUGUGACAUAGGCAAGAACCCUUCCAUGCUGAACCGCUUCAACACUUUGUCAAUGUAAGUAUCUUGGCUUAAACCUAUAAGCCUUCUCGAUCUAUCUCUAUAGAUCUUAAUGCCCAGAAUAUAUGCCGCUUCCCCUAAGUCCUUCAUCGAAAAACUAUUUUUCAGUGAAGUCUUUAUGGACUCAAGCAUAGGAAUGUUAUUUCCAAUCAGUAAUAUGUCAUCCACAUAUAAGAUUAGAAAUACUACAGAGCUCCCACUAACCUUCUUGUAAACACAAGACUCUUCUUCGUUCUUGGUGAAGUCAAACCCUUUGACCACUUCAUCAAAACGAAUGUUCCAACUCCUAGAUGCUUGCUUCAAUCAAUAAAUGGAUCUCUGAAGCUUGCAUACCUUUCCAGCAUUUUUCGGAUCGACAAAACCCUUGGACUGUAUCAUAUACACGUCCUCAGUUAGGUUUCCAUUCAGGAAAGCUGUCUUGACAUCCAUCUGCCAUAUCUCAUAAUCGAAAUAUGCAGCCAAACUUGAUUGUCUCCCAUGGACUCUAUUUCGGAUUGCAUGGCAUUCUGCCAUUUUUCGGAGUCUGGGUCCAUCAUUGCUUCUGCAUAUGUCACAGGCUCAUCAUUGUCCAACAAUAAUAUUUCCUGCAUUUCGCGGAGCCUUGCCGACCUUCGUGGUUGUGGCGGUGCUUCUCUUGCCAUGGGUAUCUCAACUUGUUCUGCUACGUUAGCAUCACUCAUUGAUUCUUGCCCGAUCGGCUCAUCUUGAACUUCUUCAAGAUGCACUGUCUUUCCACUCUUUUCUCCUUUGAGAAACUCUUUCUCUAGGAAAACCCCGUUCCGAGCGACAAACACUUUGCCUUCUGAUCAGUUGUAAAAAUAAUAUCCCAAAGUUUCCUUUGGAUAUCCCACGAAAAUGCACUUAUCCGACUUGGGUGCGAUCUUGUCCGACUGAAGUCGCUUGACAAACACAUCACAUCCCCAAAUCUUUAGAAAAGACAAACUAGGAACCUUUCCAGUCCAUAUCUCAUAUGGUGUCUUAACUACGGAUUUAGAUGGUACCCUAUUAAGUGUGAAAGCUGCUGUUUCUAGAGCGUAUCCCCAAAAUGACAACGGUAGGUCCGACUGGCUCAUCAUUGAUCGAACCAUGUCUAACAAAGAUCGAUUACGUCGCUCGGACACACCGUUUCUCUGAGGUGAUCCAGGCGGCGUAAGUUGUGGAACAAUUCCGCAACUCUUUAGAUGAUUGCUAAACUUGUGGCUCAAAUACUCGCCUCCACGAUCAGAUUGUAAGGCCUUAAUUUUCUUGACACGCUAAUUUUCAACUUCAUUCUGAAAAUCCUUGAACUUUUCAAAGGUUUCAGACUUGUGCCUCAUCAAGUAGACAUAGCCAUAUCUACUAAAAUCAUCAGUGAAAGAUAUGAAGUAUUGGAAUCCUCCUCUAGCCGUCGUGCUCAUUGGUCCGCAUACAUCACUAUGUACGAGUUCCAACAAGUCUACUGCUCUCUCAGGAAAUCCUGUGAAAGACGUCUUGGUCAUCUUGCCUAGCAAGCAAGCCUCACAUGUCUCGUAUGAUUCAAAAUCAAACGAAGUUAGAAGUCCAUCAGAAUGGAGCUUCUUCAUGCGUUUUUCACUUAUAUGACCCAAACGACAAUGCCACAAGUAGGUAGGACUCAAAUCAUUAGGCCGAGGCCUUUUAGCACUUACAUUACAGACAGGUGAACCAUCAAGAUUUAAAACAAAUAAUCCAUUCACAAUGGGUGCAAAAGCCAUAAACAUAUUAUUCUUAGAGAUCACACAACCAUUGUUUUCACUCGCAAAUGAAUAACCAUCCUUCAUCAAGCAUGAAGGAGACAAAAUGUUUCGACUUAAACUAGGAACAAAAUAACAAUUAUUCAACUCCAUAAUAAAUGCUGACGGGAGGUGGAGUUGCAUCGUCCCGACGGUCAACGCAGCAACUCUUGCAUUAUUGCCCACGCGGAAAUCAACUUCUCCUCUUUCCACGCUUCUACUUCUUAUCAUUCCCUGCAUCGAAUUGCAAAUAUGAGCAACCGAUCCGGUAUCAAAUACCCAAGAAUUAAUAAUUGUAUCAGCGAGAAAUAUGUUGUCUAUGACAUUAACAACAAGCGUACCUGAGGUAGAAGUACUCUUACUUCCUCCAUUCUUCAACGAAGCUAGGUACUGCUUGCAGUUUCUCUUCCAGUGACCAAGUUCAUGACAGUAAAAGCACUCUUUGUCUGGAGCAGGUCCAGGUCCAGCUUUAACCUUGGGCGCUCGCUGGGUUUGGCUUGGAAAUUCCAGCCUUGCCCUUCUUCUUCCAAGAAUUGCCCUUCUUCUUAAAGCUAGGCUUGUUCUGUAUAGCCAUCACAUGGCUAGUACAAGCGCUUUUCUUGAUGUCUACCUCUGCUGUCUUGAGCAUACCACACAGUUCAUUCAAACCCUUCUCCGUCCCAUGCAUAUGGUAGUUCGAGAUGAAGUUCCCAUAGCUAGGCGGAAGAGAUGAAAGAAUGAAGUCAGUGGCCAACUCUUUGCCCAUUGGGAAGCCCAGCUUCUCCAAUCGCUGAGUGUAACCAACCAUGUUGAUUACAUGUGGUCCUACUGCUGCGUCUUCUGCUAGCUUGCACUCCAGAAAAGCUUUGGACACAUUGAACCUUUCAGUCCUAGCCUGUGUCUGGAACAUGUCCUUGAGCGCCACGAUCAUAUCGUGUGCCUCAUGAUUUGUUUCGAACUGCAUCUGCAGCUCGGGUUCCAUGCAAGCAAGCAUAAGGCAGCUUACCUCAAGAUUAGCAUCAAAUGCCUUCUUGUAAGCAGCCUUAACGGCAGCAGAUGCAUCAUCAGCAGGUACUGGUGGUAGUGGGGUAUCUAGAACAUCUUCCUUUUUAUCGGCCCUGAGAACAAUUCUCAGGUUACGGAUCCAAUCCGAGUAGUUUGUUCCAUUCAACUUGUCCUUCUCAAGGACCGAGCGCAAAGCAAACGAUGUGGUGGUGUUGCUAGGUGCCAUUUAAUCUACAACAAAAGUAAUGCAAAAUACACUAAGACAAACGUAUCCAUGAUAGAGCAAAUUACAUUAAACUAUUUUAACAGAAUCUACUCCCACUAAAAUCAAUAUCCCUCUAUUGAAACUUAGUGAUUCAGGAUCCACAACUAACAAGUCUACUAGUGAGCUUUAGCAUCACCGCUAGCAAACGAGGUAGAUCGGUAAGCAACUUUUGCUAAUCAUAUCACAUAUGACUCCUGUUGUUGGGUGACAUCUCCAUGUCUCGGCGCCCAACCAUUAUGCCCCAAGGUCCUUAACCGUUAAGAUGACCUCGUUAAGCAAACCAACCCUUAUGCGUGUAAGUGUCCGACACAAACCCGUCUAGUCAAGGAAAACUAGUGGCACCCUAAUUUCAUAGACCCACCACUAAUUGUACAAGACAUGGGACGGUGCAAGUUUUAGUUGGGAGGGCAUACUAACUUAAAUUUUUUGUGAGGGAUCGUUCUACUUCUAACAUCACAGCAUGCAGAAAGUAAAACAUAAACAGAAUAGCAUUCACACAGCUGUGACACAGUAUGGCCCGUUUUUAUAUGGUGAUCUCCAUCUCCAUAGAACCUGUUCACCAUGGUGAUCUCCAUCUCCAUGUUCCAUGUGCGCCAUCCUCCUGGUGAGGAGUCCUCCAAGAACUAGAACAUGCUAUUACACCUAAUAGCUAGUAAAGAAUCUAGUAAUGAAGAUUACAUAGUUGCUUGGAUCAUCACAGAUUGGUACGCAGACCAUUAAAUACAAUAAAGUGACAACACAUAUGGCUCCUGCCGUGUUGCCGUACGCGCGACACGCAGGUCACGAAUGAGUUACACACAUGCAUCACAUACACAAGGGGGCCAUACUGAUCACAAGAUACAUACAUACAUCCUGCAAAACAGAGUUAGGCGUCCUAACGUUCCAAACUUCGAAGGCCCGAAACUCCAUCUUCCAAGCCGAAUUUGGGAAAUCUAAUUUUGCCGAAAACGGCAAAGCGGUUGAAUUUCAUGUGUAACUUUUUCUGUAGAUCAAUUUUCAUAUAAAAUUCGCCCCGAUCCGAGAUCGUACCGAAAAGUUACGGCUGAUUUACCGAAGCAUACGCAUACGGCAAAAAUUCCGACCCCGGCAGUAGAUCCCAUCUACUAUUGCACAUCUAAUGCGCCUGGCGUAUGAUCCUGGAUUUCGAUUCGACCAAUCAUAUUGAUCUUCGCUCACUGCAACUGGAAUUACGUGUAUCACUUAACUCGUCGGCGGCUCGUCGGCGGCUCAUCCAAGUGCUGCAGGCCCAACACCUCCAAGGUAUCCACACGUGCAGGGAGGAAGCGUCGCAAACCGGACUGCUAGAUCCGCGAGUUGCAAUAGGCGAGGGCGUGGGAGGCGCCGCAGGUGUGUUUCGCCAAAAAGAUGUAAACCCUAGGGCGCCCCCACCCCUCUAUUUAUAGAGGUUCCUGACGGGCCUCUGGAUCCGAGGCCCAUUAGUACUUCUAAACCUAAUCCAACUCGGAUCAGAUCCGAAUUGGGCUUCCAGCCCCUUAAGUGUGUGACCCUAUGGGUUCGGAUACGUAUAGACAUGGCCCGAGUACUCCUACUCGGCCCAAUAGUCGGUAGCGGCCUCUAGCAAGACGUGCCAACUCCUAUACACACACGAAGAUCAUAUCAGAUGAACCAUCACAACAUAAUAUACAUGCUAUUCCCUUUGCCUCACGAUAUUUGGUCUAGCUUCAAGCCGACCGCUCUUUCUCAAUCCUGUGAUUCGGAAUCCCUUUGUAGGUUAACUCUUAACCGUACGUAGCAUGGCCAUGCAUUUUCGGAUCCGAUCACUCGAGGGGCCCAGAGAUAUCACUCUCAAUCAGAGAGGGGCAAAUCCCAUCUUGAUUGACCAUGUCUCAUAGCAUGCUUCUUGACAAACCCGAAAACUACCUUUAUAACUACCCUGUUACGGCGUAGCAUUUGAUAGCCCCUAAGUAGGUCGAUCCACAUCUAGAAUACAUGCGACAAUCUCAGGUCUAAGGACAAAGCGUAUAUGUUGUUUAAAGAGAGAACUACUUCUCGUGUUGGGUCAGUCCCAGCACAUGUCUCCACAUGUGUCCACAUUAUUAGUUCAACAUCUCCAUGUCCAUGACUUGUGAAACAUAGUCAUCAACUAAUACAUGUGCUAGUCUAAUAUUCAUGUGUGUCCUCACAUGAACUCCGACUAGGGACAACUUUAGAAUAACCAUACAAGUAAAGAGUUUCACAUACAAUUCACAUAAUUGCAAAUCAAUUCAAGUAGCCUUCAAUGGAUAUUCAAUGAACACAACAUACAAAUCAUGGAUACAAAUGGAAUAUCAUCAUCUCUAUGAUUGCCUCUAGGGCAUACCUCCAACAAUUAUUUCAUGUAAAUUUUUGACAAUUUUUUAAAAUUGUUUGAUAUUUUUUAAAUUUUUUUUAAAAUAACUUUGCCGAGUGUCCUAUUGUAGACACUCGGCAAAGCAGCCUUCACCGAGUGUUACCCCUGGGACACUCGGCGAAUUAAUGCCCGGCCGCUCAAGAAUAUGUGCCCGGCCCCCUCACUCUCCCGGCCCCCCUCACUCUCACUCCCCUCACUCCCUCCUCUCUCCCUCCUCUCUCCCUCUCGCCGCCGCCCGAAACCCCCGCCGCCGCCCGCCGCCCGGCAUGCCGCCCAGCGCCCCCCGCCGCCGCCCGGCGCUCCCGAAUCCGCCGCCGCCCGCCCGGCGCCCGGCCCCCGGAUCCGCCGCCGCCGGCCGCCCGGCGCCCCCGGAUUCGCCGCCGCCCGCCCGGCCCCCGGCCCCCGGAUCAGCCGCCGCCCGCCGCCCGGCGCACGGCGCCCCCGGAUCCGCCGCCGCCUGCCCGGCGCCCGGCCCCUGGCCCCCUGAUCCGCCGCCGCCCGCCCGGAUCCGCCGCCGCCCGCCCGGCGCCCGGCCCCCGGCCCCCGGAUCCACCGCCGCCCCCCCGGCCCCCGGAUCCGCCGCCCGCCCGUCCCCUCCACCGGAUCCGCCGGCGCCGGGGCCUGAAGAGAAGAGAAGAGGAGAGGAUGGUGGCGGCGGCGGCCGCGGCGGCGGAGCAGGUGGCAGAGCAUGCAUGAUUUUUUUUUAUUUUUUCAAUAAUUGUUCGCCAAGUGUUUUCUGGGCACUCGGCAAAGUCUUUGCCGAGUGCCCGACACAAAACACUCGGCGAACCAGUGUUUGCCGUCAAGAUUUUUGCCGUGUGUCGUUUGCCGAGUGUUACACUCGGCAAACGCUUUGUCGAGUGUUUUUGGGGUUUCGCGGAGUGACCCUGGCACUCGGCAUCACGCAUGUUUCCCUUAGUGAACUUGAAAUUAUCUGUACAUUCUCGGUGAAGCUGUUGAACUAAUUUUUGCAAAUUAUUAAUUCAUCUCAUUACGCAAAGAAAAAAGUAAGUGGAUAAGAUAUUUCGUGGACCACAUCACUGCAAACAUGUCAUGGAGAGACAGACCAAGGAGGCAGGACGUGAUACACGACUUACCCUAGGUUGCCGUGGAACCGCCAAGAAGAGAUACAGAUACAUGGACCACACCAUCUUGGGAGUAGUGACAGCAUAUAUGCAGAAGAAUACCCCGUGCCUAUUUGCAUGCAUGUCUCAAGUGAUCUGUUUUCUUCAGAAAAUACAUGAGCAUUGCCAGAAAGAAUGGCAAGAGACAAACAUGUCAUAGAGACUUGCAUGUCUUGCCUUGGAUACGCCAAGAAGAGGGACACAUACAUGGAUAACACAAAUCUAGUGACACGUAUAUUCAUCACAAAGGCAAAUCUGAUAAUUUUAUCCAUGGAGCAGACCAAGGAGAAAUUGAUGACGGACAUGUGAUCUCUGUAUUCAGUUGAAAGCUAAUUGAGCUACACUAAUAUGAGCAGGACUAUAUUCAAGAGACUUGUUGAGAGCUACAGGGAACUUGUAAUAAUUUGCUGGGCGGCCUGCGCACAAUGAUUUGUUAUACAUAGUUGAAAUAUUUCAAGAAUUUAUCAACCUCAUACUCUGAAACCCUUGGUGCAAUGUACUCUGCUUUCCGAGGUAGACUGUUCACGUAAAAUGAGGUCAUGCGUAAGACGGAAUCGGAUUGGAUUCACAGGGAAUCAGAUUUGGAUAGCACCUUUUAGCAGGUUUUUAGUCAAAUGCAAAUUCGGAUCCACAUGUGGUUGAAUGCGAGUUCAAAAUUCUACUUGGAUAUCCAUUUAAUUUAGGUGAUAGCAAUUAGCACAAAAUGUUGGAUGAACAAAAUCAUAGUUAGACAUACAAUUACAUGUAUGGUUAAAGUAUAAUACAAUACACCAAGAUUAUUCCUUGAAAAUAUUUCUUAAAAAUAUUAUAAUAAAUGAAUAAAUAUAAUUGUGGCCACCAACAAAUAGUCGGUGGUCGCUAAGUUGGAGCCAUUUCUGGUUACUAAUGCGGCCUUCUCCUCGACCAGCGACGACAGCUGAGCUUGUUCCUUCUGACACUAAAUCAUCAGAGUCUUCCCUCCACUACUAUAGAAUGCACCUUUAGCACCAAUUGGGAAAUCCCCUUCAGUAUUGGAUGCUGCAACCAGUGCUAUAUAUCAAAAUGGAGACUAAAAGCCUCGGUCUUGGGUACCGGUUGCAUAACGCAUUACUAAAGGAGGCAAAAGAGAAAUGUAACAAAAAAAAUAUUUUGAAUUCCAAGAAUGUUUCACUAUUCAAGAUGACUAGCUGAGAGUCAACAGACAAGAUACUAGGAAUGUGGGUGCUUGAAUGCAUUUGUACAGAGGUCAUACUAUUUACAAACUCUUCUAUGUUUCCAUAUGACUACCUACUUCAAUGUCACGCGAGCCAUUCAGCUGGACACAUGGCACACUAGCUUGCAUGUCGAAUCCAUGAUUAAUUAUUUGCACUUGUGAUCUCUUACCAGUAUUUGUCCAGACUAGAAACGUGCAACACAUUUUUAGGAUAUGGACACGCAUAUAUUUGGACUAGUAUACAGGUCACCUUUGGAUGCGUACAAGGAUGACCGGGAGGGACUAAUGGAUACAAGGAAGGGACCAUCAGGAUUAAUAUUGACAUAUGCCACAUGACAAUCUUCAUUGUCAUGCAAUCCCUAUCAACAAUCAUGGAAUCCCUAGUGUACUAAUCCCUGGAGGGUUGUGUGGAAAUUUAUUUUACCUUGCGGUGAAAAUCUCAUGAGCAGUCAUUAGUUAAGCUGACUAGCUGAGAUAUAAUAGACAAGCUAGUAAGAUUGGGAGCAUCAAUGCAUCCAUACAGGGUCACAAUAUCCUUUCCAUUCACUUUUAUAUAUAACCCUACGAAUACAAGUCCAACGAAAUGCGGGCCUUUCGAUCAAGAUAAAUUAAAUGGCCCACUUGUAUUUCUAAUCCAGGAUUAACUAUGCCCUCUGUUCAUCUCUUGCAAGCACGUGCAACACAUUUUCACGAUAUGGACAUGCAUGGAGGUUAUUAUACUGUUUGGACAAACUCUGAUGUGCCAUGACCUAAAUGCUUAGGGCCUGUUUGGUUUGAGUUGCUUAUUAUAAGCAACUUAAAGUUGCUUAAAGUUGCUUAUUUGAAGUUGCUUAUUUUUAGUCUAAACUGUUUGGAUACCCUUGCUUAUGAGCAUUGAAUGAGUUGGACAUUGUCAAAUUUGCCCCAUGUGUUGCUACCCCUCCAAUUUGCCUCCCCACCCUUCUUCUUCCUGCACACGUCCGAUCCCGGGGGCCGACGGCGGGCAGGGAGCAGCAGCAGCUGGCCAGGGCGGCGGUGGGGCGGGAGCGGCGGCGCACACCAGCACGCGCUCGCACGCCAGGUGCUAGGGCGCGGCGAGGCAGUCGUCGUAGCCCACCGGGAGCGGGUGCUCGGGCGCGAGGCGGUACUCGACGGAGAUGCCGAGCGUCGGGCGCGCGGCGGCGAGCGCGUUGAGGAAGCGAUGGUAGUGCGGCGACGUCGCGGACUCCGCCACGAAGCCGCCGCCGUGGACGUACACCACCACGGGCAGCUUCGUCUUGCCGUCGGCGGCCGCGGCCGCGGCCUGGGGUGGCAGGUAGAGGCGGACGGAGCAGGAGCCGAGGUCGACGUCCCUGGAGUCGACGCCCGUGGCGGCGUCCAGGCUAGGCCCGACCGGCGGCGGCACGAGCGGGCGCUCGAUGCGGCCGCUCUUGUAAAUCCGACGGGUCUGUGCGGAGGCGGGCGGCGGGCGGGAGCGGCGGGUGGGAGCGGCGGCAGGUGGUGCGGAGGCCGGCGGCGGCGGGUGGCGCGGAGGAAGGGGAGCUGGUGAGUGGUGACAGGGGAGGGGGGGAGAGAGAGGGGGGGGUAGGGUGCAUUGAAUGAGGGCAGGAGGUGUAAAGUGCACCUUUUAGUCCCCAUGAGCAACCAUAAGCAGCCCAAGAGUUGCUUAUUUGCUUAUAAUAAGCAACCUCAUAAGCAAGAGUGAUUGGUUUCAUAAGCAACUUAUUUGCUUAUUUUAAGUUGCUUAUGCAUAAGCAUGUGAAACCAAGCAGGUCCUUAACCUAUGGUUGUGGCACCACACAGUACAUAGUAUUUAAUAAUGCUAUUCGUUUGGUAUGUGCACAAGGGCACGCAUGAAAUGUCUGGCCCACGGUAAACAAGUACGGACGCUGCAAAUAAUCUACUCUGCUCGUCCAGUCCCUAGCCUAUAAAUAGAUGCCAUGCUAGCUCUUGUUGUGCUCACAAUUAAUCCUGACUACACACGAGCUUCUCUCCCUGGCCAAGACACAAUCAUAGUAUGAUGAAGAACAUGGCACUAGCCGGCAAUGGUAUGAAGAACUUAAUCCUCGCUGUUCUCUUACUGUGUCUAGUUAUAGGGCAGAUACAAGUGGAAGCUAAGAGCUGCUGCCCAUCCAUUACUGCAAGAAAUAUCUACAAUGCCUGCCGUAUCACGGGUACAUCCCGUCCAACGUGUGCAAAACUGUCAGGCUGCAAAAUUAUCAGCGGGGACAAAUGCAAGCCCCCUAACGACCACCUCACCCUUGACCCGGACACUGGUAAAUAAUAAAUUUAUCUCACUUGAUUUCUUCGUGUUUUGAGUCGUUAAUGUAUUUUCCAUCUGAUGAAACGUAUUGGUUUUGCAUUGAAGAGGAAGUUAAUGUGCUUAACUUCUGCAAGUUGGGGUGUGCGUCGUCUGUGUGCAACAACAUCAACGCUGGUAAGCACCUUUUGCUCAGACGGAGAAAACAAUAAUCAUUAAUUAGCGGCAGCUAGAAUCCUAUAAUCUAAUAUAUUUAUAUAUAUAUAUAAUUUUAUCAGCUCUGGGAAAUGAAGAGGCGAACGAUGCCGUUGAGAGUUGCGACCAAGCCUGCUCUAGCUUCUGCAACGUGCACGUUGGCGCUGCCACCGUGGUUGCUUAAGCAAAUGCAUCCAACUGGAUCGUCCUUGUGCUAAAUAAUUGGAUAUCGUAUCCACUUAAAGCUGCCUUGUGUAGUACGUUUUUGUUUGUGUCUCUCUUUAUAUUCCAAUAAGGUCGGUGAUCUUGAUGCCACACACUCAGACGUGUGUUCAUCUCCAGAUACUACUCCAUGCUACCUGCCCUUUGUGUUUUGUUCAAUAACUGGGUAUCAUAUCCCAGCCAGUGUGCCAUCUGUUUUGUGUUUAUUUCCUUCUAGUUUCAAAGGGGUUAUCAUGAUGUUACCUUCUUUCGAUAUGGUGCUUUGCAUGACUACUGUUGUAUGGUACCAUCUUGUUGGCCAAUAAAUACAUCUUAUCCUAUGACCCUUUGCUAUGACCCUUUGCAAAUAAGUACAAGAUUGUUAAAUACUCGGUAUAAAUUGACUACUGCUGUGAGUUCCCUUUCAGCUUAUCGUAGGCAUACAUUAUUGCUAGCACGGUGAAGACAACCAACACGAAUGGUCAAGUAAACGUACCG